rnacentral:lncRNA from 1 species
GAGAGAGAGACCUAUGCACAUUGAGAUUACUCCAAAGCGGCAAUCCUUCCCACGACGUUUCAUUUCAUGCAAAAUAGUUGAAACACAGCGAGCACCUAUGCAAAAAGCAGCAGGUCACAUUACAAUUAUCGCCAAUUAACUGAAAAAAUGAUUUCAAUAUCAAGCUAAACCCUGCCAAAUUUAUGUCUUAUUGUUUUGUUUUUUGUUUCUGCUAUUCUUGGAUUGAUUUUAUUAUUAUUAUUAUUAUUAUUAUUAUUAUUAUUAUUAUAGAGCCUAUCAUGCAUGAUCCAACAUGUCUUGUUGAAUUCUUGGCAGGUAAUAUGUAUUGGCAAAAAUCAUAAGAUCUCAUAAACCAUCAGAAAAGGCAUCACUGCAAGUACCUGUAGCGCCCAAAGGAUGCCCGAGUGCAAGUGCACCACCAUUGACAUUAACCUUUUCUGGAUCAAGCCCCAAUUUCUUAAUACAAUAAACGUAUUGAGAUGCAAAUGCCUGAACAAAGAACAAUAGGUUCCUUAACUCCAAUCUUACACUUUUGCUAAUAAUACCACUAAAAUUAUAAGAAAUCAUUCAUUACCUCAUUAAUUUCAAACAGGCUAAUAUCAUUAAGUUCUAGUCCAGCAGCCUUCACUGCAGCAGGAAUUGCAUAAGCUGGGCCUACUCCCAUCACAGCUGGAUCCACACCAACAGCAGCAAAACUCCUGCAAGAAAAAGUGAGUAAUUCAUCUUAUUAUCCUUGCAUGCGGAUUUAUUCUCAAUUUCGAUCAUAAAUUGACCCCCUUUCUCAAAUCCAAAAUGAUAUGAACAUGCUAGCAGUAUACUUCACAUUUCUCUACUGAUAUUGGGUUAUCAAUAUUGAGACUGACAGAGACUGACUAUAUAAUCAUCUUCUCUCUGUUUUCUAUUUAUUCUUGAAAUAAAGCAUUCCACAAUACCCAGUAAUUGUAUGACUAUAUCAAAACCAGAUGUAAAAGAAAUGGAAUUAAUUGAUGCAGAAAAUAGUAAAUACGUAUUCUUUUGUCAAAUAGAGAUAGUCAUGGUAUAGUUUAUGAUCAAGUAUAAUACAAUUAGGAGCAGGCAAUGAUCCGUUGCUAGACUUAUCCUUGUCCACGAAAGGCAAGUACCUGAAAACACCAAGAAUUGGAAGUCCCUUCUUCAAAGCUACACUUCUUUUCAUAAGGAGGACAGCACCAGCACCAUCACUCACCUGGCUAGCAUUACCUAAGAUGGCACUACAGUCAGAUUUCAAUUGUAGGUUCCUUAGGUAGAAGAUAUUAACUGGAAAUAUUAAAUACCAGCAGUUGUGCACCCAUCCUUUUUGAAUGCAGGCUUCAGCAUGGAAAGAUCUGCAAUGUUCGUUGUUGGUCGAAUUCCGUCAUCCACUGAAAUUGUGACAGACUUCUGUUCACCAGUUUUGGGGUCUACAAUCUUCAGAAGCCAUCACACACAAAACAUGAGGAAGAAGAAGAAAAAGAAGAUGGAACCUCAUUAUCAUUCAUUUUAUGUAUUUACCUUUGUAGAAACUGGUACGAUCUCAUCUUUGAAUUUACCAGAUGCUGUUGCAGCAGCUGCUUUCCUAUGAGAUUCAACCUUUUAUAAAGAUAACAAGUCAAGACUAAGUUACAUUAUGUCUGCAUAAAAAGAUCAUGCCAUGUUUAAAGUUUUAUAGAGCUUACAGCGGCCUGGUCUUGCUCUAGCCGUGUUAUACCAUAACGCUGUGCAACAUUUUCAGAAGUGAUACCCAUAGGAAGAAGACAAUCUCGGGCUUGUGCAAAGAUUUCUACCUGUUAAAAACAUUAAUAAAGUUUAGGAAAACAAUUCAGAGAUUAAUUAGUCCUUCAGGAAAACAAAGUUUGUGGAAUUACUUUUGGGUUAACUUGGCUAACGAUGUCAAUUUUAUCCACUGUCAUGCUUUCCAACCCAGCUCCAAUGCCUAGUGUUGGAAAGAACAAGAAAAAGUCAAGCACAGUGAAGGUGAUCAAGAUAAAGUGAGAAACACAUAAUUCAGUAUCACUGUUACCAAUGUCAUAAAAUCCAGCUUUUAUGGAAGCAGCAACAUCAGCAACUGCCUGCAGACCAGAUGAGCAUUGCCUGUUGACUGUUCUGAUGGGCACCGUUUCUGGUUGAAAGAGAGCAAUAAUACUUAAAGGGGAAAAACUCUGAAGAGCAUUAUUUGUAGAAAAACGUUCCGGUGUUCCUUUUCUAACCAGAAAACAUAUAAUUCUUGUGUUUAACAUUAACUUUCUCAACCAAUCCAAAAUUUUGUUAAUGCCAGCAAUUUGAACGGGCAGGCAGGUACAUUUUCAGUUAUAUGAAAACGAAUACAUUAUGUGGAAUCCAAUUAUUGAUAAAAGAACUUAAAAUAGCUAAGCAGCGAGAGAAGUAAACGAAAAUCAUACCAGGAAAACCAGCAUAGAAAGCUCCCAUCCUGCAUUCAAUUGCCCUUAAUGAGCCAGGAGCUAGAACUGUACCAACAACUAUGUCCCCUACUUCACUUGGAUUAACAUUUGUUUUCUCUAUUAGUGCCUACAACGAAGUUCUCGAAUUUGUUAAGGUAGAAACUCAAUUUCUUAAUAACAAAAGCAGAACCAUUCUUUUCAGAAUCUUCUUAGAACCUAAAAUAUCAAAGACAACUCAGGCUUCAGACAUCUAACCUUCAAAACUGAGCCAAUAAGGUCAUCAGGAAGCGUAUCUUUGAAACCACCUUUCUUGGCUUUGCAAAUGGCAGUACGAUAAGCACUGUUUACAUUAGGCACGUAUAACAGAGAAAAGGAUGUCAAAAAAAGGCAGAGAAUAUAAUAUAUAUAUAUAUAUAUAUAUAUAUAUAAUAUAGAUAAACAUUUUUCUUCAAAAAUCAAGAAACUUACGCUACGAUCACAACAUCAUCACCAGAAACAGCUGUCCUGCGAUACGCAGCACCAUUUCCAGCAGCACAAAUUGAAGUCUAACAAAUAAAAUCAGCAACAAUGAUAGGAAAAACAAAGAUUCAACUUCCAGAACAAAUGAAACAUUGUAAUAAAGUAACAACAUAUCCCAAAAAUAAAAUCAAAACAUAGUAGCAAAUUAAACUGCCCAAAGACCCGUUAUCUAUACAGGACAUAACACGAGACAAGUUGAUGUCUGUUAUACAAAUCAACGAAAUAGAAGAUAUUUCAUUUUUUAAUCUUCUGUAAGAAGUUUCUCUAAAUGAUACUGAGAUUAAAGUCUCCUCCGAAUGAGAUUUUGCAUAAGUUGGUUCCUUUUGGACCAUAAAUCAUAGGAAACAUAACACAAUUAAUUCAAAACAAUCAACCCAUGAUUAAAAUCAAGGUUAAUUAUCUAACCCCUGUAAUUACAAUCAAGAAUAAUUAAAAUUUUCACUUCAAAGAAAACACUUUUUUAGUUCAAAACAGAAAAAAAAAAAUUGAUUAAACACAAAACACACGUCAAAAAAAGACCAUAAUGGAUCAAAAUAAGCUUACAGAAAGAGAGGAUGACUUCUGGGUAUGAGAAAGAAACGAAGAAGAAGAAUUGGGCUGCAGAUGACCGAGAAGAACUUUCUGUCUGUUCCCUGCCUUCUCCAUUUCUGUGUUUCUCAGUUAAAAGCGACAAUGUUACGGAAAAAUCGUGUACUUUGGAAAAUAAUGCAUGCUGAUAUAAAUAAGCAGAGGUUGUCUUGGAUUGGACAGAUUCAUGUGGACCCUAUCGCUUAAGUGAAAGAAACCUGAAUAGGAAUAGUCAGCAAGUAGUAGCGAUGUUUCUUUGGAGAUUUCGGAGAAAAGACAGAGACAGUGCUCCACGUUUUCCAAAAUAGGCGUUAGGUAGGGGUAUUCGUCAAACCGCUCAAACCCGCAAAUCCAAACCGAUUAAAAAUUGUGAUUUCAAAAAUUAAUGGUUUGAGUUGAUUUUGUAAAAGUUAAAAUUGAGCUUCUAAUUUAGUUUACCAAAACCUCUCAAACCGUGUAUAUAUUUAAAUAUUUAAACUUUUAAAUGAUAAAUAAUUCAAUUUAAUUUUGUAUAAAAAUUUCUUUUGGGUCGAUUAAUUUAUAUUGGAUAGUAAUUAAAUAAUAAUUUUAUAAAAAGUUUAAACGUUAAAAAUUUAUGAAAAUAGAUUUAGUAUAUAUUAUGUGUAGAAUUAGAGUUUUUAUAAUUUUUUAGUAAUAAAUAUAAAAAUAAAUCAAAUUUUAUAUUUUAUAUUUAUAAAUUGAUUCGCUAACGUUUUAUUGAAUAUAUAUUAUUUUUAUACCAUACUCAGAAUAAAUGUAAAAAAAAUUAAUUAAAAUCUUUUUUAUAACUACUUAAAAUCAUGUGUAUUCUAUGUCAUGAUUUGUAUUAAUUCAUUUUUCAUAUUUAGUAUAAUGUUAAUCAUUUUUUUUUCUCAUUAACUAUAUGACUAAGGAAGUUUAACUUAUCUUUUUUCAAAUCAAACUAAAUCAAACUGUUAAUAAAAAUUUAAUUUGUUUUGAAAUUUUUAUGAUUUGAUUUAAUUUUGAAUUUUUCAAAUCUCCACUUUAAAUUUGAUUUAAUUAUUAUAUUUAAAUCAAACCAAACUAACUCAAGAAAGAGGCCUAACGUUAGGUAUUAAUUGAGUUUCUCAUUCCCACGCCUCUUGUAACAACUUUUUAAAAUUUUUCCUUUAUCAAUUUAUUUGUGCAAAAUUUGAUAAUGCUAGCUUAAAAUUUUUUAUCCUUAACUAAUAUUUUUUUUCUGAGAAUUUAACUAAAAUUUUUUUAAUCCCUAAUUAAAUUUGCAAGAAGUCAAGCUUUUAAAAUUUAACACUCUUGUAUAUCCAAAUAAUAUAAUAAAAAUUUUUCAAUAAUUUGUAAUUUUUUAUUUUAUGGCACUCUUUACUUCUCUGUAUAUAUAUAGUACAUUAAUAUUUAUAAAAAUGUUUUUCUCUCUUUAAAAUUUUAAUAAAAGGGUAUUAGUAAAUUAUAACUACUUUUUUCUAAAAUUAAACUCGUAUAAUGAUUUUUUUUUAAUCCUUGUAUAAUUUGAUUUUGUGGUACAUAAAGUGAAACAAAACUAUUCUUCGUGGUACGUAAACAUUAAACAAAUAGCACUUGUUAUUAAAAAAAAAAGCUCUCUUGCUUUUUUUGGUUAGGGCAGCCUUGGAAGUAAUGGCCCUAGCGUGUUAAGUGUGAAACACCCUUGGACGUCAAAUUGACUUUUUUAGAACAGAAAAAUUGGAAGUCAAACUGACUAAUACUUGCUUUUUCCUGAAAAAAAAAAAGAAAGCGAAAACUCGUGGUCAACGGUCAACCAUUUAUAAUUCCACAGAUGGCUUUCCUGUUUAUUUAUUAUUUUAUUUACUUAUUUUUAAAAAUAUUUAAAUGAUUAGGGUUUUUUCACUUGAGAAAAGGAGCUCGAAGCUUUAUUUAAUUAAAUCAAAAAGCAAUAUAGCUUCAAUGCAAUGAUAGACGGUCUUUCAAAUCUCUGAAAACGAGCAAGAGAAAUAAUCACUCCAACGAAAAAGUAAAUAGCCAUGUUAGCUUCUCUUCGAAUCUAAACCAAAAAAACAUAUACUAAUCAAUAAUGGAGAAUUUUUCUAAGUAAAAGAUAUAAAUAAACAACCAUCUGUCUGCAUCUCUGAAAGAACUUUCUCCACGAUUCACGCUUGAGGACAAGCAGGUUUUGGAGUAAGGGGAGUAGUAUUAGCACACCAAAUACUUUCUUACCUUAAGUUACAAGAGAUUCAUACAAGGAAAAUCUAGACCGAGUCACUGUAACUGAAGUUUCAUUGAUAUUGUUAUGGCUGGCUGGCAAAUUUUUUUAUUUAUUUCCAAUUAGUUGAAAAUUAGCAUCUAAUUUCUCACUUUAGCUGUGGUUAGUAACAGCUUUUUAAGUAGCUUUUAACGUUUUAAUUAAUAUAAUGUUUAAACUAAUUUUUAGAGGUUAAAAUAGUAUUUGUAAAAGUUGACUCGUACGACGUUAAGCAUAAAAAGCUGCUCAAAUAGCUAACAGCUAAAUACUAUUAAAACAGCUAACGGCUAUCAAACAGUUACUUUUAUCAAAUAGACACUUUAUUUCCUUGUUUUAGGGUGGGUAUUCCACCAGGCUAUAUUUACAAACAAGUUAAUAACAGAUAUCAUUUAGAAUCCAAUAAUAGUUUUGAGUACUUAAAACUCCAGAUUUGCAGGUUCUUUCUAAUGAGAGAACAUUGCAAACAUGGGUAAAAAUAUAAAAACUACAUGCAGAUCACCUGGGAGUUUUAAUGGAGAUAUUUCAGUGCAGGUACUUCUAUUACAAAAGAAUAAACAAAUGAAGAUAUUUCAUUAUCAAAGGUCAGAAAUCACAAUCAACAGUAAAUCUAUAAACUAUAUAUACUCAUGCUCACCAUCAAAAGUUCUCAUCUUUACACCACGGGGCUUCUAUACAAGAGAGAAUUAGCCAAUCCCGGUGCUUGAAGAUAGAAAGAGCUGCCCUUAUGUACACUAUUGAUUCGUUGGUACUUUUGGCUUCAUUGGUCUUGUCUGAAUAUUUUGUCCCUUUGCCUGAAGCACCAUAGACAUAGCUCGAAGCCUAUUUGUUAUCUCAGUAAAUGAUGGCCGAGAAUCAGGGUCAGGUGACCAGCACUGUUCCAUCAACUUCCUCCACUCGGGGUCACAACUUUCCGGAAUAGGAGGUCGAAGAACAUUUUUCACUAUCCCGCCUUCAAUAAAAUUCAACAAACAAACAAGAAUAUAAACAAACAACCAAACAAAAAAAAAAAAGGGUUAUCUAACACAGAAAACACAUCAAACAGAGAGAAGAUCAAUGCAUGAAAACAAAAAGAAACCAAGAGAAAGAGAUUUAAGAAGUCUACAAACUCCUACUGCACUGCAUGGAUCAUCCAAUCCAAAUUCUGGCCACUGAUAUGUCCAUCACCAACCUCUAUGCAACAUAACACAGCUCAAUUUGCUGAAGAGAAGAACUGGAUCUAGUAAUUAUGUGAAGCACCAUCAGGUUUUUGCCCAGUUCAAUAAUGUGAAGAUGAUUGCUAAACCCAAUCUUUUAACUUAAGAGGACUCGCCACGGUUAGUAAUACUCUGUGUAUGGCCGUGAUCUUAUUGAAAGAGGAUAGCAAUUAGGAUUGAUUUAUUAAUCCUAGUGCGUGUGUUUGUCCAUUUACGCAAAACCAUGAAUUAGAUGGGGUGGCUUCAUUUUUUUUAUAUAUUUUGUUUCUACUUUUUUUGUUGGUUUUUAGCUAUGAAUUUGCUUCGAUUUACUGGUUUCAGUGAUGAGUAUAUACAUCUAUAUAACAGUUAAAAAGAUAAGACAACUUUUUGAUUAUUUAAAACUAAAAAAUAUUUACUGAUUUAGUAAAAAAAGAAAUAAUAGGCAAAAAAGGUAUUUUCCUAAUUAGGAUGCAACCUUUAAAUUUUUUAUGGUUCUAUUUGAACCAAUUGAAAAAAAUUAGGCAAGUUUAAAUUCUUAUCCAAUAUUUUAGCCUCUAUACAGACCAUAACAACUUUGAUACAAGAAAAAGAUUCCACUGCAAUUUUUAUCAUUGUCAUUUGGUACUGAUAGAGCAAUGGUGAUUCUAUUUCCUAAUGAAUGUACAAGGAAAAGCAAAAUGUCUUUUCCACCACUGCAUAUGUAGAUUUCCAAUGAAGAAUCAAUACUAGGUUUAGACACACACUUACCAAUGAUUGCACCACAAUGCAUAUCUGCAUAAGGUUCCUCCCCAGUCAAGAUCUCCCACAAUGAAAUGCCAAAUGAGAAAACAUCAAUCUGGCCAACAAAAUACCACUAUCAUGAUUGCCAUAUAACUGGAUUCAUAUUAGCAAGACAUAGAACGAUGAGGAUCAACUAACCUUCUCAGAUACCCGACUGCUGCUUCCGUUCAACAAUUCUGGUGCCAUCCAUGGAAGGGUCCCUCGCACACCACCAGAUACAAGAGUAUUGUGUUUGAUUCUCGAGAGUCCAAAAUCACCAACCUGAAAAUAAGGGGGAAAAAAGGAAUAUUCAAUACUUGAAAUCAGAAAAUCCUAACUGAAGUGCACCUUGUGUAGGAACAUCUAGAAAUUCACAAUUAUUAUUGCAUAGAAGUUAUGGUUUUUUUUUGUUUCGUUAGCCUCUCAUAGUCAUAGUCUUUAUUUUUAUAUCCUUUGAAUCAACUGAGUUGGCAGUAGGAUUUGAACUGUUUACUUUGCAUAUGGGUCGUAGGGGAUCCCUUAGAUUGACGAGCAAAUUGUCACACUUCAGAUCAAAGUGGACAAUAUUUUUUGAGUGCAAGUAUUCCAUGCCAAAAGCUGCAUCCAUGGCAAUUAUGAGCUUCUUACGAUGAUCAAGUGAUCUGCAUAAAACAAAAACAAGGCCAUGAAAUUACAAGUAUAACUAGAAGAUGCAGAUGCACAAUAAAACAGAUUGAAUUACCUAUCCUUCUUGAGUAGGACAUGUCUAAGCGAUCCAUUCACCAUAUAUUCAGUUACAGUUGCUAAGGUUCCUCCAGCCCCAUCUGGAACUACCCCAUAAAAUGCAACCACAUUUGGAUGGUGAAGAUUUGAGAGUAUCUGUGCUUCCCUCCAAAAGUCUUUUGUCUGCUCAAUCAAUGAACCAUCAAUUUUAUAUAAGACUGAAUAAUUAAAAAGCAAAAUCCAUAUAGAAGACCAUACUCAAAGUGACAAUGAAUUCCUCAUCCUUUCUCCUCUUGGUUUCUCUCCACUAAAUACCAGAUAUACUCAAAUCAAUUACUUAUUAAAACAAGUUCAUAAAUCAGUAAUUUCCUAAACACCAGCACGGUUCAAUUAAUCAGAUGUUUUGUUCUUCCCUCAUUCUCCAUUAUGGUUAUGUGCUACCUAUGUUCCGAAAUUUUAGGGAGCUCAUGAUCCUAAAAAAUUUGUUUGCUCCUUUGUUUGUGUAGUCAAAAUUUGUGAACAAGGACAAUUCACAACUUUUUACAUUUUAUAAAGUCUUUCCACAAAAAUACUUUUGGAGCAUAUCAAGAUAAUUAUCACAACCAUAACUAAGAUAAGAAAGCAUAAUUAUAAUGUGAACACAUAAAUUAGAUCUUUGAAAGUGCAAAAGAGAUGGCAGCACAAUGGCAGGGCAAAUCUUCAUGUCAGAUAACAAGAAGAAUGACCAGAUAAAUAAUCUCCGCUACUGAUAAUAUUCAACAACUGUUCUCCUGGUCUAAUGGCUAAUUUGAUUGUUAAAGUUUUAACUGGCAUGCAAGUCCCACAUAUCUUAAAAUCAACAUCAAACACCUGCGAAACUGAAAGCAGAUGGAAACAACAUUUCUUCAGAAAUCAGACUAUAGACAUAUGCUUUAGAACAUUUACUAAUCCAUACAAUGUUCUCCCACACUUCAGUCUCAGUGGCUGUACACAUAGGAAAAUGCUAUCCAUAUUUGUUACUAGGAACACUUAUAAGAAAUAUAUAGUAGAAACUUACCAAACGUUCUUGCUCUGACGAUCUCCCUGAAAAGCAGCUCUUUUUAAUUCUUUUAAUGGCAACAUCUGUUCCCCGCCAUUUUCCAUGGUAGACAGUGCCAUAAGUACCAGAUCCUAAUUCUAUUAGUUCUUCAAGAUCAGCAUUCUUUAUAAUCUGCAUACCAAUGUUAGGAAACUUCAGUUAAAUCAACUAAACAUAAAUGUAAAAGAGAAAUAAAGCAAAAUAUUGCACAUUUUUGAUGACUCAAAAUGCUGAAUAAUGACAAAUGCCGCAGAGCUAGGAUUUCAACAAAAGAUAAAAUGUACUGGGUACUCAUCUAACCAGCAAAUGUAUAAAUUGAACUUGCAUCAUAAGAUGAAGUCAAAACACUGCCCCAGUUUGUCAUAAAUAAAAAUAGGCUUCCAACUGUAGGCCUAUCUUAACUUAAAAAUGAUAACUACAUGCAAAACAUAAAGAGAGAAAGGGCUAACAUAUACGAUCCAGAGAUUCAGAAUCACAUAGGAUGUGCAAUAAAAUGCCCCAUAAUCGUAGGAGCCAAUAUGACUUCAUCAACACAUCAAGGAAGUUGCACAAAAAAACUUGUCAACCAUGCUCCAUCCACUACAGCCUAUUUUCACAGAGAUCCAGUAGCCAAUUUAUAGGUGAAAAAUCCCCUGUUGUUAGACAAUAAAAAAGAAGGAUAUGUAGUUUUUAAUUUCUUUUGGCAAUAGUUGUCAUGCGCUAUGGGAAACAGCCAAGUUGAUAAAGUUAUGUAUGACUUGGUAUAGACAGGAAGAACAUAUCAAAAUUAAGCAGUUUAUCUAAUUCUAUCGCUAAAAAUUUUCAGUUACUACUUCCUAGGAUGCAACUUUAAUUUCAAAUUAAAUAUUUAUGUGUAAUCUUGUGAUGAGAGAGUCAAAAUUCAGCACAAAUAUAAUUGUUUCAAGCGUGAGAAUUUGUACUUUUGCAAAUAAAUAUAUUAAAAACAGAAAAACUGUAAUUAACAACUAGAGCAUAACCUGCAAGCCAUAUAUGCUGGCUUCCAUUUCAGCCAUCACUGCGUCACUAAUAGAUGUAUCCUUAUUUCCAUCAUCAUCAUUUAUGUCCUGUAAACAAACCCAAGCUGCAAAUUAAGACUAGAAGUAAAUAUUUAAAGAAUAAAACUAGAAACUACACACACCAAAAAAACAGCAAUUUUUACCUCAAAUUCAGUUUCUUGCAUGAUACUUUCAUCUACUGUUGCAAUAGGCGAUAUAAAAUCACUGUUGGUUGGAUUGGCAACAGGUGGCUGAACAUGUGGGAUGAUACUGUCUGACCCUCUUGAGCUAGGAGCCACAAAGUCACUAGUUGUUGGAUCAGUGACAUACACAGCAACAUGUGGCAUAAUGCUUUCUGCCUCAGUUAUUGUAGUUGAUCUAAAAUCAUCACUGACAAGAUUGGCAACAUGUGGAACUGCAUCAGAAGAUUGAGCAGUAAGAGGUGUAGCAGCUUCCCCAGUAACUAAUGGUUCCCAUAGAUUUUGAUAUUGAUUUUUACUUAAUGAUUUUAUCUGAGCCAACAUAAGAUCCCCAAUAUUUGACUUAUCAUAAGCAGGUCCUCCAAAACCCAACUGCUCAACCUUUUGAUCAAGGUAACUUCCAUAGUUCUCAACAAGGUGAGAAACCUUUCUUUCAAAUAACGCAUCCUUCGUAACAUUAUUAGUUUUGCAAUGCAAGUCAUUUGCGUUUGUAUUUGGACAGGAAUCUUCACAGAAGCUAGAUGGGAUUUUAGGGCUUAGUAGCAAGGAGUCUUUGUUAUCCAUAUUCUGGCUUUCAAUAGGUUGAACUCGUGAUGAUUCAUGAAAAAAUUGAUGGUUUAAUGCCCCAGACACAAGAUCAACUGACGAAAUUUCACUGUGAGGCUGCAGUUGACAAAUGCUAAAUAACUCCUCAACAUCUAGCCUGCCAGUCUUUGUUAUGUGGCUUCCUUGUUCACUAUUCAGUUCUCCUUUCAAACUACAAUACUGAUUAUAAUCAUUCCCCUGGUCCAUCAGUAGGAGAUUAGAAGGGGCUUGGUAGUUGUGGGAGUGCUCCAUGAAGUCAUUUACAGAAGAUUUGGAAUUAAUGCCCGGUGAUGCAGUGAGCCUAUCUUCAAAUUUGCUCUCAUAUUCAGUACCAGCAGCUCGUAAUUUCUCCACAAAAGGCUUUUCACUUUGAUGAAAACCUGGAUUACUUCUGUCAAAUGCAUUCAUCAUUUCUGAACUUAACAAGUAUUCCUCACAAUGGCUUGUAAUUUGGCAUUGGUCAUCAGCAUCGACAGUAGCUUUCUGAAUAGGUUUAUCCCUUCCUGUUGAUUCUGAGCAUGAAGAAAAAUUGAGCAAAUCCAACCUGCUGCACGACUUAGUAGACUCAAUGUCUGAUAACUUAUUUUGCAGAGUAGGAUUGACAACAUUAUUGUUCUCAUGCAGUUGCACUAGCUUUUCUUGUGAAGAACUUGAGACUAGUGAAGAUAACUGAGUCUUGGCAAAGUUCAAGGGAGAUGAUGGACUCAUUCCCUCUUGAGAACAGUAGGCAGACAAACCCCCAUGCUCUUGUAGUUUUGAAUCAGAAAAGGCAUGUGGCAUGCCAUAAUGAGAAUCAAUGGAGUUCAUAGAUGCUGAUAGGCCUGUAGGAUCUUCCAUGCCCAAGAAAGGCUUCUCAGAAUGGAAUGCCCUUUCCUUAUGCAUAAGCCUCUCGAAAUAUAAAUCAUCAAAACUACCUUCCCUCAAAUUAAAAGCCCAAGGGGUUGCAAGUUGUUUGUCAAGGUUAUGAUUGUGGGAUUGCACCCCAUGUUGUUGGUGUGACUGAACAACAUCAACAUAGGGAUGACAAUGAUUCAUGAAAGCACCUAGACCCUGAGAGGGUUGGUUCAUGCUACAAUUAUCAGGUGGAAACUGAGCAGAGGCACAGGAAUUACUGUUCUCGACACUGGAGUUAUUACAAUGCAAUUUUUUGUGAGAAUUCGCAGAAUCUUGAUGCUGUAGAGGAAUUGGAGAAAUAGGAGGAGACUGAUGGGGAGAUCUGGGGGAUUCAUUUGAAAAUUUAGGAGGAAAAAAUGCACUCAAACCAUUUUUCAUCUCCAAAGGAGAAAAAGGAGAUGGAGAAUGUUUACGAAAGCCUGAAUUGCAAUCCAAAAUACUUUCCGGUUGACUGGCUUCACUAGUUGAACAAUCCCCACCUGAGUUUUUCUUAGGAGUAGUAUCUAAGAUGCCAUUUACAGCAACAACAAACUGGUAACUGGGGCUAUUUUGUUGGAUGGUAGUUGCCUCAAAAGGUGAUGACUUUUCACAUUCACACAAAGGAAUCAAAAAUAUUCGGAGCCUUUGAGAACCUCCGAGCUUUUCAAGCCCAUGGUAUUCCUCUAUCAUGUUUUGAAGGUCUUCAUCAGAAGAAACUGAUAUAAGAGCAUCAAGAUCCUCACCUGGAAGUUGAUACCUGAUGGAGUGAGGUUGGUUGCAAAUACAUUUCGUUUUCAUGACAAGUUCUUCCCAUGUAAGAUUCUUAGAAAUGGAGAUAAUGCGGGUUUCUCCUCCCACAUAUCUGAGCUUCCCAUCACUAGGCCUUGGCAAAAUUUUCCCUCCAGAACUGCAAAGGAACUUCAUCUUUCCUGGUUGAGAUCUAUCCAAAUUACUUGGCCCAUCAAAAUUAUUAAAAGAAGGGGAUUCUAUUGCAUGAACAGCUGAAGCAGAUGAACCCAAGCCAGCACUCCUAUCACAACUCAAUUCUCCAAAAGCCUUUCCUGAUCUAUGUAUACUAUCUCCAUCUUCCACGUUCAGCCUUUUUAGUUUGUCAACAUAAGCCCCGCUUUCAGUCUCUCUUAAAGAACCUUUUGCAGACACAAAAUUAGAAAUAUCAUCAGCAGAUUCAGAAUCCAUUCUCCUCAACCCAAGUAUACUGGCAAGAUCCUCAUAUCCCCGUUGAUAGUUUUGAUCAUCAAUAUGUGCAACUCUGUUUUCACAAUUUUGAGCUGGACUGAGUGGAGGGGGAUGGGGAAUUCCUCUAGUGGUCACACGAUCCUGGAGGAAUUGCAUAGAAAAUUCCUCGCCCGUCUGCACAGAUAUAUUAUGUGCAUUUUUCCUAUCUUGGGGACAAAAGGUGCUGAUCCCUGUUAUUGGACCCAUUGACUGCAGGGACUAGAUACUUCUCUGUUUGCUGAAUCCGCAGAUUUUUUUGCGAUAUUUAAUAAUUAUAUUAAAAGGAUAAGAACAUUGCUCUUCCAAUUUAAGGCACUAUUAAUUAACCUCUGCAACCAGAAAAUCAAGAACACAGAACGAACCAGCUCCUUAUCUCCCCAACACGAAUUCAAAUUCAAUUUUAAUACACCGUAGCAACGGGAUUCAACUUUCAUAAUAUCAAAUAUACCUCCAUACUGUAAUGGCCAUUAUCAAACCAUAAACACAGUUCCUAAGUUCACAAUCAAAUCAAAUCAAUGUGGACAGAGUGCUUGCAAGCUAGUACCAACUCCAAUCUAAAUCAAACCCCAAACCUUUACACAAUUAAAAAAAUCCCCUCUAUUUUAAAAAUUCAAUGUACAAUAAACAAUUGGAACUUCAAAAACCGAAAUGAAAAACUUGAGGUAUGCAUCUGUUCUAUACCCAAUCAGACUUCCAUUUCCUUGUUUCCAACCACACUAACUACAUUCACAAUCACAAAUAUCGCAGAUCCAAACGGCAAAAUUAAUUUUAUGGGAAUCAGUAAAAGCCAAUCCAUCCAAUAUCGCACGAUCUCCAAUUAACAUUAUGUACAUGAGACCUAAAAAGAUCAAAAUCCAGCUCGUAUUAACAAAAUACCUGUAAUUUGGAAAGGAAAAAGGUGCAAAAACUACGUAUCUGCUUUUUUAUGGUGUUUUGUAUUUUUAUAAAAAAAAAACCUCUUUACGACUACUCUUUCUCUCUCUAUAUUUCUCCAUUCAUUGAGUCUGGUUCUGUUGAGCUCCUGAGCUGCCAUUCCUGGUGCAUGGAAGAGAAUAAUUGAUUGCCAGGAUCCAAACGUAAGAGAAGGGACAUUGACUUCGAUUUUUUUGAAAGUGGAAAAAAUAGAGGAGAAGAGAAGAAAAGGAAGGGGUGGCUUACGCCUGUAGGAGGAUCAAUAUCGCUCCGGCAUGGAAAUUUGGAGAAGAGCGACAUUGCCGAGAAAUCAGCGUCAUCGACACGAGAGAAACUAAAAACUAAAAACCUAUCUUUUUAACUGUAAAUGAUUAAAAAAUAUUUAAAUUUCAUUAUUUUUAUAUUUUAUGAAUUUUUGUUUCCUUUUCUCUUUCCUACGUGGACUCACCCUUUGGAAGUUUGAAUAUGUUACCCUCCCAAAUCUGAAACGACAAAUGGACAAAAUGGAUUAAAAUAAUAUUUUUUCGAAAAUUAAAAAGAAUUUAAUAAUAUUGGAAAAGUUCAAAACUUUAGAAUUACAUGUACAUUGUACAAGUACAAGGUAGUUCCACUGUCCUGUCCACAUGCACAUUUUGCAACACGUCAUCACGUACGGCUAACGACUAGGCCACGUCGGCCUCGAUGGGCUCGAUGUCUCGGAUCCAAAUACGGUCCCAAGCUCAUGAACAUACCCAAUUAAAACAUUGAUAUUGAUAAAUAAUAAUCACAGCUAAACAACUUCAAAUCUUCAAUUAACAUAAUUAAUCUAAAAUGUUGACCUGAUCAGAAAACUCUUUUUAUAAUGAAACUCUUAGCCAAUCAAUUUUAUCUUAUCUUUUAUUAGUCAAACUCUUUUCUUGAAGAAUUAGAUUCUCUUUGCCAAUUUUCACAAUGGGGCAUUUAUGUUUUUUUUUUUUUUUUAAUAAAGUGUUUUUCACGUGUAAAUACUAAAUAGUCCAACUAAGAGUUCCAAUUCCAUCUCAACAAGUGGUGAAACGAUUGCCAUGCUAGUCAUUUUGUGAUAAAAAACUUUUAUAUUUUAGACAUUUAAAUAUAAAAAUAUUUCUUCUAAAUACCAAAUUAUAAAAAUUUAAAAGCUAGAAACCAAAUUUAUAAUUACCUCAAUCUUAUUAACAAAAAUUUCGACUGUCACAAGAUGUUUAUAUCCUUAAUUCCAAUUUCAGGACGUCUAUACAUGAGAAGAGAAAUUAGUACUUCUUUAAUUUGAACAAGGGAUAGAGAGACUCCUUCCAAACAAAUUAUCAGAAAAGAGGAAAUAAAACAACAAAACAAUUUUUUUUUUUUUAUCAAACAAACUUUUUUUAUUAUAAUAAAAAAAGUUUGUUUGAUAAAAAAAAAAAAAUUUUUUUUUUUUUAUCAAACAAACUUUUUUUAUUAUAAUAAAAAAAGUUUGUUUGAUAAAAAAAAAAAAAUUUUUUUUUUUUUAUCAAACAAACUUUUUUUAUUAUAAUAAAAAAAGUUUGUUUGAUAAAAAAAAAAAAAUUUUUUUUUUUUUAUCAAACAAACUUUUUUUAUUAUAAUAAAAAAAGUUUGUUUGAUAAAAAAAAAAAAAUUUUUUUUUUUUUAUCAAACUAACUUAUUUUAUUAUAAUAAAACAUUCCAGGAGCAGAGACGAUUUAUAAAAAAGGGGCAAAUUACUAUAAAAAUUUAUUAAAAUAAUAUUAUGAAAAAAGGAGGAGUCAAAAUGGUUAAAGGUGUCUUAAAAAUUAUUCUAGACCAAGAUUUGAAUCGCUGUUUUUUUUUUUUUCCCUGACUAGAAAAAAUCUAACUUAUUCAAUUAAUUUAACCCGAAUAAAUAGAUUCUCGGAAACACUCGGUUAUAACCUAAAAAAAUUAAGUGAAAAUACUUGAUAUAAAUACCUAUGAGAGAACAAGACAACAAAGCAAUUCCAAACCCAAUUCCCUUUUCCUCUAAAAAUCUGAUACCUCUACUGUCUCUCCAGUGGAAAGAGAGGCCACGCUGUUUCCAAAGGAUCAAAGAUUUGUUCACUAAUCUAAAAUACAAAGCCAUGCCAGUUCACUUUAUCAAAUUUACAAUGAACAAACUAAAAAAACUAAAUAAGUUAAAACUAAAAAGCUAAUUCUCUGUUUCUUUCUUCUCCUUUUUUUUUUUUUUUAACAGUAAAAAUAGCUAAUUCUUUCUAAAAAAACUAUUUACAACCAAUUGUAUACAUAUUUAUUGAGUUUUUUUUAACCAAAUAUUUACUGAGUUGAGUUAUUAAAAAAAAUUAUCAAUGCUUACGGACUUUGGCUCAGUUGACAACACAGGCUGGAUAUGUUGUAAGAGCUCUUGGAUUCCAUUUUCACUAAACUUUUAAAUUCGAUUCCCACUAAAAAUACUUGCUGCACUUGCUGGGAGAGUUGAAAAGUCUUCACCGAUUCUACAUAGCUUCUGGUGCAAGGGUCAACAUACUUAGAAAAAUAAAAUCGAACUAUUCUUGGUUUUUGGUUACCAUUUUGAUAUUCAAUAAUUUUGUUUUUUGGUAUUUGGAUCGUUUAUUGCAAAAAUAAUUAUUUUUCUAAGUAAAUCUGAAUCGUUUCUGUGAUUUGAUUCAUCCUGUGUCCAAAGUCUACUGACUCGACUAAUUUGGAAUCGUGACGGGUAGACUUACAUAUAGAGGGCAAAGUGCCCCCUCCCGCCCGCUUUCUCCCGAGUAUUUAAAAGAAUUCUAUACCCAAAAUUUGAGCUCAAAACUUUUGGUUAAGGAAUAAAUGAUUUUUGUCAUACCAUCUCACUUUUCAAGAAUUCGAGUUUGAUUUUAAUAAAAAGCUAAAUUUGAUUUUUUUUUUUAUUUGGUUCGGUUCCAUUUGCACACCCCUAUGAAGUGUGCAUAUAUAAGAUAUAUGUGUUAUUAUAUUUUAUUAAAAUUGCUAUAAUUUUGAUAGAAUGAGUCUUGUCUCCUACGUGUGUUUCUCGUAAAAGGAAGUAAUUAUAUGUGCUCUAUAAUCUAAAAUGUUACUUUGCUAAAGACAAUAUUUAUACAUACAAACACGUAAUACAUUGUCCAAGUGGGAAAUCUUACUAGGAAACGACUUAUCAUUUAGCCUGUUUGAGAAACGCAAGGCUUGGACUUCUACGAUCUUGUCUAACUGCAACGGCAUGUGCGAUGUGGUUAAGGCUGGAUUAUAGAGCGACAUCUCGUCUUGCAUCGCGGAAAUGACGGAGACAGGUUGUCUGGCGCAGCUCAAUUAAGAAAUGACUGGCUUGUGCGAAUUAGAAACGACAGAUCGCAUAAUCCCGUCAGGUCAUAAAUUCAUGAUCGUCGGACCAUUAAUUGACAACGAUCGAAAAAGAACAUCAAGUGCAUAUGGGGACAGCGUUAAUUGACCAAAAUGCCCAUUUAUUGGACACUUCGCGUACGUGUCCAGCAUUCGAAUCUAACAGGGCCGUUCACAGACCCGUCACCCACUCCGUCGAACGUGCUUUCUCUCUCUGUGUCACUCCCAGAAAGAACGAAAAAAGAAAAAGAGUAUCCCUCGAAAUCCGCUACUCUAUCGGAAUCCAAACACAUACGCAACUUACUUAGACUCUCUGUCUGUGGAAAGUUCCACAGAUCCGGAUCGAAGGCACGAAUAAAACUAAGGCGGCCAUGGUAGAGUCGCCGGAGAAUCGCCGGAGAUCUUCUUCUUCUUCUUCUUCAUCGAGUUCCGGCGAGGUUUCGGUGAGGAUCGAGCGGAAACUUGGCGCUGGAACUAGCACUGAAGGCAAAGAACUUGAGGGUACAGCAGCGGCUGCUGGUUCAGUGACCAAUGGAGGCCCGGAUUCUUCAGGUUUCUUGAAUUUUGCUCUAUCAAAUGAAAUUCAGUUGAGUUUGACUCUAUUUUUUUGUUCUAAUCAAACUAUCAACUGAAACUGUUUGUUUUUUCGUAUUUCCAUUUUUAUUAAUUUAUUAAUUAAAAUUAAUGAGUUGAAUUGUCUGUUAAAUUUCUUCUUGCCAACAGUUUCUUAAGUGCAUGAAGUAUAUCUUAUUUUUUGUUGAUCAGUCAGUCACUGUAAUACGUUUGAUAUAGUAUUUUUUUUUUUAAUUUUAAUUAUAUGGAAAUAGUCUAAUAGAUUGUACGAAAUGAUUUAAGAUGGAGACGUAGUAUAGAUGGUCUAAUAAAAAGCAUGGUCAAACAGGUUUCUUGAAUUCUGGUACCCGUUCAGUUACAUUUUUCUCCAAGUGGGAUUUUAAUGGAAAUGGCAACCUAUUACCUUUAAUCUUCUUUAAUAAGGUGUAUUCAUCUAGUAGCUUAGGAGUCAUGGGCUAGUUGCAGCAUGUUGACGCAUGUUGACUUCAGUAAAUUUCAAAGGAUAUUGGCCGGCAAAGAUUUAACCUAUGGUAGUCACUGGGAGAAGACGAAGUACCUUGCACUAUUAUGAAAGCUUUUUCUUGAACUGAAUAAAAGCUCCUUCAGCACACUUUGGUGUUUUAUUAUUUUAGCUAAUUCCUAUGAGAAAUGUCGGUAGAGUAUGAAACACAACAGAUUUUGCUUAUUUUAAUGUAUGAAUAAUGCUUUGGUAUGUGCUAAGAAUCAUGGGAGAGUUAAGUGAAGUUUUUCAUGCUCAUGUAGACGUUUACCUCUGUAAUUAAAUCGACAUACUUAUUUUAAUGUAUGAAUAUGCUUUGGUAUGUGCUAAGAAUCAUGGGAGAGUUAAGUGAAGUUUUUCAUGCUCAUGUAGACGUGUACCUCUGUAAUUAAUUCGACAUAAAUUUUUGAAUCUCACUUUGUAAUCAUUGUGGUAAUGGCUGUAUGCUGUGAUGACGUAUUGUAUUAUAAUUCAAUAUUCCUUGGAGAAUUGGCUUCUUGUUUGUGUGGGCUUAAAUUUGUGAUAUACUGUGGCUUUUUCUUUUGUUUUAGGGAUUGCUGGCAAAAGUACAUCUAAAUUAAACCCUUCACAGAUUGAAGUUUCUGGUGCUAACGAACUAAAACCUACUUCAAGUGAGCUUAAGCUAGAAAGAUCUAAAACUGAAAGGCAAAGGCAUCAUAAUAUACUUGCUGAAGAGGCAAAACAAAUAUUUGAUGAGAAGAUUCCUGUCCAGCAGAAGGUAUUACUCAUCAAACAUAAUACUUUUCUUCAUUUAAAAUUUUAUCACCUGUGAUGCCAUCAGUUUCCAUGUUGUUGGUGAUUUUCACUAUAAUUAGGGAGCUUUGGUGCAUAAUCUCUAAAGAUAAUAUUUGUUAGUAAAUGAGGAUUUGAUUUUGAUUAUUUCUCUUAUUUAUGAUUUAAAGUCUGGGCUUAAAUAAUUGUUGAAGAAUGAUUGUUAGUGUCUUGACUUGGUUUUGAUUAUAACUAUACAUAAGUGCUUAUAUCUUUUUUCGUUUAAAACCGUAAAUCUUGAAAUGAAUAGCUUCUUUGCUGAUGCAACUAUACUUGGGUUUUUAUUUGAUUCUAUUGAAACUGUGCAGCUUCAAUUGUUGAAAAGAAUAGCCACUGUCAAAGAUGACGGAACUGUGGAAUUUGAAGUUCCAGGAGAUGUUGAAGCCCGAGCUCUCGGAAUUGGAUCUGAUGAUGUAUAUAAUACAGUUACUGAUGAUGAGCCUGUUGAUGCAACAGAUAUUCAGUAUAUUCCCCCGCUGCAAAUAGUAAUGCUUAUUGUUGGUACACGUGGAGAUGUGCAGCCCUUCAUAGCAAUUGGAAAAAAGCUGCAGGUUAAUUUGCAUCGUACUCUCUCUAAAUCCCUCCCCCGCCCCCCCCNNNNNNNNNNNNNNNNNNNNNNNNNNNNNNNNNNNNNNNNNNNNNNNNNNNNNNNNNNNNNNNNNNNNNNNNNNNNNNNNNNNNNNNNNNNNNNNNNNNNNNNNNNNNNNNNNNNNNNNNNNNNNNNNNNNNNNNNNNNNNNNNNNNNNNNNNNNNNNNNNNNNNNNNNNNNNNNNNNNNNNNNNNNNNNNNNNNNNNNNNNNNNNNNNNNNNNNNNNNNNNNNNNNNNNNNNNNNNNNNNNNNNNNNNNNNNNNNNNNNNNNNNNNNNNNNNNNNNNNNNNNNNNNNNNNNNNNNNNNNNNNNNNNNNNNNNNNNNNNNNNNNNNNNNNNNNNNNNNNNNNNNNNNNNNNNNNNNNNNNNNNNNNNNNNNNNNNNNNNNNNNNNNNNNNNNNNNNNNNNNNNNNNNNNNNNNNNNNNNNNNNNNNNNNNNNNNNNNNNNNNNNNNNNNNNNNNNNNNNNNNNNNNNNNNNNNNNNNNNNNNNNNNNNNNNNNNNNNNNNNNNNNNNNNNNNNNNNNNNNNNNNNNNNNNNNNNNNNNNNNNNNNNNNNNNNNNNNNNNNNNNNNNNNNNNNNNNNNNNNNNNNNNNNNNNNNNNNNNNNNNNNNNNNNNNNNNNNNNNNNNNNNNNNNNNNNNNNNNNNNNNNNNNNNNNNNNNNNNNNNNNNNNNNNNNNNNNNNNNNNNNNNNNNNNNNNNNNNNNNNNNNNNNNNNNNNNNNNNNNNNNNNNNNNNNNNNNNNNNNNNNNNNNNNNNNNNNNNNNNNNNNNNNNNNNNNNNNNNNNNNNNNNNNNNNNNNNNNNNNNNNNNNNNNNNNNNNNNNNNNNNNNNNNNNNNNNNNNNNNNNNNNNNNNNNNNNNNNNNNNNNNNNNNNNNNNNNNNNNNNNNNNNNNNNNNNNNNNNNNNNNNNNNNNNNNNNNNNNNNNNNNNNNNNNNNNNNNNNNNNNNNNNNNNNNNNNNNNNNNNNNNNNNNNNNNNNNNNNNNNNNNNNNNNNNNNNNNNNNNNNNNNNNNNNNNNNNNNNNNNNNNNNNNNNNNNNNNNNNNNNNNNNNNNNNNNNNNNNNNNNNNNNNNNNNNNNNNNNNNNNNNNNNNNNNNNNNNNNNNNNNNNNNNNNNNNNNNNNNNNNNNNNNNNNNNNNNNNNNNNNNNNNNNNNNNNNNNNNNNNNNNNNNNNNNNNNNNNNNNNNNNNNNNNNNNNNNNNNNNNNNNNNNNNNNNNNNNNNNNNNNNNNNNNNNNNNNNNNNNNNNNNNNNNNNNNNNNNNNNNNNNNNNNNNNNNNNNNNNNNNNNNNNNNNNNNNNNNNNNNNNNNNNNNNNNNNNNNNNNNNNNNNNNNNNNNNNNNNNNNNNNNNNNNNNNNNNNNNNNNNNNNNNNNNNNNNNNNNNNNNNNNNNNNNNNNNNNNNNNNNNNNNNNNNNNNNNNNNNNNNNNNNNNNNNNNNNNNNNNNNNNNNNNNNNNNNNNNNNNNNNNNNNNNNNNNNNNNNNNNNNNNNNNNNNNNNNNNNNNNNNNNNNNNNNNNNNNNNNNNNNNNNNNNNNNNNNNNNNNNNNNNNNNNNNNNNNNNNNNNNNNNNNNNNNNNNNNNNNNNNNNNNNNNNNNNNNNNNNNNNNNNNNNNNNNNNNNNNNNNNNNNNNNNNNNNNNNNNNNNNNNNNNNNNNNNNNNNNNNNNNNNNNNNNNNNNNNNNNNNNNNNNNNNNNNNNNNNNNNNNNNNNNNNNNNNNNNNNNNNNNNNNNNNNNNNNNNNNNNNNNNNNNNNNNNNNNNNNNNNNNNNNNNNNNNNNNNNNNNNNNNNNNNNNNNNNNNNNNNNNNNNNNNNNNNNNNNNNNNNNNNNNNNNNNNNNNNNNNNNNNNNNNNNNNNNNNNNNNNNNNNNNNNNNNNNNNNNNNNNNNNNNNNNNNNNNNNNNNNNNNNNNNNNNNNNNNNNNNNNNNNNNNNNNNNNNNNNNNNNNNNNNNNNNNNNNNNNNNNNNNNNNNNNNNNNNNNNNNNNNNNNNNNNNNNNNNNNNNNNNNNNNNNNNNNNNNNNNNNNNNNNNNNNNNNNNNNNNNNNNNNNNNNNNNNNNNNNNNNNNNNNNNNNNNNNNNNNNNNNNNNNNNNNNNNNNNNNNNNNNNNNNNNNNNNNNNNNNNNNNNNNNNNNNNNNNNNNNNNNNNNNNNNNNNNNNNNNNNNNNNNNNNNNNNNNNNNNNNNNNNNNNNNNNNNNNNNNNNNNNNNNNNNNNNNNNNNNNNNNNNNNNNNNNNNNNNNNNNNNNNNNNNNNNNNNNNNNNNNNNNNNNNNNNNNNNNNNNNNNNNNNNNNNNNNNNNNNNNNNNNNNNNNNNNNNNNNNNNNNNNNNNNNNNNNNNNNNNNNNNNNNNNNNNNNNNNNNNNNNNNNNNNNNNNNNNNNNNNNNNNNNNNNNNNNNNNNNNNNNNNNNNNNNNNNNNNNNNNNNNNNNNNNNNNNNNNNNNNNNNNNNNNNNNNNNNNNNNNNNNNNNNNNNNNNNNNNNNNNNNNNNNNNNNNNNNNNNNNNNNNNNNNNNNNNNNNNNNNNNNNNNNNNNNNNNNNNNNNNNNNNNNNNNNNNNNNNNNNNNNNNNNNNNNNNNNNNNNNNNNNNNNNNNNNNNNNNNNNNNNNNNNNNNNNNNNNNNNNNNNNNNNNNNNNNNNNNNNNNNNNNNNNNNNNNNNNNNNNNNNNNNNNNNNNNNNNNNNNNNNNNNNNNNNNNNNNNNNNNNNNNNNNNNNNNNNNNNNNNNNNNNNNNNNNNNNNNNNNNNNNNNNNNNNNNNNNNNNNNNNNNNNNNNNNNNNNNNNNNNNNNNNNNNNNNNNNNNNNNNNNNNNNNNNNNNNNNNNNNNNNNNNNNNNNNNNNNNNNNNNNNNNNNNNNNNNNNNNNNNNNNNNNNNNNNNNNNNNNNNNNNNNNNNNNNNNNNNNNNNNNNNNNNNNNNNNNNNNNNNNNNNNNNNNNNNNNNNNNNNNNNNNNNNNNNNNNNNNNNNNNNNNNNNNNNNNNNNNNNNNNNNNNNNNNNNNNNNNNNNNNNNNNNNNNNNNNNNNNNNNNNNNNNNNNNNNNNNNNNNNNNNNNNNNNNNNNNNNNNNNNNNNNNNNNNNNNNNNNNNNNNNNNNNNNNNNNNNNNNNNNNNNNNNNNNNNNNNNNNNNNNNNNNNNNNNNNNNNNNNNNNNNNNNNNNNNNNNNNNNNNNNNNNNNNNNNNNNNNNNNNNNNNNNNNNNNNNNNNNNNNNNNNNNNNNNNNNNNNNNNNNNNNNNNNNNNNNNNNNNNNNNNNNNNNNNNNNNNNNNNNNNNNNNNNNNNNNNNNNNNNNNNNNNNNNNNNNNNNNNNNNNNNNNNNNNNNNNNNNNNNNNNNNNNNNNNNNNNNNNNNNNNNNNNNNNNNNNNNNNNNNNNNNNNNNNNNNNNNNNNNNNNNNNNNNNNNNNNNNNNNNNNNNNNNNNNNNNNNNNNNNNNNNNNNNNNNNNNNNNNNNNNNNNNNNNNNNNNNNNNNNNNNNNNNNNNNNNNNNNNNNNNNNNNNNNNNNNNNNNNNNNNNNNNNNNNNNNNNNNNNNNNNNNNNNNNNNNNNNNNNNNNNNNNNNNNNNNNNNNNNNNNNNNNNNNNNNNNNNNNNNNNNNNNNNNNNNNNNNNNNNNNNNNNNNNNNNNNNNNNNNNNNNNNNNNNNNNNNNNNNNNNNNNNNNNNNNNNNNNNNNNNNNNNNNNNNNNNNNNNNNNNNNNNNNNNNNNNNNNNNNNNNNNNNNNNNNNNNNNNNNNNNNNNNNNNNNNNNNNNNNNNNNNNNNNNNNNNNNNNNNNNNNNNNNNNNNNNNNNNNNNNNNNNNNNNNNNNNNNNNNNNNNNNNNNNNNNNNNNNNNNNNNNNNNNNNNNNNNNNNNNNNNNNNNNNNNNNNNNNNNNNNNNNNNNNNNNNNNNNNNNNNNNNNNNNNNNNNNNNNNNNNNNNNNNNNNNNNNNNNNNNNNNNNNNNNNNNNNNNNNNNNNNNNNNNNNNNNNNNNNNNNNNNNNNNNNNNNNNNNNNNNNNNNNNNNNNNNNNNNNNNNNNNNNNNNNNNNNNNNNNNNNNNNNNNNNNNNNNNNNNNNNNNNNNNNNNNNNNNNNNNNNNNNNNNNNNNNNNNNNNNNNNNNNNNNNNNNNNNNNNNNNNNNNNNNNNNNNNNNNNNNNNNNNNNNNNNNNNNNNNNNNNNNNNNNNNNNNNNNNNNNNNNNNNNNNNNNNNNNNNNNNNNNNNCCCCCCAAAAAAAAAAAAAAAAAGAAAAAAAUAACAGUAUCCUCCCCCUCCUGUUUGCUGUUGCUAGUCAAAUAUUAUUGAACAACUGUAUGCAGUAUGUUUGCUUAUGCUAUUCACAAUGAAGGCUCUUUUUAUAUUAUUAUAUUAAUUUUCCCAUCAAUCUUUGUAACAUGGCCUUGGAUCUCUAAGCAUUAUUGUUCACAGAUCCACCAUUUUUUAUGAUUUUUAUUUACACAUGUACAUUGGGUUAUGCUGUCUCAAGUUCUUCGCGGAAUAGUAAUUAAUGAAAAACAUUUUUUAUUGCUUAUUUAUGAAAAGGAAGUAACUCUAAGCUUAAUUUUUAUUUCUUAAGGGCUCCAGUUAUUGAAAGCUUUGUGCUUAUUUCCUAUAUCUGUGAACAAAAAGGAAGUAAUCUGAAAUUAAAUUAUUGUUUUUGCACCUUUUUGGGACUUCACCUUUUGAAGAAUUUUCUGUUCAUUUAUUAGAAUAUUUGUGUGCAGGAUUAUGGUCAUCGUGUUAGGCUAGCAACUCAUUCAAAUUUCAAAGAGUUUGUCUUGACUGCUGGGUUGGAGUUUUACCCUUUAGGUGGAGAUCCAAAAGUUCUUGCUGGCUGUAUGUACCAUUUUACCUUGAAGGGUUAACUAUUUAAAUGUAUUGAUAUCAUCUUUCAUUCCCCCGCAUUGUGGUUGUCUGCAUCGUGUAUUUGUCAAUUGGUUGUUUGGUUUCAUCAAUAACUUUUCGUUAAUUGAAUUACUUCUCCUGGGCAGACAUGGUUAAAAAUAAAGGCUUCUUGCCAUCGGGGCCUUCAGAGAUACCUGUUCAACGAAAUCAAAUGAAGGAAAUCAUAUACUCCUUGCUUCCAGCUUGCAAGGACCCUGAUAUGGAUUCUGGAAUCCCUUUUAAGGCUGAUGCAAUAAUAGCCAAUCCUCCAGCAUAUGGUAGGACUUAAUCAACUUUCGUCUCUCAUAACAUUCUGAGUUCUGGUAAAAAAAAAAAACUUUCUCCAGCAUUUGUUUCUCACAAUUAUGCAAUGAUUACUAUGAAUUAGUAAUGAUAUUUGUGUCUGCUUUUGUGUCAUUAGGAAUUCUUAACAAGUGAUAGAAAGAUCUUUUUUUUUUUUUUUUACAAAAUCACUAAUUUCUACUCUCUAUGUUUAUAUUUUUUUUCCUAAAAUAAGUACUCCUAAAAUGCCUAGGAAUAUGAUUUGCAUCAAUAACAUUUUUUAUGUUUUAAAUAUUUGUUAUCACUAUUGACUAGUUAAAGUGAUUUAACUUGCUUUUGAUUGCUCGAUAUUCUUUCCCUACCUGUCACGAGGAAGUUUGGAGUUUUCUGAUUUCAUUUUGGUUCCUCACCUCUCCCCUUUUCCCACCCCUUAUCCUGCCCCUGUUGGUGAAGUUUUGAUGAUUUUUUAUUCCCUCUCCUUUUUUUCCUUCUUUUCUUAAGCUAUGGGCAAAUCAAGAUUGAGGGAGGCUGGGAGUUUGUUGAUUGAAUGACAGAAUUAAAAGAUUCAAGUAGCUAUGAGGUUUGCUCUUUGGUGAACUUGAUGAAGAAACAUAAGUUAAUCCCCCUUUUUCUUUUCGUUUGCUAGCAUCAUCUCCUCGAACUUGGAAUAGAUUGUUUGUGUCAGUGGCUUGAGUGGUGGGGAUGAAUUUGGGGCUGGGGGGUGGGGGUGGGUGGUGGUUUGAAGGUGGAGAAUAUUGGCUGCAAAUGAGAAAAGAGAGAAAAAAAGAAGCAAUUUGACAUAGUGUGUGUGUAUACAUAUAUUUGCUAUCUUUAAUCAUUCGCAACAAUGUAACAAAAUUAAAAUGAUUGGCUAAAGUUGAAAAAGCCCGCAAAGUUUCAUUUGUUUAAAAUUCUUCUCUAUAAACCACAAGACUUACACCAAUGUACUGAUGUGUAUGAGUGCCUUGCGACUUGUUUCACUUUUUGCACUGAUUUUGACUUUUAAAGAAGCAUGAAAAUGUUUAUCUUCAGUUUUUUGGUAAAUUUUAUGUCAAAAAGGGUUUCUCUUUUUCCCUAAUUUUACGUGAUGGUAGAGUUUGUUGCAUUCUUGCCUGAGUACUUUGAUGAUGGUUUCAACUUUCAAGUAGUGAUGUAGCUUUCAAGGAGGUUAUAUUCUCAUGUUCUCACAAAUGGUAGAAAGAUCUAUCUGUUUUUCCAUUUCAUGCCUCUCUAAUGUGAAUUAAGGAUGAUGGUUAAACUUGUUCCCAAUUCUUUUUGAAAGCUGUGUUGGAUGAUAGCAGAAUUUUUUUGUUCACCAUUCUGCAGCUGACGUUGUAAAUGCUUUUUUAGGACACACUCAUGUGGCAGAGGCACUAAAAAUUCCGCUUCAUAUAUUUUUCACUAUGCCAUGGACGUAAGUCUUGUCUGGGUAAUGGAAUCUACCUGGGUUAAUUGUUGAUUUAAUUUGUUAUAGUUUAGAAUUUUGUGCUUUCUACCUCAUCAUUAUCAGUUUUUGUAUUACAUGGUAUGCUGAAUAAUCCUAAACUGCUCUAAGCAAUGCUUGGUCUUUUCCAUCAGGCCAACUAGUGAAUUUCCACAUCCUUUGUCCCGUGUCAAGCAAGCAGCUGGUUAUCGAGUGAGCCCAUUGCUUCUCACUCUCUCUCUCUCUCUCUCUCUCUCUCUCUUUCUUCUUUUGAUGUACUUUAAUUUCCCAACUCCUGGUACUUCUCAAGUGCAUUUGGUGUGUACAAUUUCUUCAGCUUUCAUAUCAAAUAGUUGACUCGUUGAUUUGGCUUGGAAUACGGGACAUGAUAAAUGAUGUUAGGAAGAAAAAGCUAAAGCUACGACCUGUCACAUAUCUUAGUGGUUCGCAGGGCUCUGAAUCUGAUGUGCCACAUGGGUACAUAUGGAGUCCUCACCUUGUUCCGAAACCAAAAGGUGCUUUCUCUUGAGAUUGUAUAUUUUUGAAGGAUUUUAUUAUAGCUAACUUGUCUGUUGUGUCAAUCUUACAUUAUGCUCAGCCCCAUGUUGGGGGAUUGCUUCGUUUGAAUUCACUAAGCCUUACCUACUCACUACUCUUAUGGAAGUUUGACUCUUUGAACCAAUAAGGCUGGGAAAGCUAGGAACGUUAGGGCUUUCAGCAAUCAUUUAGGAAAUAUUCUUUGACAUAACAAUGGUAAUAUCUUCAUCUCUAUGGACAGCGGAAUACAUAGAGUGGAACAUGGUAAAAAAGAAAUUGAAAUGCUACUUGGGAUAUCUUUAAGAAUAUUCCUUCACAACCUCGGCCUAUCUUUUUAAAUGAAAGAACAUUAAUUUGUUGGCAUGGAUAAUACUUCUAGCUUAAGUGAUUGGAUUAGGGAUUUUAUUGUUUUGGUGGCUUUUGCCUACUCUAGGCAUUGAACCUCAAGACUCUGCUUGGUAUGCACAAAAAAGGAUGUCAUUUAAUUGUUGAGGAACAAGUAAGAUAUCAUAGUAAGAUCUUCCAAUAAUCUAGACUUCUUUUUCCCUUCCAAAUAAUUUUUUAGAGCGAUUCACAAAACUGUGAAAAAGAAAAAGAUCUUUGCGUGCACUAUUAUUUAAGUUUCUAGGUAAGGGUUUUUUGGUAGUGCUGCAAAAAAUUUAGCACAAAGUUUGUUGACCUCAAGUUUUAAGGCCUAAUACACGCUUACACUCUCAAUUUUGCACCUUGUUGCAAUUGCACCCAAUUUGUACUUUUGAACGACCACACUUCAAGAUGAAAUUUAGAAAGCUUUUACAACCCAAGACCCAAUUAAGGUUAAUAUUUGCAUUAAAAAAAAGUUUUUGUAGGGUCUACAGUUCAGCUUGGUUAAUUUAAUCCAAGCUCAUAUAUGUUCAAAACGCACCAUAUCUUAUAAAGAAGAAAGGAAAUUGCUAAGCACCUUCUUCGAUUUCUUUUCCUCUAUCUCAUCUGCAGUCUUUGUUGCUCCAAACCAGCAGUAAGUGGUCUGAGAUUCAACCGGACCCACAAAUCAAUUUCAAAAUUCCCUUGCAAAUUUCAAUUUCUCUUCACCUCUCUCUCAAAUCCAAACAUGGGCGAAUAUCAAAGUCGAGAAGGUGAAGAACUCACAAACGCAAAAUCUUAGUAUCUAUUGCAGAAGGAGGAAGAAGAUGCAGAAGAAGUGCAUUACAUCAAGGAACACCAAGAAUUCCAAUUCCAAUUCAAGAUCAUCUAAUCCUGAAAAUCUGACCUGGGUAACAGGAUCAAAGGGAGAAAAGCAGAUAAGCAGAAUGCCAUCGAAUCCAUUGCCGAUAACAACCAGGUUGCCAGAUCGGUUAUCCGGACAAUGAGCUGCCACGACGCUAGAGCUCUUAGAAGAGAAUGAGGGGUUAAGAUUGAGUGCGUGAUAAAGGAUGAGAAGGAAUAGAAACAAAUGAUCAAUAAUAAUCAGCAACGAUUGCAAGAAAAUGAGUCUAGAUCUGGUCUAAAUUCUGCAGCUAUGGAUUAUUGGUAAGGAGACUGGAGAGGGGGGAGGGGAGACUCUAGGUAGGCAGAUGAGAGAGAUCGAGCUAACGAGGAGAGGGAUUGUUUCUUUUCCUUUUCAUGAAUGGUGUCAUUUGGGUUUGCUGCAUGUGCUAUGUGGUUGUUGUUUUCUUUAGGUGAUUAUUAUAGCUAGCUGGCGUUAAGGUUUAUGCAAUUGUUGUUAAGGUUAAUGCGUCAAUAGGAAGGCAAACAGGGAACUGUGGUUGAGGUGGGAGUGCUUCAUGAUGAGAGAGUGAGAACAGGGUCGUUUUAUUGAAACAUAACUGAGCUCAGGUUAACUUAACCCAGCUCAGCUGUGAAUUCCUCAAAAAUAUUUUUUUAAUGCAAACCCUAACCCUAGUUGGUUUUGGGGUGGUUUUCGAAAAGUUCAAAUUGGGGUGCAAUUGCAACAAGGCACAAAGUGGGAGCUGUAAGUGUCUAUUUAGGCCUAAGUUUUAACCAAGCUUAACAUGAGCUUCUUAGGGCUAGAAUUGUAGAUAAGCUAAAAUGUCAAAUUCAAACAUAUUACAAAACUCGUUAAUAUAGCCACAGAGUAUGAAUCUCUUAAAAAAGAAAAAACUAUCGGGAUCUCUGAACCCAUAAGGGAAAAAAAUAUGAUAAUUUGUAAAAAACUUAUUUAAUUUGAAGAAGUGAUGAUCUCUUUGUUGGUUUUAUUCGAAGUGUCUUGAUUGCUUGAAGUAGCAUAUCUUUUCUUUUAAAAACUCAUACACAUUUUUUGACAGGAACAACUUUUAGGCAUUAUUUUUGCUAGAUUGAGCAUACAUCAUUCUCAAUGGGAGGAUGCUAAUUUCUGUUUGCAUCUAUUCCUUGGUUUGCAGAUUGGGGGCCAAAGGUUGAUGUUGUGGGAUUUUGCUUUCUUGAUCUAGCAUCAAACUAUGAACCUCCUGAGUCUCUUGUGAAAUGGCUUGAAGCUGGCCCUAAACCUAUUUAUAUUGGAUUUGGAAGCCUUGUGAGUCUUGUUUUCUAAACUUUCUCUUUGGUUAUUUCAUUAAUUUUAGUGAAAUAUUAAUUUAUUCUUGAGUUUUAUGCUUCCUUAGGGCUGCACAACUAUAUGGUUGUUUCCGAUUUGAGAUUGUUGGCUGCUUUUUAAGUUGGGCAUGAAAAAAUUCACGAACAUAACAAAAUACUGCCUGUAUUUACUGGCUAGAUAUAGUAUUAUUGCUUUAUUUUUGAUUUGUUGGAGUGGACUGAAUUUGAAUAUAAGCUUGUGGCUGGAAUUCAGAAAGGAAAUGCUGACUGAAAUAGUUUUUGAAGUCUUUCAUAUACUGCUAUUUAAUUUCUUCGAAUGGUAUUUGUUGGUUGCCUUGUUUGGUAGAAGCACUAAUAAUCUGUAUAUUUGUCAUAGAAUUGACAAGAUAUUGUUUUUAACUGCUUGGAUUUAUAGGUUCUAAUUCUCACUUGUUUGGAGAUAGAACAUCUGGGACUUCAAUAAAUGACCUCAUGUACUUCAGUACAAGCUCUGAUUUGAAUUUAAACUGAGAAAUAAACCAUAAUCACUGAUUCAAUCUUUGUAGGAGUACGAGCGUCCUUUGUCUAAUUAUUUGAUUAAUGAAAAACUGAACCAUCCUAAUGAAUAAGAAUACUUGAGAUCACAUCUGUUUUUAGUUUUUGUUUGUUCUUUUCUUCCUUGAUGGUAUUGAAAGGAGAUAUGACUUGGCAUCCUAAGUGUAUUUGACUUUGUUCUUUUGUGUAUUCUAUCUGUGUUUUAACUUCUCUGAAAUGUUCUAUUCAUUUAUUUUUCAUGUUAGCCUGUUCAAGAACCAGAAAAAAUGACCCAAAUAAUCGUGGAUGCAUUGGAACAAACUGGACAGCGGGGAAUCAUUAACAAAGGUUGGGGUGGCCUGGGUAACUGUAAGUUUCUAAUUUACACUUUGGACCUUUGCAUACUACUAUGGUCUCGUAAUUGUUUUUUUUUUUUUUUUUUGGUGCCUUUUUCUUGAUACUGAUAUUUUGAUUUUAAUUUUGACUCCUUACAGUGGCUGAACCAAAGGACUCCAUAUACUUGCUGGAUAACUGUCCUCAUGACUGGCUAUUCUUACGAUGCAAGGCAGUGGUGAGGUUUAGGUGCAUGGUUUUGUUGCCGGCUUAAAUUUUUGUACAGCUGCUGUUAUUGUAUUAGUCCUAAAAUGAAUUCAUCUGGAGAGUCAAAGCAAAUUAAGAAUUUGACAAAAUAAUGAAGUCUAUCCAAUGAAUGAUUUGAUUAAAUACGUGAUGUAGUCAUUUUCUCCUUAGAUUGAUUGAUGGAUGUGGGCAUAUUUCCUUAAGUUUCUUGUAACCUAUGCUCACUUUAGAUUUUUUUCUUUGAGCUUGGAUUAUUUGCUGUCUUUAUCGCAUGUUCUUAUCAGCAUGCAUUCUGAUUUUAGGUUCAUCAUGGGGGUGCUGGAACAACAGCUGCUGGUCUGAAAGCUGCUGUAAUGGCCGGAGCUUAUUUCUUCUUUGAUCGUGGAACUUCAGUUUCCACAUCAUAUGUUCUCUACCUUGUGUUGACGCCUUUCUCCUUUUGCAAUGUAGUGUCCCACAACCAUUGUGCCUUUCUUUGGUGACCAACCAUUCUGGGGUGAACGAGUAUAUGCCAGAGGAGUAGGUCCUCAACCCAUACCUGUUGAUGAGUUCUCACUUCCCAAGUUGAUUGAUGCAAUAAAGAUUAUGCUAGAUCCCAAGGUAACAUGCGAUUUCUGGAACGCUUUACUUAAUAACCCUGUUCCUUUCUAUAUUUGCUUAGCUUACCAAAACAAGUGAAUAUGUUCAACAUCUAAAAUUUACAUGGAAGGUUCCCCUGCCAACCCACCCCCUGCCCCGCCCUUGACCACAGGAAUAUGGAAUUUCUAUCCUAAGCUGCUGUAAUAUACUGCCUGGUGGUGACAUGGAGGGUUAGGAAUUGACGCUUACCAGUCCCAGGGAAAAAUGAUACUUAGGAGGAUAAAGACAAAACAAGAAUGUUUGGUUUUUUUUUUUUUUUUUUUUGGGGGGGGGGAGGGCGGGGAAGGAGGGAGGAGGAGGGAUUUGCAACAAAAACAUUAAGGGUAUGUUUGGCAUUGUUGUUUGAGCUAUUUAUUACUGAAAAUAUUGAUUAGUGAAUAUUCUAAUCCUAAAAGCUUCAAUACAUGUUUGAACUUCUUUUUCCAAUAGGGUCCAAAAUGGUAUUUUAUAAAACAUGCUCACAAGAUUUUGAUCUCUAUAAAAAUGAAAUCGCCUUCAUUUAUAAUUGGAAGAAACUUAUCACAAGAUGGACUUAUGAUGGCAGGUGAAGGAGCGUGCUAUUGAACUUGCCAAGGCCAUGGAGAAUGAGGAUGGAGUAACUGGAGCAGUGAAAGCAUUCUUUAAGCAUCUUCCUAAGAUGAAGCCAGAGCCCGAGCCAUCACCGGAACCAUCAAGUUUUUUCUCCUUUAGGAGAUGUUUUGGUUGUUCCUAAAUGUCAGCACAUUGAUUUAAGCACCAGCAGUAGUAUAUACGAUGAUUAUGAUUCAUGAGCAUUAGUUUGUCUGCUAACCAAGAUACAACCACCCUUCUCCUGGUUGUUCUACACAAUGUGCAUCCGACAUUAUUGCCUAUUCAUUGCAGUCAUACAUAUCCAGUGCAACCCAUGAGAUCUCUCUAGAAGUUACAUGUUCAUUUCAAAAGAGCUCUUUUCUAAAACACUUCUGAGGCUUUUUUUUUCUUGUUAUUACUCAUUAUCAUUGUGUAGAGUUUGAAUUUUUUUUUUUUUUUUUUUUUUUUUGAAGAAAAAAUGAAGAAUGAUUUGUUUAAUUAUAGAUUCUAUGUUCGAGCUAUUUUGCUUCCUGUUAUAUAUUUGUACCCGUUGUAAUUUAAGGGUUUUGGUACAUGAUUUCGACCUAAUUUUGUCACAUAACUUGUUCCAGAGAUGAGUGGAGUUGCCAAAAUGUUGGCCUAUGUAUUAGGUCUAAUAUAUCAAAAUGUCCUAACGUUACUUGAUUUUGCAAUUUCACUCUAUUUUGAUUUUUUUUUUUGGUCAAUUUUAUCUAAUUUCGAUAUUUUAUAGCAAUUGCACUCUCAAUUGCAAUUAAGGAUGAAGUUGAGGUUGUUAUUGUUAUAAAAGGUCAAAAUUGGAUAGAAUUGACAGAAAUGUCAAAUUAUAGUGAAACUAUAAAAGUCUGUAAAGUUGAGGAAUUUUGAUGCAUUAAGCCUAUAUAUUAUGAUAGGUGUUUUUUUGGUCCAUUGUGUUUACAGUUUAUUAAGUAGGAUCUGAAGAUAAAAAUUAGACAAUUUUUUUUAAUUUUUAUAAAUUAUGAAUUUUCAAAAACAAUUGAAAUUUCUAAAAUAAAUUAUUAAGAAUUUUUGAAAAUAUUGAAAAACGUAGUUUGAAGCUUAAUUUUAAGAAAUGGGAGUUGGAAAUAGAGUAAUAAGUGCCAAGUGUAGGAAGGAGAUGGAAAGGAAAGAAGCAUUGGGUUCUCUAAUGAGAGUUGGGGGAGUGAUAAUGAGGGUUCAGUUGAGGAAUGGACGAAAAGUGACAAAUUGCAUGGAAAUGGCGGUGGGGGAAAGCUAAAAUUGCAGGACCAGUGGCUGUUAGCCCCAUAACUAUUUAUAGAAAAAAGCAGACGAAUGCAGCACAAGAGCCAAGCUAAGCCAAUUGCUUCCAACCCCAUACAAUAUAAUAAAUAAAUAAACAAAUGAAAACUAAAACCACUACUCUCUCUUAUACUGAGUUCCGGAGUGGUUUUAGCUUUUAAGUGACCCAAUCGUUCCACAUUGGCCAUUGGAGAGAUGAUCCAAAGCUCAUUUGCUAUUCUGACAAUCUGACUUCUCUCUCUUACAACACAAUUAAUUUGGCCUAUUCAUGUUCGUCUUUUCAAAUUUGACAAGUACACUACCUCUCCUUUAUUAAAUGCUCCAUUUUGAAGAUUGAAUACUGUGCAGCACUAGCUAGCUAAAGGCAAAUAACAACCCCAUAUUUGAUUACUCCACUUACAAGCAGAUACUUAUAACUCCUGCAAGAAGAAACCCAUUUGCCCAUGAAACUGAUAUGAUUGUCAGAGACAGAAAAUUAAAAAAACAGAUUCCUUUUUCCAAUCCAGUCCAGGCAUUUCUUUCUACCAAUAACUCCUCUUUCUCUCUCUCUAGUGUUUUUUUUUUCAUAAACCUUGUAGGAUUCAGAGUAUCCCCACUUCUCUCUUUCUUAUCUCCUCUGUUACUAAGCCCAUACAGCCCCUUGUCUCAAGCACUCUAUAUAAUUAUUACAUGUAGAGGUUCUUCGCAUUUUUCAACUCUUGUGAACUUAGUCUCUCAACUCUCUUUACCUAACUCUUCUUCCUUUUUUUCAUCAGCUCCAACACUAAAAAGAUCAAACUCACCAUUUUAUUUUGGUACUUUCUUUAUCUUCUCCAUUGUUUCUUUUUAGCCUUUUAGUUUCCUUUUCCCAUAAAUCAGCAAGUGCUCUACCACUAGUUAAUUAUUAGUUUUAGGGCCUUCACCUACCUGGCCUAACAGUAUCGAUCAUGCCAAUACUCCAUUGGACUGUUAGCUUUCAACCUUGAUUUGCUUAUUUAUACAUAUAGUUAAGGUAAUUCUUUUUCUAAUGCAUGCAGGCAUGGAAAUUGAGGAGAAGGUUUGUCAUCAGACAAAUGUAGAAGACGAAACAAGAACAAGAGUAUUUCCUUGUUUAUUCUGUUCAAGAAAAUUUUACAGUUCUCAAGCUUUAGGUGGCCACCAAAAUGCUCACAAGAAAGAAAGAAAUGCAGCAAGAAAGGCAAAAAGAGCUUCUGAAUAUGCAACGCCACCACCACCUCUACCGCCAUCGGCGUCAUUGCCAAUGGUUUUUGCUCCAAGUCAUAAUCAUCAUUUAGGGUUAUUACAUCCUUCAAUGUACAUAACAGCCCAUGCAGCCCCCUUGCAAUGUUAUCCAAACCACCAAUUCAUCUCCAAUAGUUUUGGGUCAAAUGGUGCACCUAAGUUUGAUAAUGGGAUUUUUUAUGGUGGGAAUUGUUCAAGCCAUAGAUAUCAUAAUCAUCAAUGUGAAGAAGAAGAUCCAAGUUUCUUGAAUUGGCAAAGGAGCAUAAGAUUCAAUGGUGCCUCCAACCAGAACUCAGCUAUAGUAGCAAAUAAUGCCCAUCAGAAUUUGGCAAAUACUAAUGAUAAUAAGAAAGAUCCAAAACUUGAUUUAUCGCUUCAUCUAUGAAGAAGAUAUGUUAAGUUCUUUUUGAAGUUGUUAAUUAGGAUUUCCAUAUUCUAUUUCUUCUUUUUGGAAAUUUGCAUUUGCUAAUAAUAAAACAUAUCUGUAGCGACAGACAAUUUUUUUUUUUUUAAUUUCACGAGGCAGAGAAUUAAUGCAUUUGUUGUAAACAUAAGUUUUAAUUGAUUUUUUUCUAUUAAAAGAAAAAAAAAAUUCAUAGAGCAAUGCACUAUAUUUGCUGCUUUUAGCUUUAUUUUGAAUAAUUUACUCUUGUAAAGUGAAAGUGAGGCAUUAUUUUGCAAGUUUAGCUUCCCUUUAGUCCUUUCUUUUUCACAAUCAUUAGGAUUUAAAGUUGCUGCUAUCAAUUACUAUAUCUUAACAAUCUUGAUUAAAUAAAAUAAUUACAUAUUUAAGAUGUUAAUUAUGUCUUCUAUUGAAAAGAUUAAACGUCAUUUUAAGAUGUUUAGUCGCACUCAAAGAUCCAAGUGGGCCAUUCACAGUGUGAUUUGUCUGAAUUAGCUCACAUUUUUAGGCCCAACAAUGUACAGGCCGACUGAGUGACCACAAACAAUGGGCUAUUCCAAAUCCAAGGCCUUCUUCUCUUUUUCUUUUUUUUUUUUUAAAUGGAACUAAGCUUUUUUUUUUUUUUUAACAAUGAGCUUUUAGUUCACAAAUAAUCAAAAUUAAAAUUAUAUUUAUAAUAAUAAUAAUAAUAAUAAUAAUAAUAAUUGUGAGAGAGCUGGCAUUUCGAGUUUGGUGGUGAACAUACAAAGGACAUUCCAGAAACAUGUACACAUGACCCUUUUGAGUUGUACAAUUCAACGAAAUUAAGAGAGAGACACGUGUAGUUUUGGCAAAUUUUGUUUUUUGUUUCGAUUUCUAUUCUUUGCUCUUGUUAUGUAUGUAGAAAUGAAAAAGAAAGAAACAUGAAGAGAUUUGUUGCACCCAAUCAUGGUUUCCAUUUGUAUGAUUAAAUUGUUUUUUUCUUAUAAUUAGGAGGUUUAAUCCUUCUUGGGUCAUAAAAGAUAAAGAAUUUUUAUUCUUUUAGUAAGAUGCGUUUUUUAAAAAUCAAAUUUGUAUAAUCUGCUUAAGUCAGAUGAAUACGGGGCAAAAGUAAAAAUAUUAUGUAAUUGCAGUGAGGGAACACAUUAAAUUAACUAUAAUCAUCAUUGGCAUUUUUUUUAAUCCAUGCAUGCAUGAUGGAUGGAUGCAGUAGUUCCAAGUCACAUGUGACCAUCAUUUAGGUCUUUUGAUUAGUGUUUAAGGAUAAUGUAUUAUAACUAAAUUAACAUAAUAAUCCCAUUUAUUAAUUAUUUUUAGAAAGAGAAGAUGCUACUUCUCCUCUUUAUGGACUGGCAUGCAUUGGCGGAAUCAACUUAUGCCAACCCGCAAGUUUCGGAGGCAUGCAUGCAAAUAAUGUACGUGUCAAGCUUUUUCUUUAUUAUACUUCUUUUAACUAGUUGUGUAACCAGACGUGCGCAGUUUUCUUGAGACCUAAUAUCAGUGUUCUUGAAAUUUCAUUGAAUUAAUCCAUCAGACCGAUUAAUUUGUGAAUUGCCUGCUAAUCAGUUCUGAUUUAACGAAAAAAUUUUUUUAAAAAAAACAAAAAUCGAUUUCGAUAAUUAAAAAUCUAUUUGAAUCCACAACCAUCUAAACCAAAAAAAAAAAAAUAAAAUAAAAUAAAGAAAGAGUUAUUACUUAUGUUUGAAUAAUUAUAAUUUAAUUAUAUUUUUAUAUUUAGUAUGGAUAAUUAAGUACUUGAAAAUUAAUAAUUAUUGACAAUGAAGAAUGAGUUCGAAAUUGCUAUAAGUUUAUAACAACAUUAUAUUAUUAUAAUAAUUAUUUUCAAUAUUAUUAUCUUGACAUAUAUAUAACAUUAAUGACGAAUCAUCACUUGAGAAUUAGUAGUUUUGAAAUUGAUGUUUAUUAAUGAAUAAUUAGAAAAAUAAUUCUAGAUUUGUGAUCAUGUUAAUUUAUUAUUUUCUAUAAUUAAUAUUUAUUAAUAAAAAUGAAAAUAUUUAAAUUCAGCUGAUUGUUGAACCAUCAUAUAGUCAUCAAUUCACUUUGAUAUUCUGUCUUAUUUUAAAAGUAUAUUCUAAUAUCGAUAGAUUUGGAAUUUAUGAAAAAUUAUCCAUUAUAAUUAAUCUAGUUGUUAGAGUUAAAACUCUCUUUCAUCAUCUAUGAGAAUUUGAUGUUCAAUAAUAGUUCAAAAAUAAAUAAUUAUAAUAUUAAUUAUGGUUAAAUAUUAAAAAAAAUAUCUCAAUAAUCUAUGGAUUGUAUCUCACAUAAUAAUGCAGGUUGAGCAUGUGAAAAGAGCUCUCGAGUUUCGAUCUCCAAUAAACACACGUGCGAAGAGGGGUGAAGAAUUUCAACUGUGAUUAAAUCCUGAAUCAGAUUCUGCGGUUUUUGAUAAUAAAUUUUGGACACUGGUGGUUAAAAAAAAAAAAAACCCAAUAAACAAAAAAUAAAGAAGAAAACGAUGGUUUUGCUCAAAACCCAAGGUGGAUAGCUUGUUUUAAUUAACCUAUAAACAAAAAGAAACAUAGGGGAGUUGAAAAAGAGAUUGCGUGGAAUUUCAUUUGCUGAGGGAGUAGUAGAAGUAGUUAGUUAUUUAGGUUUGGGCAAGUAGAGAGAUAAUGAGAAUAUUCUUGUUCUGCUAUUAAACUAGAGAAGGUUUAAGGGCAAUAAAGUAAAUUCAGCCAUCAGAUUCUUGACAUGUGGGCAUAUGUCAAGCCACAAAACCAGCCAGCCAUGUGAAAAAAAUUAUUUACGGAAUCUUAAGUGUAUUAAUCACAACCAUGGCCUGGCCUCAAAUCUAUAUAUCCACUAAAACCUUUUUUUUUUUUAAUUAAACAUAUAAAUUUAUCUGUGUCUCUUUUAUAAAAAUUAAAUUGGUCUCUCAAACGAUGUAGAUGCAUGCCCAUAUGUGCCCUUUGUUCUAUAAAUUAACUUGAAGUGCCCCAUGAUAUGUUGUCUUGCCUGCCUAAUUAAGUAUUCCGCUUGGUGACUUAAUUUGGUACCACAGCAAAGGCUUUUUUGCUCUACCAGCAAACUGUUCUUUUUGCGAAUUAAAUUUAUAUUCUCACACUUACCGGAAUUGAGGUCGCUAACCAUCUCAAUUAAAGCUUUAUUAGUUGCAUUUUUUUUAUUUUAUUAUAGUGUUAUAGUAACUUAGAAGGUGAAAACAAAUUUAAUUCAAUUUUUUUUAUUAACUACAAGUAUUCUCCCUCUAUUAAGUUAACACUGAAUUUUGCUCAUACUAGAUCAGCCAGUUAAAGGGUAAAACGCUUCCAGUAAGUAUUUACUUCAUUCAUACAUAACGAUCGAAUCCUCGACUUAUGAGAAAAAAAUAUUGAACCAUUCAUGCCAACGCUCAUUUAUUUAAAUUCAAUUGUUGUUACAUAAUAGAGAUUAAUAUUUAAGAAAUGAAAAUUUUAUUAUCUUUUAAUUUUAAAUGGUUUGAUAAUAUUACCUAUUACACUACAAUUUUCAAUAAACUAACUCUAAGGGUAAAUUGACUGUACGCUCUAACUUUAUUAAAAUUGAAAUCUUUGGACCAUCCAAAAGGUAGCUUAUAAAAUUACUAAUCAAAAUAAUAAUCUUUUUUUAAUAUUAUAUGUUUAUUAAGUCGUAAUAGAAUGCAAUAUAAUGUCAAAUAAAAUUAUAAUAUAAGUUAGAUACUGCAAAUUUAUUUGAUUUUAUUAUAUAACAUUACCAUAACUAAGACAAUUUUGAUAAAGAAAAUAUUUUAAUUAAACUGAAAUUUUCUAAAAAUAAUAAGUCAAAAUUCAUUAACUUAAAAUUUAACCAAACAAAAUCACUAUUAUGUUUUAAAAUAUUUUUUUUUUUGGAUUAAAAAUUCAAUACUUACAUAAUUUAACACUUCAAUUUUACAUUUAAUUUUUAAUAUUUUUUUAAAAAUAAGGAUAAAAUCAUAGUUGGGUGGGUUUCCAUUGCUAUCAGAAAGAGCAACUAACAAGGUUGAGUUGAUAUUCUAGACCAUAUGACAUAAGUGUUACACUAACAUAUCCAAGCAGUUAAGUUAGGUUUGGUGUUAGUAAAACACUUAAUCAAAAGCUAUAAUGAUUUUUAACUUAAAUUUUUGACUAAUUACAAUCUAUACCUAAUAAUUAAUCUCCAAUUGUUUAAUUGAACUUCCAAUUUGCAUAUCUCCAUGGCAGUCAAUUCCAACCCCAAUACAAGAAGAUUAUAUGAUUGUUCGAGCACAAACGCAAACCCUAAUUUGGAUUUUCAAUUUGACUAAAUUUGUCAAACAAAGACAUUUGAUGUUGAUCAAGGUCACCUUCUUUAUUUUUCUCAUUUGGGUUUUCUUUUUUUUGUUUUGAUUGGGUAUUUGACAGAGUGCAAGCAUGUGGUUGGGGAAAUUUAACAAACUGUGACUUCCUUGUCAUAAAAGAUUGCAAGAAAAUUACAAUGCACUCUCCUUCUUUUGCAGCUACCUGGCUUAACUAAGUCUUUCAACAAACUUAACUGUUUUGAUAGUUGUUAGCUGUUUUAACGGCGUCGAUCUCUUUAUCUAUAUCUCUUACCAAAUAUUUCAAUUUAAUGUGAAGUUAUCAUUUCGUUUUCUUGCAAAAACAACUUUUUAUUAAUUAUAGUGGAAAGGGAACAAGAAAUUACCAUGUAGUACUUGUUUUUGUUUCAAAUUAGUAAUUGAUUACUCUUUUGAAGAGAAUUAAUUAGCAACUAAUUUGAAUUAUAAUUAGUUGAGGAAUAAGAGAUUUAACCCUCUCAUAACAAUGUCCCAACAACCUUUGUUAUUGUCUAUCACAAGAAUUGCUUAAUUAAUAUUUUUUUUUUAUAAAUGAAAAACAAGGAUUAAGAGAGAGUUUUGGAUUAAUUAAAUUAAAGAAGAACAAUGAUACUUCAAUUGCACUCCAUUUAUAUUUAUAGUAAGAACUUAUAUCAUCGAAGUUAUACUAUGUUUCUCUCUCUCUUUUUCUUUUUCUUUUUUAUUUUAUUUUAUUUUAUUUUUAUCUAGGUUGGAUGAUGGGAAGUGUAGUCCAUUCCAUUUCCCUGAAAUCACAUUGCUUAAAAAGAAGCCUCUUAUAAUUUUAGAUUAAAGUUGAUUAAAGGAAUAGGGAUGAUUAGUUUAACCUAAUUAACGAUUAAUUAGUAUAUCUUAAUUUGUCUUUAAAGCUCAAUGGUUCUGUUAAUUUAGAUUCACAUCGGACAUAUUACAAAAGAGGGCAAAACACUUUCUCUCGAGUAUUUCAAAUAGAGGAAGAAGUGAUCAUUAUCAUUUCAUCUCAUUUCUCGGUAUCUUGAAAAUAGAAUUAAAGGGUGAUUAAAAAAUUCAUCUAUUAACUAUUUUAACAAUUCCAUCAAAGUAAUUGUUAAUUAAAAAGAUAAUUAAUUCCUGGGAUUUACUAAACUCCAUGAUAAUUAAUUUAUCAAUAGAAGACUAGCAAAGGAAAAUAAGAUAUUAGUAAAUGAAAUGGCGUGAAUUAAGGAAAUAAUAGAGGAGAAGGAAAGAAAAGAAAUAUAAAAACCUUCCAUGAUUGGCGGUGAUUAGCUAGCCAUGUGAGUUAGGGACAAAUACAACAUCCACACCUAAUCUCAACUUCCUCCAACCCAAAUUCAAUUCAAUUGUAAUACUGAAGAUCGAGGAGGGGAAGAAUUGAAGUUGGUCGGAAGCGUAAACUUUAAAUUACUGACUAAUAAAUUCAGGAAUAGAUGUUUGACCAAAUAGUUCCAUGAAUUAUAUUUUAUGUACAAAUGCCAUUUAUUUCUUGGUAGCCAACCCUCAAGCUUUAAAAAGAAAAUUGGUUUAUUUUUGUUUUUAUUUUUAUUUAGUAUUGUUAGUUGUUGGCAUUUAGAUCAAAUUGUAACUUUAUAAAUUAAAAUAUUUCAUCAUUCAAUCAAAAUCUCCAAAACAUUUAUUCUCUCCAAAGUUUAUAUAUAUAUAGAUAUAAAUCACCGGUAUACGGACCUCGUUACUAUAGCUUUAUGUAAUAGUAAACAUAAAGACAAUACUCUUGAAUAUAUAUAUACAUAUAUAUAAAAUUACUUUCUUAAAAACAUGAUUAAAAAAAAAAUCCAUUCUUUAAUUUUUUUUUGGCUAAUCGUUGAAAUUGGAUGUGUAUAUAAAAAGUAGUGUUGGAUACGGCAUUGUUGGACGCUUAUGUUUUGCCGUUUUGGUCUUAAAUUAAAAGCAUACGGAUCCGUGCAGACAGUGGUACCAUGUGCUCCGCCUUCUUAGUCGCAAAAGAGCACAAAUUUAAAAUCAAUUAGUAUUCUUUUCUUUUGCUAGCAUUAAAAAAAUUAAUUAAUUAAUUAAUUAAUGUGAAAUUUAAUGUCAUUUUCCAUGCCAGAGGAGCAAUCUUUGAGCCAUACAAUCUGAAAUUGAUCAGUCUCAAUGUCACAUGAGCUUUAUGUGUUUGGUGGGGAACAUAUUGCCAAAGAAUUUAACUUUGUUUUUCAUUUUGUUAGACAUGGAACAAAAUAUAUUUAAAGCCAUUUCAUGAUAUCUAAUCUCAUUUAAUUCUCUAUACAAAAUAACUAAAAUAUUAAAAUAAUUUGUAUAAAAAUAAAAGUAACUAUAUAUUUAAUAUAAAUAUUAUACUAAAAUACAUUUUAUUAUAUUACAUUAUUUCAUUAAUUCCUGCUCAUCAAAUAGAAUAUAAAAUAAUUUUAUUAGAUUGUAUUUAGUGAAAUAGAAAGUAAUGGAGUAUAAAAUAUCUUUUAACACUAUUACUAGUGGGAUACAUUCUUUUUACAAGAUAGAAAAAAAAUUUUUUUUUUUUCCUUUUUUGUUCAUGAUAAGGAACUAGACCCCUAAUUUCGCCCUAAAAACUAGCUCAUAGGGAAAAGAUUGAAUCCAACCUUACACACUAGGCCAAGAUGUACUCCGCGGGUGACGUGGGACGCAUCGGUUCAUGGGAGGUAUGAAGAGAAGUUUGACCAUAGACGGUGCAAAUGGUGUACUAUCAAGUGGAGGAACACAAAAAUGGAGUUGACACUUGACAUGCACUAGCACUAUCAUGGAAUAAUGGCACAAAAUAUAUCACAAUUAAUAAGGAAUGACUUCAAGAGAACUUCCAGUGUGUGUUUUGACAUAAGUGACAAAAGGUUAAAAAUGAAAAUAUUGCAAUCAUUUCUCUCAACAUACACCACAUGAUCUUAAAAAGUUCCAAAGCCCACUUUCUCUGGGGUUCUUAAAAAAUAUUUUGUAUUUUUUAUCCAAUAUAUUUACACUAUUAAGCAUUUUUCUUUGGUCUUAUGGUGUAGAGAUACGAUCUUUAGAAUGCCAAUAAAAUUAUAAAAAAAAAAAAAAAAAAAAAGAAGACAAAUAUGUAUAAGCUUGCGAGAGAGACAGAGCGAAACCAGCCAGCUUUCUGGUAGCCAAAAACUGGACCUACGCUACAAAAACAAUGUAGCUUUUUCCCCACUUUAAUACAGUACAAUGCAGAAACAAACUAAAGUAAGCAACGGUGGACCAGAAGAAAAUACCAGCUAGCAUUUGAGGGUCCAUCCAAUCUAGCUUGCGUUUUAAGCCAUUGGUUCCUGUUUUGAGGUUCCUUUUUAAUUUUUAUCAAACGACAUGUUUAAUAAAAGCGACACAAAUGAAAAGGGCAAACGAUAAUUUCAGUGGUUCCCAUAAGCUAUUAAUUUGGGUUUUCAAUUUAGUAGGGUGAUUACAGCUUAAUUUUUUUGAUUAUAGUCAUAAUUACUCAGUUGAAUGAAAUUGCAGCCACUAUUAAUUGCAACAAACUCUCAUGAUUGUGGAUUGUCUUCUCUAAUUUUGACAAGCAGUAUAAGGUUAAUUAAUUUUUCUGUAAUAAUUCGUAAGUAGAAGUCAUAAAUGGAAAUUAAACCUUAUCUAUACAUUAUUAGACUGUGUAAGUUGUAAGAGAUUGAGGGUUGUGUGGACCAAAGUUGAAUUCACUUUAUAUUAUAUGCAAUUGGGAAUGAAAAAUGUAGACCCAUACAUUUUUAUGGGCACUGUCUCUGUUGGAUGUCCUAUCAUAUGGGUUAUUUUUUAACAUGAUUUGGGCUCCAACCUGAAAGCCAGAUUUUGUGAUUGGGACCUUCUCUCCUCAAAUCUUCAAGAACAGGAUGUAGCUUUGCAUCUCUUUUUCAUGCAAUUUUCAAACAAUUGAAAAUGGAAGGUAUUGGUAUUUUUUAACAAAGGCUUAUGUAGUUAAAUAAACAAAGGCUUUAAAUGGUUGGGUUAUGUAGUUAAAAAUCGCGGGAAACAUUUUCUUGGAAUUUGCAUAAAAGAACACUCACCGAGAGAACCGGUAACCUGGGAGAUCCCAUAGUCGUUUUACCGUACUCAAUUAGAAGGACACCUGUCAAUAUCGUACGUUUCAUAAUACAGAAAAUUCGUACGGUCACCGUAAUUUUUUUAUUGCCACCUUCAUCGUUAGCAACGUGGCAAAUAGAAGAAGCGAGUAGUAAUCUUCACCGCCAUCGGCGAGUACGGAUACUUCUGUUCAGAAUAAAUACAGCUGACUUGGCUUCGGUGGUCUUGGUGACGGAAGACGAGCAAGAGACGGGGGUUGAGGUGAUGUGUCAGAGGGGGAUGAUUAGGCACGUGAGUUACCGACACACACGAGACGUGGGCGAGUUAAAGCGUAUAAGGCCUUUAAGCGAGAGAGAGAGAGAGAGAGAGAGUCAGUUAGUGGCGGUUAGAGAGGUGGUGAGGUGGUUAGUGUUUGGGUUAAUUGACUUAACCUGAGUUAAGAAAGGUUAAACAAAGUUAGGCGAGAUUUAGGCCUGUAAGUUCUUUUCGCUAUAAAAGGAUAGCUUCGCCAGAGCUCUCUUUGACUCGUAUCUUUUAUUUUCUUUCUUGAUUUCUUGAUUCUUAGACAGAGAAACAAACAGCGCCAUUUACUCCGAUAAACAGAGAGAGGAAAAGGAAGAAGCAACAAUGGCGGUUUCGCUAAGAGUCUUUUGUACAUGUACAUUGAUGCUUCUAGUUCUGUUUGUUAGUGUAAAAGCUGAUACAAAGAAGACCGAUCUGAAAUCGAGGUACAUUUUCGAUCUUCUUCCAUUUUGAGCUCUUCACGAUCGAUUUUCCACUGAAGCUGUAGAAUUCUCUUGAUUUGUAUUGACUUUUUAUUAAAUUUCUCAAGUGCUCUAUUUUUUACGCUUAAAUUAGUACAUUUUGAUAUAAAUAAAUAAAUCAAUGAUGAUGCUUUAAUUUGGUGUUUUGUUCUCCCAGAUUAGAAGAAACGCGGCGUUUUCAGAGCUCCAACAACUCAUCAAUGGCGGACGGGUGAGUUACAGAGCAGUUAAGCUACUAAUUGGAUCCUAAUUGUACAAUUUGAAAACUGCGAGACCUGGACUGUUGGUUAAUUCAUUUACCUGACAUCCAGAAAACUUUAAGCCGUUGAGAUCGGGAUCCAAAAAAAUCAUUAUCGUUAAUUCUGUUGCAUUAGUUUAGUUUCUCAGGCGACGGUUGCUCAGUUGCUCUGUUAUCAUUUCUGAACGUCAGAGUAAAAAGUUCACAGUGGAAGUAGUUUACUUUUUGAACUAUGACCGUGAUGUUGACCAGAUUAGUUUAAUUUUUCUUGUGUACGAAAAUGUCCUUGAAUUAUAAGGUUUUAUGAGGUUAAUUUAGUCACCUAAACUUAUAUUUUUGAUUAUAAGUUUAUUUUAUUUUAUUUUUUAAUAUUCAGGUCAGGUGAUGCAUGGAACGAGCAUGCUGUAGAGAAUCCGGAUGAGGUUGCUUCAAUGGUUGAUGAGUGAGUUUUUAUGUUUACGUUGAUUAUUAUUUUAAUACACAUCAAAUUCUUUUAAUUAAUAUUCCCAUUUUAAUUAAUUAAUUUUUUUAUUAUAUUUAUGGGUAUCAAUAAAGAGCUUCACAUGCCCAUAUUAUUUAAACUCAUAAAUAAGUAAACCUCUUUUGUUUUUUAAGGUCUAACAUGUCUUCGAUUAUAAUUGAUUAUAUAUAAGUAGAAGAUUGAAACUUAUCAUUAAAGGAAAAAUUCCUUUUGAAAACAACAAAUAUGGUUACAAAUUUUGGUUACAAAAUUGUUAUUUUCGUUAUAAAAAGUUCAUUGCAAAGGUAAAAAUCAUUGCAGGAUUGUUGCGUGUAAUAGCUAACCAAGAUCUUCACAUUUUCUGUGAGGACCUUUUUCCUAACUCUCAGUACCCUUUCCAAAAACCUUCCACAUGUCUCUUUCAACACACAGCAUGUAAAAUUCCGUUCAAAAACCUCAGCCAAAAGAAUUGACACCAAAAUGAUGAGGCUCGUGGCUAGGUCGAUUUUGAGAUUAUUUUUGGGUUUCGAGCCAAAAUUCUCAUAUAAUUUUUUUCUCAUUACGUCCGAUUAAAUUAUAUUAAAUUAUAUUAUAAUAUAUCAAAAAAUAUGUCUUUCGCCUUUGAAGUUUGAAAAUAACAGUAUAUGGUAUCUGAAUUGGAAAAAAAAAAAAGAAGAUAAUAGCCUAAUAUAAUCCCUGGUGAAAAACAACAUCAGGAGAUUUAAAACACAUAUAUAUAGCCUAGUUUUUGGGUUGCUUAUAGGUAGGUAGAUGGUUACUUCUAUCACCCAUAUGGAGUAAUUCAAUAUACUAUUAAUUAUUAUCGAUCCAAGUGGUUAUUAAUGAUAUGAGGAUUCAACCAUGUUCUCUUCUAUGAAAUCUCUACUCUUGCAGUAUCCCUAGCUAACUUUUAAUUCUUCCGCCAGCUUAUGCACAUGCCAUGUCGUGAGAUCCGCGCAUCACGCCCUUAUUUUAUUUCUUGUCUUUUUCUUUCUCCUAUCCAAAUCUAAUUCCAAGUACAUUUAGCUUUACAUGCCUAUACCGACGUGUCUAUGACUUCGCAUUAAGUUUUCUAAAUUAGCUUCAUUUUUUUUUUAAUUGCUUUUGUAAAGCCAUCAUUUGACUGUACAUUUUAACUACUUACUUUCCAUGUUGGCCUUAUACAUCAGAUACCCUGGUUUUCUCGCUUGUAUCUCGCCCUGCAAAUCUUUAUUUUUGAGUGCUAAAAGUUUUAAAGUUUGAACUGACUGUUAACUACGGACAAUUCUACAUAUUCUACUUCUUUAAUUUACUGGAUUAUACAGGAUUUCUAAGGUUGCAAUCCAUUUUGAUAGUGAGAAAUUUUUUCUUGUUGGGUUUUAAUUAUAUACCUCCACGCACAAGCCUACUUUUUAUCAUAAUGUUGCUCUUAUGUAUUAACAGCUACUAAGUUCCAUCAUCCAUUCGACAUGAUUGGUCUCAAGAUCUCAAUUAUGUCAAUUACAACAACGAUAAUAUCUACCAUUGGCUUUUUAUCCCAAUUAGGUGGGGUAGACUGGACAUUAGACAACUAAGUUUUUGCUCCUUUUCUCCAGCCUGUCAAAAGGCAUGAGCUGCAAACCACACACCCAGAUCUAGCUUUCGUACCAUCAGACUGUUUAUCAGAAUUCUUUUCUGAUCUAACAGGUUGUAGCUACCCAUUUGAGCCAAGCUGUUGAAUAUGGUUAAUGUGAAGUCAAUAAAUGACAACGCCAAAUUUUUAUUGAUCACCGACAUGUAAAAGUACCAGUCAGGCCAUUAGUUCAGCAACCUUGCAUUUAUUUCUUGAAUAGUGGUGAAAUAUAUUUAUGGCAUUAAAAGAUCAUAACAAUUCUCCGUAUAGACCGUAUCAAUUCAUGCAUUUGUCCAUCGUCCACAUUGUCACGUGCCCUACAUCACAUCUUGAUGUGGGGACAUGAUGCUUUUUAAGUUUUAACUAGUGAGUGAUUAAUUUUGUCAAAUACCUCAAUAAUUCUAAUACCAAUAAUGACAAUGUCACAUGUUCUUGUGAAUUCUAACAGGAGCGUACGCAACAGUACAGCAAGAAGGAAUUUAGGAUUCUUCUCAUGUGUAACAGGCAAUCCUAUUGAUGAUUGUUGGCGAUGCGACCGCAAUUGGCAAAAAAACAGGAAACGCCUUGCUGAUUGUGGGAUUGGUUUUGGACGCAAUGCCAUUGGUGGUCGUGAUGGAAGAUACUAUGUUGUUAAUGACCCUAGCGAUCAUGAUGCUGUUAAUCCAAGACCUGGAACACUACGCCAUGCUGUUAUUCAAGAAAGACCUUUAUGGAUUGUGUUUAAGAGAGAUAUGGUGAUUACUCUAAAGCAAGAACUUAUUAUGAAUAGUUUUAAGACUAUUGAUGCCCGAGGAGUCAACGUUCAUAUUGCCAAUGGCGCUUGCAUUACAAUCCAAUUUGUCACCAAUGUUAUUAUUCAUGGUCUCCACAUCCACGAUUGCAAGCCUACUGGUAAUGCCAUGGUUCGUAGCUCGCCUACUCAUUAUGGAUGGAGAACAAUGGCUGAUGGAGAUGGAAUUUCCAUUUUUGGAUCGAGUCAUAUUUGGAUUGAUCACAAUUCUCUAUCAAAUUGUGCUGAUGGCCUUAUUGAUGCUAUAAUGGGGUCAACUGCCAUUACCAUUUCCAACAACUACUUCACCCACCACAAUGAGGUUAAUUACAUUACUCUGGCAUCAAUUUAUUUUACUCAUUUGCAUUUUCUCUUUCUGGCAAAAUUUGACUGAAGUACUAAAGAAUGUUUCUUAAACAAUGAACAGGUUAUGUUAUUGGGUCACAGUGACUCCUACACAAGAGAUAAACAAAUGCAAGUAACAAUUGCCUACAACCAUUUUGGAGAGGGUCUUAUCCAGAGAAUGCCAAGGUAAUAUUAAAAUGAAACAAUAUCUCUUUUAUCCCAAAUGAAUGAAUUUUACUGCUGAAGUAAAUCUGACAGGGACAAGUCAUUAACCUCUGCAGGUGUAGGCAUGGGUAUUUCCAUGUGGUGAACAAUGACUAUACACACUGGGAAAUGUAUGCUAUUGGUGGAAGUGCCAAUCCUACCAUUAAUAGCCAGGGGAACAGAUAUCUUGCCCCUAAUAAUGCUUUUGCUAAGGAGGUAAAUAUAUUUUCCCAUGAUAAUGAUAUGAAUGAUGUGAUGGCUAAAUAAUGAAAAGAAAAAGUUAUUAAUUUUCCUUUUUUUUACUGCCAGGUGACAAAAAGAGUCGAGACAGGAAAUAGUGUGUGGAAACACUGGAAUUGGAGAUCAGAAGGAGACCUAUUAUUAAAUGGAGCCUAUUUUACUCCAUCAGGAGCUGGAGCUGCAGCCAGCUACGCUAGAGCUUCGAGUUUAGGAGCAAAAUCCUCUUCCAUGGUUGGUUCUAUUACUUCAAGUGCUGGUGUUCUGUCCUGCCGUAGAGGCCGCCAAUGUUAAUUCUCAAACCCAUCAACAGGAAAAGAAAAUCUACAACAGUAUCCAGAAAAGUUUGCAGCCAUUCUCUGUUCAAUGCCUACUCCUCUGUAUUUGUCCCCUCCAAAAAAAAAAAAAAAAAAAAAAAUUGGCAAGUGUACAUUUACAUUACGGGUGCCAUUUCUGUAACAAUCAGAUACAAAAUCUCCACUUGUCAUUACGCCAUUGAUCGACCUCGGCGUGCUUAAUUUAGAUGCCGCAGUGUUGUUCACAUCUUCAUUUUGUUAAACUCUCUCUAUUCAUCAUAGAGUCAUCAAUUUGUCCAUUUGCUCAGAUUCUGUACUAUAUAAUUUACGAAUUCUGGCAAUUCUAAGUAUUCCAAAAUCAAAUUUAAUUAAAUAUAUUGUUCAGUUACUUUCAUCAUUUUGCCUCUUUAAAUAGUAAUUAUUGAUAUUCACGACAUAUUGUCCUUCCUACCUUAUUGCACGUGACGGCAUAAAGCAUAUUAUGCAAUGAUGCAUUUUUUUUUAACCUUUCUCACUUCCACCUUACGAUGCUAAAACCACACCUAAUUACAGUAAUUAAAGUUUGGUUAUGAGAAAUCCACAUUGGUUGCAUGUGAGGUGGGGACUCAAAAGCCAUGUGAAGCAUUCUUUACCUACAAAACAAUAGCAUUUUCUUUGCCAACCUGUUAGUUGCAGACCAUGUUACAAGUAUGACAUUGUAAGGCUCAGGCAAUUGUCACCUUGCUUGGAAGUUGAAGCCAUGUGGGUGUGGAUUGGGAGAUGCCAAAACACAACACACUUCAUCUUCUCUCUCUCUCUCUCUCUCUCUCUUUGAUUUUAACUUCCAACAGAAAAUGUCUUGUCAAACAAGUUGGUUCAGCAGUAAUUAGAGAGCCCCUAUAAUAAUUAUGAAGAAUUGAAUUGAGAUAGUGUGAAAAUUAGAGCCCAAUUCACAAAACUGGCAUUUCAUACCAAAUCCAUUAAAACAAAUUGAUUGUAUGGAUGUAGUUUUUGCCUUAUCUAUAGCAUUGAUUUGAUUGUACAAAUAAAAAAUGAGAAUAAAUUUUUGGUGGUAGAGAGAGUUCCCAGAGAUGCAAGGAAUAUGUACAGGUUAACGGUAUAUACGUGUCUGUCUGUGCAGGAUGCACUGUCAAGCAUACUGAUAUAGAAGGUAAAUGUUGUUCUAGUACUUCUCUUAUCACUCUUUACCACCAACUAGGCAUAGCCAGUUCAUUCAACCGUCGGUUCAAAUUUUUCAAAAUGUUGAAUCUGAAUCGGUCUUUGAACCGUCGGUUUCGGUUUGAUUCUGGUUUCGGCGCGGUUUCGAUGAACCUCGGUUCUGUUCACGGUUUUUAAUAAUAUAUGUUUUUCUUUUUUUAAAAAUCGGGUUUAAUGUUACAUCUUUCUUUCGUACAUAUUUAUAUGAGUUUAAAAAAUAUAGUUAAAUUUUAUUUUAAAUAAAUUUUAGAAUGCUUAAACUCAUAUAGGAAUAAAAUUAAUUAAUUUUACAAAAUAAUCAAAUAAAUUAUCACUUUAUUUUGUUUAAAUGUUAUUCAUUAAAUAAAUUAUAAGAAAAUUUUGAAAAAUGCUUCAAAAGAAUGUAAUUUGGAACUUAGCAAACAAUUUAAAAGGGUAAAAAAAAAGUUAAAAAUAAUAUAAGUUUAGACUAAAUAUUUCUCUUUUUUUUACCAUUUUACUUUUUAGAUUUUUAACUUUCAUAGUAAAGUGUAUUUUAAAAAAAAUUCUUAAGUAAAGUGUAUCAUGUAGUAUAAUAUUAUUGAGACUUUUAGAAAUGUAUAAAAUAGGCUAAGUGAUUAUCAUUUUGAAAAUAAAAAUAGAAAAUUUCCAGUUUGAACUGGACCGGAAUCGCCGAUUCCGGUUCAUAUUUUAAUAUUCACAUGAACUUUAACUAGCCCUUGAAGAGCCUUUUCCGGUUUAAAAUUUUGAACCGCCGAUUUCAGUCUAGUUCCAGUUUGAACCGAACCGGUGGCCAUGCCUACCACCAACUAGUCCAAGUGGCAGAAAAAAACUAUAAAAAGUUUUAACUGUUCCGUUGAGUUAACUUUUCACGAGAAUUAAGAAAAUAAUUGAAUCACUUCAAUUUUUUUUUUUUUAAAUAAGAGUAAUUGACUCAAUUACCUUUUAAUUAAUAUUUAUUUAUUUGCGACACAAAUCUACAACAGAUAUAUAUAUAUAUAUAUAAAAGAUAAAAUUGGAAUAAAAUAAUUAAUACUGUUUUGAUUUUUUUUUUUAAAAAACUUUCAUCUAAAUAGAAUAAAAAAUAAUUAUAAACUAUAAAAUUUAAUGCAAGAGAGAGAGUAUAAGCCAAUCAAAGUUUCUUAAUUAUCCAUUUCUUUAAAUCUGCUUUCAGUUUCAAAAAAGUUCAUUGCUAAUUGCAAAUUAGUAGUACUCUCUCUGUUAUUUUUAUAUAUAGACAAACUUUUCUUUUUUUUGGUAACAUUGAAAAAAAGUCAAUUUGAAAACCUCAUGUUACUCUUGUCUUAUUCUUUAUGAAAGUUUUAUUAUGGGAGAUUAUUAAGGUAAUGGCAAAUAAAAUUGUAGAAGAGCAUUAAAUCUGAAGGAAAUUUGGUGAUAGAGUUGUUAUUUUUUAAAUUAACAUUGGAAAAAUAAAUAUGAUCUAACUAAGAAAAUGGUGCUUUGAAUGAUAUGAAAUUUAAGUUUUAAAAUGGUAUAAAAUUUAGAAAUGAAGCACAUUUAAAAGUUAUGAUUUUAUACUUUAUCCAUCUUUUGUGAAGCUACCCUAUAUUUAAAUUUUUUGACAAUUACUUAAGUGUAUCGGAAAAUUAUUUGAACAUGAAAUAGUCAUUUUUUUAACGCAACUUAUACAAAGAGAAACCAAUAAUAAGUUUCCCUUAACGGCUAGAAAAUAAAUUUUUUUUUUUUUUUUUUUUUGCACUCAUUUGAUUUUUGGUCCAAUUUAUAAUUUAUGCACACAUUUUAUAGGAUAUAUUAUUGUAUUGUCCAAAUUUGUGAGCAAUCCCGUUUAUAAAUUGGGUCUAAUUUUGUUAAGAAGCCAACGUAUUUACUAAAGUUUCAACUAAGGAUGUAGAAUUGAGUUUCAAAAAUUUAAAUUUUUAUUUCCUAAUCAAAUCUUUUAAUAUCCUUUUUUAAGGAAGACAAUGCAUUUAUUGUGAUAUUCAACCAAGAAACAUUGGUAAAUGUUAUGUUACAUUAUAAAGGAGGAGUUAAUGCGAUAUAGGGGUAUAUUAAGAAACAAUAAAGAAAAAUAGUUAGUUAUAUUAAUUUCUUAAUCUCGGUGAAAAUAUGGUUGUGCCUACAGAGUACCGUAUAAAAUGAAGAUUUCGUAAAACAAUGUCUUUAAUCAUGCAAAUCAUUAUUUUUUCUUUUUUUUUUUUUUUUUUUUUUUUUUUUUGUUAUAAGGGAAUUAUUAUUAUAAAGAAAAUGACUUGUGUACACUAAUGUAUAAGCUCACUCUAUGCAUUAAGCCAAUAAAAAAUAAUUAAUUAGAUCAAACGAGAAUAGUUUUGACUGUACAAUAAAAAACAAAGUAAUAAUUUUUAAAAAGUUCUCUUUUAAUUGAUUUGAUGUAUGAAUGGUCUUAAGGGUGAAAAUAAGCCGAACUGGCUUACGAGCUAUUCGAGUUUAACUCGAAAAAAGUUCGGCUUGAGUCUAAUGAUAUUCAGCUCGAAAGCUUAUCGAGCUUUAUCAAACUUUAUAUAUAAACAUAUAUAAUAUUUAUUUUACAUUUACUCAUGUCUCAAACCUCGAGCCGAGCCUGAGCUUAAUAUUUUUCAAGUUGAACUCGCGCUCAAGCUUAAGUCUAAAAUAUUCGGCUCGACUGGUCUCAUGCAUUGGGUAAAGAUAAAUAUUAUCUUAUUAUAAUUAUUUAGUUAUUGAUGUGAAAACUGUAAUGAAAAUGUGAAAGUAUGAUUUAAUUAGCCUGGAUUCGGCCCAAUUUAUGCAAUCCAAGAUAAUCAAUAUAGCAUGGAUUUGUUUGUGUUCCAAUGGGAUUGCCUUUGCCUAUUCCUAAAUUUCUCACUCAAAUAUAAGAGUUGGGGAUUCAAAAGGUUUCAUAUUAAAUUCCAUUCAUAUCGAGUAUUUAUGAUAAUUCAUAUUAAAUUAUUAAAAAUUAACAAACUCGAGCCAAAUUCAGCUAAUGUAUUAUUCAAAAAUUAAAGAUUAAUAUUUUAAUUUCAUUUAUAUAAAGAAAAAAUAAGGUAGUAGUUUGACUAUUAUAUUUAUAUUUAUGGUGUAAUAGAACUCAAACCAAUCUUAAUCUCUACUUCCAGAGUCAUUUUGACUAAUGAACUCUUCAUUUGUCCCUCUAGAUUCGAUUUUGUCUUAGAAAUUAAAAAAGUAAAUUAAAAAAGUAUUGAAAAUUAAUAAGAAAGUCCUACUCCAAUUAGCAUUCGGUUACCUCUAACGCCCUCAAGAAAUUUCCUCUAAUCAAAUUCUUUAUAUUUAUGGAUUACGAGACCUUUCAGAAUCUUCAAGUGUAUCUAUACAAGAACAACCCAUUCCUUGUCCUCCACUCAACCAUCUACGACCAUUGCCAAACCUGACAAGAACAAGAUCAAGAUCCUUUCUUUCAACCUUCUUGACAAUAUGCCUUUUCGCAUUGGAGAAACUCGACUGUUGUUGUUCAUCAUAGAGGAUGAAAAGAUCGAAGCUAAUAAUGGAUGCAACUCCACUAUCACCUUCAGUAUCAGUUCUGCAUCUACCCACCAUCAGAAACUUAAGAGGGAACCAGACAUCCUGAUGGAAGUCAAUUCCGUUCCGAUCGUUGCAGAUAAUGUACACAUUGAUGCAGAAGAAUUUCUUGGUUGCAGCAACGAUGGAGAGGCUUAUUCAAAGAUUUCUGACUUAUUGGCUUCAUUAUGUAUCAACUCUAAUGAUAAACAGAGAAUUGGUAAUAAUAUAGUCAUGCAGACACGUAUUAUUGCAAGAAAAAACUCUUCUUCUUCUUCAGGUAAUCAUAAGUUGCUGAUAAAUGUGGAGAUGCAACUUAAAACAGUAUAUUGGUGGCAAAGAACAGUUCCAGCAACUUGCUCUUCGAUAGCGAAUUUGGAGCGAGGAAGACUUGGAGAUUUUGUUCUUGAUGCGCCUAGUCAGUGUUCAAUCUGUUUAGACGAGUUUCAGGCUCUGUCACAGAUAAAGCGCAUGCCUUGUUUGCAUAUAUUCCACAGUCAUUGCAUUGAUCAGUGGCUGAGUUUGAGCCAUAAAUGUCCCCUAUGCCGGUUUGAGAUGCCGGCUUCUUGUAUUAAUUUCACGUAUUAAUUUCAUGGAAUAGCAAACUCACAACAUGAAAUCCUGAAGAAAAUAACUCCAGCAUUGCGUAAAUAUCGAUCUAAAUUUCUGCUAAUACAAUCUAAAACUGAUGCUUCUGAUUGUUGUUGAUAUUUUUUAUUGCUGCUAGCUGGACAAAUAUGAGACGGAAAAUUAAAAUUUGUUUUCUAGCUCUAAUUAGGCAGUAAUAUUUUUUAUAAGGAAGCAUUGUUUUGAAUUACAGAGAUGCUAAAGAAAUGAAUUCUCAUAUGGAAAUACAAGGAAGGUAACAUUACAAUCAACAGCUACUACUAUCACCAGUAAAUUUUGAAACAUAGGAGGAGCUAAUUUUUGGGUUGAAAAAGAAAGCUUAGCUUAAUUAAAAAGGGGUACCAAUUUCGCUUCUUGUUUCAGUAGGACUGUACAAAGCAGACCUGUUUCUUGGUCUGUUUUCUUCCAAUUGCUUCACAACUUCAUCCAUAGUAGGCCUGACUGAAGGGACUGGAGCACAGCAUCCCAUUGCGAGUUUCAGUGCCUGAACUAGCCCUUCUUCCAUUGGAUUCCUUAUCCCUUUCAAAAUUUCCACAUCAAAAACCUCCAUUGUUGUUUCCUCCAAAACUGCCACUUUCACCAUCGAAGGCAAAUCCACAAAUUCACCAUUCCUCCCGUUUUUCCCCGGUUUUUUACCGAUCAAAAUCUCGAGCAAAAGUAUUCCAAAUGCGUACACAUCAGUUCUAGAAUUGCAUUUCUUCAUCCGUUGAAGCUCUGGUGCCUUAUACCCAUCAGUUUUUGCAAGUGCCACUAUUUCAUCAGCCACAGAAGGGACCAUUAGCUUGUCAAGCCCGAAUUCUGUAAGCCUAGUAACAAAAAAUUCAUCCACAAGCACAUUUUUGGAUCUCACAUUCCCAUGUGUAAUAGGUGUCUCAAGACCGGUAUGAAGGUAUGCUAAUCCCCUGGCUACGCCCAAUGCAAUCUUGUGCCGCCUAGCCCAGUUCAGUAUUGGUUUUCCUGCUUUUGUUUCUGCAAUUAACAAGACAACAAAGCAAGAGUAAAGAAUAUGUAUUUGAUUCCCAAUUCACACAAUAUGAAUUACAUAGUCUUCGUUUUCUAUUAUGAGCUUCGAGGAACAACACAAUUUAAAGUGUUUGAAUUGCAACAGAUAUUUGUCUUAAAAUUUUAACUCUUUAGUGAUUCAAUAAUGAGGAAAGGCAUUAGUAUAAAAAGGACCCUACUUUAACCAGAGAGAGCAAGCAAUGAUUUUAAUAUAUAUAUAUAUAUAUAUAUAUAUAACAACGACAAAUAAACAAAAUGUAGAGAGAAGAAAAAGAAGGCAUACCAUGUAAGAGAUCAUAAAGAUUUCUGCUUGGAAGAUAGUCAUAUAUGAGUAGCUUCUCUCCCCUCUUCCCCUGGUAGAAAGCUCUCAAAGGAAUCAAAUUUUCAUGCCGAAUCUUCCCUAAUUGCUUUAUCACAGGUAAGCAAGAGCUCCUAUCUUUGCAACUACCUUCCCUCAACAACCUCAAAGCAAUCGUGCCUCCAUCAGCAAGUUUUGCUUUAUAAACUGUCCCAUAAGUAGUCUUUUCCGUUACUUGUCCUGUUGCAUUCAAAACAUCCUCUAAUGUCAAAUGCUCACCACCUUGAAACAAAAUUAGCUUUCCUUCACCGCCACCAGCACCACCAUUUUCUUCAUCGUCUCCUUCCUCUAAUUCAUCUUCACUAUCUUCCCUACAUUUUCUCUUCUUAUUUUGCAUAUACCCAAUUAACAAUGAGGCCAAAACUACAACUCCUGUCAUUAGACCAAUAACAAUACCAGCUAUUGCACCUGAACUCAAUCUUGAACUUCCAUUACAACUUCUUAAAGGCAGCCCACAAAGACUAGGAUCAUUCCCUUCAAAAACCUCUACACCAAAUUUUGAUUCACCAAAAACAGGCAAAACCCCACUAAAAUUAUUAUGUGAAAGAUUCAAUUUUUCAAGAUUUUUUAACACAGUUAAACCCUGAGGAAUUGAACCUGAAAACAUAUUAUUAGAAAGAUCAAGCUCCUUAAGCCCUUCAAAGUGAGUAAAAAAUUCAGGGAAAUUCCCUGAAAAUUUAUUGCUACCCAGAUCAAGAAAUUGCAAAUUCUUGCAAGUAGAGUCAGGCAAUGCAGUUUCAGGAAGAGAGCCAGAGAGUGAAUUAGAAUGAAACUUAAGAGAAACUAAUUUAUCACAUAAAUUCCAAACUGAUGGAGCUAGAACCCCAUUAAGCAUAUUAAAACUCAAAUCAAUAUCAGAAAGUGAAGAACUGUAACCAAGCUCGAGAGGGAUUGUUCCACUUAAUGAGUUAAUGUUAAGAUACAAACUUUGAAGCAUAGAGAACUCACCAAGCUCUCUAGGAAGUGAACCAGUAAGAUUAGCAGAUGGGAGCUGGAGGGAUAACAAGUGCAAAGAUGGGUCUUUAUAAAGUGAAAGAUUAGUCCAUUCUGGUGCAGAAAGAUCACUACAAGAAAGAGGGGACCCAUUGGAGAAUACCCAUUUGAGACCUCUCCAUUGGCAAAGAGGAAUAGACGAGUUCCAUGAGGAAAGUAAAAGAUUUUCAGUGUUACCUUGUAGUGAAGCUUUGAUCUUUCCAAGUAGAAGUUCAACAUCUGUAGAAGGAGGAGGAGGAGGAGGAGGAGGAUUUAAGGACGAGGAUUGAGUGAGUGAAACAGUAGUAAAGGAUAUGGUAAUGAAGGUGCAGAAAAUGUAAGAAGAGUAUAGUUUCAAAACAGCCAUGAAUGAAGUAACAAGGUGCAGAGAAAGAGAAAGGGAGAGUCAGAGAGAUACUUAACAAUGUGGUCUUUGUGUAGUUUUAUGAGAGGUUUUUCUUUUUGGGAAAACUGACUGAGUGUUGACUAUAAGUGAUAUUGUUUUGUCUAAUGACUCUUUCUCCAUUAUAUCACCUUGACUGAAAUGGCAACUCACUCACUUUGCUCACUUUAUUUAUUUAAAAUAUAAAAUACAAAAACUUUAAAUGUAAAUGAAUUAUUUGACAUUCAUUUAAAGUCUGAGAAAACUAUUUAAUUUUAAUCUAAUAAUAUUACAAAAUAUUUUUUAAGAAAUUAAAAAAAUUUCUAGAACUGUAAAAUUUAUGCACUUGUCCUACAUUACUGGUUCAAUUCAUAAAUACCGUGAGAUAUCUAAAAGAUAAUCAUUCAAAUAGCUGUAAGAUGAUCCAACGGUGGAAACACUAUAAAAUGCUGCACGUUAAAGUACAAGAAUACUACACCUGCAUGGUAAGUUGAAACUAUAAAAUAUAGAAAUAAUUGUGCUUGGUUUCUAUAUUUAACAAUAUUUAAAUAAUUAAUAAUAAUUGAAAUGCACGCUCUGAUCCUUUGGAAUUGCCCAUUUUUGCAAAUCUUUUCCCCUUUGCUUUGCACUCUUCGCAAAAGAUUGCUACGCAGGACGCCACCAAGUCUUGUCCUUUCAUGGAUCAAAUGUAUGCGCAGGUCCAUUAUAUGUUUACCGCUCCUUUGCUCAUAGCCCUACACGUGUGACGAUCGUUUAGCUAAUAGCAUUGACUCACAGAAGCUGAAUGAGUUUUUUGAAUUUGACGAUGGUGAUGAGUACACGGAAAAAUAUCGAAUUGUGACUGGGACCCAUAUGCCUGUGGGUCAGAGUACAAAAGCAAAACUCAUGAAGGAAAAGAAAAAGGUGAAUCUAUGUCUACUGCUUAGACAUAAAGUGGGGCCACAGGAUAACAUGUUCAAAAAGUUUACUUCUUUGUUUUUCUAAAAAAAAAAAUUAAUUAAUUAAUUAAUUAAUAUAUUUAUUUGUAUGAUACCUUCAAAACUUAGCUUAGCUCCCCAAACUUUCCAAUGUUGUCUUUUUUUUACUCAUUUUAUUUGAGCAUUUAAACUAUGGGUAUUAGUGUCAACUAAUAAUUAUGGAUAAUUCUACAUAUUUUUGGAUUAUACAAUAAUGCUAAUUAUUAAAACUAUUUUCAAAACUUAGUUUUUUUUAAUUAUAAUCAAAUGGAUCGCGUUAAUAUUAUAGAUUAUACAAUAAUUAUUAAAAUUAUUUUUUAUCAACUCUUUAUUGCAUUUGUGCACGAAACAAUAUUAAAGGUAUAUGUUAAAAUUGAAAUAUCCACUUGUAAAAUAUAUUCAGUUCACCGUUAAAAAUAACAUAUAAUACCUUACAGGGCUAAUAGUUUGUACUUUGUAUUAGAAAAAAAGAAAAACCUAUUGGGUACUAAACCUAGUUGUCUCUUUUUUUUUUUUUUUUUUUUUUUUUGUUAGAUUUUGUUUCUAAACCACCGCUAACUAUCUGUUUUGAUCGGCGUUAAUUUGUUUCUAACCCACCGCUAACUAUCUGUUUUGAUCGGCGUUAAUUUCUUUCCAUCCCUUUCUCGUUUUUCUUUAUUUUAUUUAGUUUUCUUUUUAAUAAUUUUCAAAUCUACGAUCGUUUGGAAUGAAAUUUGAAUUUAGUCUCUCAAAUAAUAAAUUUUGAGUAUUUUUUGUACCAUUUUAGUGGGGUUAUUAGUUUCUCUCAUUUCAUGGGAUUGUUCCUCUGUAUUGAAGAGUUUUUAUAUAGAUAUUUUAUUUCUUGGACAGUUCGAAAGACAUGAUGGAUGGUUGAUUGUUUGUGGUUGGAGAGUUUAGAUCUUCAAAUUCAGAUUUUUUUUUUUUUUAUCAAUGGAGCCUGGUAGGGCAUGUUCCUCCAUUAAAAUUUGAUGUAUUAAACUCUUCUCAGAGUGUCAGUUGUAAUAAGUUUUCGAAAAAACAAUGUUCGGGACAUUGUGGAUGGUUUCUUUUAUCGUCCUAUUUAAAAAUGGACCAAUUUUUACCCGGAAUAUUAAUAUCUUCUGCCAAAAUUAAGAACAUCUCCAAACAGAAGAUUUCAAUUUUUUAUAUUUGUAUUUCUUAUUCCUAUAGAAAUAUUAUGACGUACUUAAUUUAUAUUCAUUAUUAAUAAAUUAUUAUUAUUAUUUUUUUAAAAAUAGUUUGUACUUUGUACUGCUUCACCUUACAUUUCCUGUUAUACAAAGUCAAAAAGCAUUCCUACUUUCCAUGUAAAAUAAAUAAGUAACCAAUAUUCCUAAUUUCAUAUAUGGUUUUUAAAUUCAAAAUUUUAGAAUUUAACUAUUAAUUCCAGAAUUAGUAACAUGUAAAUAUUUACUUUAUCUUGAAUCUCAAAUAUGGAUAUUUGCUUUUCCUUGAAAAAAUUAUUUUUUGCUAAAAUUAUAAUUUCUAGGAAGAAAUAAUUCCUUUUAUAUAAAAUUGUAAUAAUUUUGAAAGUGCAAUGAGAGAGACAAAAACAAAUUCACUUUGGAAUAUAUAUAAUUGGGAAUAAUUUUUUAUUUUUGUUCUUCUAUGGGACCUCCUAUGGCAAUUAUGCCCUUUUUAAGGGAAAGCCUAUAUGGCCCUGGCCCUGUGCAUAAAAAGAAUAGUCCUUGUUUUUUUAAGGACAUACCAUGGGAAUAUAGGGCAAGUGGUUGAAUUUUUAAUUAUAAUGGAAUUAUAGUGGGUGUUUAGGUAGGAUAUGGCAUGUUUGUGUUUGCCAUUUUCACUGUUAUACCUCACGCCACUCUAACCCUAAUUAAUCUUCUCUAAUCAUUUUACUAAAUCAUUAAUAGUGUCAAAAGAUCCUUUUACAUCCCAUUAUUAUAAUUUUCAAACUAAGGUGAAAAUGUCUUAUAAUUUAUUUAAUCUUCCAUAAAAAAAAUCUAAAAUCAAUUAUAUUAAUAUUUUCGUCAUUAUUAUUAUUAUUGUGGAAUAUAUCCGGGAAAUAUUAUCUUUUCAGAUUUUACUUGAAUACCACCCUUUAUUUAAAUGUAGAAAAUCGUGUGCCGAGAAAUUCCAUAUGUUUUGAUGUGAAAAUUUCAAAUAAAUGUACAAUAAUUUCCACAUAAUUUUACAGUAUUUUAAUGGAAAUUUUUCCUAAAUUCAUCAAAAGAUUUUAAAAAGAAAGAGUUGAGUAGCAACAUGGGAUUUGAAAACAAAUCCACCUGAAGUUAUAAAGUAAUUAUUAUCUACACUGAGGAUUACAAAACCAACUGGAAUUUUCUUAUUGUUGCAUGGAACUUUGUUUGGCAUGAUACAAAGAAACUAUCAUUACUUUCUUAGUUUUGGCACCUACAAAGACAUUCAUCAUUUUAAAGAUAUAACAAAAGCAUCGACAAGACUUCGGUGGAAAAGCAGUCCCAGUCCUAAUCCCAGCCGUAUAAUAUUUGGCUAUUUGCCAUAACCGAAAGGUAAUAUUCCAGGAAAUUCCAUAACAUUAUCAUUGUGGUACUUACAAUCUGUUUGAAAAAAUUAAAUGUUUUCGCAGCGGUUUUUAGUAGUUAGCUUUUUAUAAAAUAUUAAAAAAUUAAACGUUAAGGGAUUAAUAUUUUAUAAAACGCUACUUUAAUCUCUCGAAAUUAAUUUAAAAUAAAUGCUAAAACCUGCUUUAAAAAAUUAUUGCCAAAAACAGACAAUUGGGCCUUGGCCAUUUCAAAUUUUGGAUUAUGGCAAUAAUUUGGGUGAAUAAGCUAGGCUAGCUCUAUAAAGGGCCGGGCUGGAAGCUGAGAAGCUGGCCUUAAUUGGGCAAGUUGGCAAUUCUGGAGGCAAUAGCAUCUGGACCAAGUACACUACCAGGAAAAUAUUGUGGUAAAUCUACAAACAAACUUGUGGUAAAUCUAUAAACCCUGCCAAUGAAAAGAGGCAAGACAAGAAGCUACCAAUAGUCCAUACAAGAACAUACUCCUUUCUCAAAAUGGUGGAAACGCUUCCGGUCCCUAACAAUAAUCUUACGCUUAUAUAUCUCUGAAAUUAGCUUAAUCGAAGAGUGACAAUCUUCACAAACACGAAGGUUCUUAACAAUCCGGAGUGGUGUUUGGGGUCUUGUACUGAUUAAACCAAAGGCAAUAGCAAUCCUCUCACUAUGAUAGUGUAAUGCACUUUCUUUUUUUUCUUCAUCCAUAUUGAGCAAGACUUGUGUAAUAUUCGGCCUGUAACCUGCAGAUCUUAUUCGGUUCGAAAUUUCCUCCAACAUUGAACGGAUUUCUUUUGCUCUAGGAUGGGAUUCAUCUUCUACUAGGAAUUCAUGAAUCACCCCAUCAAUCUCAAUCCAACUACAACCGGGAUCUUUCCUUACAUCCAUUUCCUUCAUUUUUAGCCUUACUUCUACAACUCCAACCCAAUUUCCCCUAGAGGCAAAUAUAUUGGAGAGAGCUACAUAAGAUCCACUGUCAUGUGGAAACAACUUCAUCAAAGUCCUUGCAACACGUUCACCCAUCUUUACGUUUCCAUGCAUUUUACAAGCACCAAGUAAUGCUUUCCAUAUUACAUCAUCCGGUCGAAUAGGCAUGUUUAGGACAAGUUGUUCAGCUUCUUCCAAAAGCCCAGCACGACCUAGAAGAUCAACCAUGCAUCCAUAAUGUUCGACCCUAGGUUCUAUACCAACAACCUUAACCAUAUGAUUGAAUAAUGAACGACCCUCUUCAAUUAAACCAGCAUGGCUACAAGCACUCAAUAAACCGAUAUACACAACAUCAGUAGGAGUUACACCUGCUUGUUGCAUCUUUCUGUAAUAAUCAAGAGCAUCAUUUGCUCGACCGUGCAUGGCAAGCCCACCAAUUAUAGCACUCCAAGUAAUAGCAUUCUUUUUAUUUUCUAUCUUUUCAAAUACUUGAAUUGCCUUCUCAACGCUCCCACACUUUGCAUACAUAUCAAUUACAGCAGAACCAAGCACAUCAUCAAUCUCAAUUUCAUUCUUCUCUGCAUACAAAUGCACCCAUUUACCUAAUUCUAGUGCACCCAAGCGCGAAAUAGCAGGAAGAACACUAACCAAAGUGAUAUAAUUUGGGGACACAUCUCCCAUUUGCAUAUCAUGAAAGACAUCCAUUGCCUCCUUAAAAAACCCAUUUUGUGCAUACCCCGAAAUCAUUACAUUCCAUGACACAACACUUCUUUGAGGCAUUUUAUUGAACAACUUCCUGGAAGCUCCAAUGUCGCCAAGCCUUACAAAUCCAUCGAUCAUCACAUUCCAUAAGACAACAACACCCUCUUGCAUUCUCUUAUUUCUCACUAAUUUAGUGGAAUUAUUAUCAAAAUGAGAAACAUAAUUACUGAACAAUAAAUAAGCAUCCUCCAUAACUCCACACAUGGCGUACAUUCUAACAAGAUUGCUAGCAACAAAUUCAUCAUUAUCCAAUCCUAAUUUAACAACAAACCCAUGAAUCUCUUUUCCUUCUUGAAUCCUUCCCAUUUUAGCACAUGCUUUUAAAACAGAAGGGAAAGUGAAUCUAUUGGGUUCUACAAGACCUUCACUGCACAUCUGACCAAAAAAACCCAAUGCCUCUAAUGGGUUCUUGUAAUCAUCAUCAUCAGUUUCGGCAAAAGCUCUGAUGAUUGUGUUCCAAGAAAAGCAAUUGGGAUUAUUCAUUUGGGUAAAAAACUUACGGGCGUAUUUGAGGUCCCGGCGGUCGGAGACGGACAGAAAUUUCAGAAUUUCGGCUGCAGCUAGAGGAUCGCCGAUAAGGCCAGUUUUGAUGAAGUGGGCGUGAAUUUGUUUCAGUUGUUUGAUGGAUUUGCAUCUUGCAAUUUGUGGGAAGAGUGAAGAAGGGUGAGUUGGUCGAGUUGCGGUGGUCGGUUCACAUAUUAAGUUCAUUGGCUCGUAAAUUGAAUGGAUAAUGUAUGCAAUAUACUAUAUAGAUUUCUUUUUGAGAUGGAGGAAACUGAUUUUCAGUUAUGGCUGGAUUUUCCACCAAUAAAACUAUGCUGCGUCAACUUCUAACUGUAUUUUAAGCGACCUGUCGUCGGAUGACCCAGAUGAAAUGCAUGAAGCGUUCCUAUCAUUUUCUAUAAGUAAGGCGUUGGAGUGCAUCUUUAGCUUAUGUCGUUCAACUAUAAACGUAAAGUAAAUAACUCGAGCAAACACAAUUAUAACCCGAAAAUAAUUGUAUCACAUCAUGAAUUAACUUGCCAGCUCAUUAAUAAUAUGCUUAAUACAAAUAUAUAAACCCAUAUAGAUUCAGAAAAUUAGCCUAUUCAAUUUAAACUUGAGAGUAGAUAUUUAAUAAUUCGGUUCAAAUUGAAUAAACUAAAUUUUUUUAAAAGAAAUCAAAUAAAAUAAAAUUGUGUAUAGAAUUAAACUGAAAUUAAUUAGUUUAGCUCACUUCAUUCGAUUCAUUUUUUGACUUUCUUGACUUUUAAAUAUUUUUAAAUACUGAAACGAAUUUAACUUUUUUCAAUUUUUUUAAAGAAAAUGAAACUAAAUCUAAUAAUUUUAAUUAGCAAAUGAAAGCAUGCCUGCAUAAUAUUCAUCAUCUUUCGUCAUGGUAACUCUUAGCAUCAAUACAAAGUGAAAUAAAGAGAAUAUAUAACUAUUCUUUUAGGAAUGAAUAAUGGAUGAGGUCUAGAGUUGAUUUACCAAAAACAAGAAAUCUAAAUAUAUUAAAUAUACUUUCAAUUUAAUUUUCAAAAAAAAUAAAUUGUUAGUAAGAUAACCAGCACUUACGGUGAGCCACCUUUUCAAUUUACGGGAAAUACAUUUUGUUGAUGGAGAAAAAACCUUUAAUCUCUAAAAGCUUAGAAAAGAUUACACCUCUUGAUUAUAUAAUAAACAAAAAUUGUUAGUGAGAUAUGAAUUUCAACUCUAACGAAGCUUAAACAUGAAUUGAGAAUUGGAAAAGUUAUUUAAUAGGACGCAGCAGAAUCAAGCAACAGGAGAAGAAAAACCAGGUGAAAUGAAGUCCAAAACCACAGCCAUGUUGCCAACUUGCCACCCAAAAGAUCUCUUUCCUGGGUGCCAUUAGUUCAUGGUUUUUUUGACAAAAAUGUUCAGAUUCUUUGAUUUUUAUUAAGCAGCUGCCUAAGAUGAGCUUUGACAUUGAGGCACUCAUUCAUUGGUUUUGAUUAUUGGGGUUGAGAAAAAAAACAAAAAAAAUAAAAUCCGUACUUUUGUUUUGAAUUAUUGUUUCCAUAUGACUAUGUGCACGUGUCACAGGCUAAAAGCUUUAACGCCAUACUUUAUUAAUAAGCUGCAAAAACAGAGCUUUGGCACUCAUUUUCCUCCUAUUAGAGUCUCUUAUUUGAGUUUUAAAACAAGCAAAGCUCGUUCCAUCCAUUAUUCUCCAAUUGAAUCAGCCAUGUCAAGCACUGCUGGUCUUGUUAUUCCCUGCAAAGGUCUUUAAUUUAUUAAGAAUAUUACUAGUUACUGGCUGUUUCAGAUUUCUUGACUUAAAUCCUUUCUUUUUAUAUAUGGGUUUUUUUUUUUACUCAUUUCUUGACUUGGGUAUUGUUUAGUUUUUAAAGAAUGUUAUGUUUGUGUUUAUGCAUAUUUUAUAGCUGCGGUGGCAUGGGAGGCAGGCAAGCCAUUGGUGAUCGAGCAAGUGGAGGUAGCUCCACCGCAGGCCUUGGAAGUGAGGAUCAAAAUUAAAUAUACUUCUCUUUGCCAUACUGAUCUCUACUUCUGGGAAGCCAAGGUAUAAUAUAUGGUCUAAUACUUUCUUAAACUAUUAUUUGUUAUGAAUUAAUUCAAAAUUUUGAAUUUUGGGUCUUAACUUUCAGGGUCAGACGCCACUGUUUCCUCGUAUAUUUGGACAUGAAGCAUCUGGGUAUGUUUCUCCUCUUCUUUACAAGUUUACAAGACUGUGGCAUAAGUGAUUCUUUCUUUCUUAUCUCUUCUUUUGAUAAAGUUUUGUUUUAUAAUUCUUAAAGCUGUAAAUCUAUAUCUAAUAAUCUAAAUCUCUGCUUCGAACUAUAUACUAUGCAGGUAAACAAAGAUUAUAUAUUUAUAAUCCUAAAAAGUCAUUAAAAUUGAAUCUUAUUUUAGUUUCUCAAGUCAUUAGUGUUUCAAACGUAGUAAAUAAUUAACUUCCAUUAUAUGUGUAUAAUUAUGUUCCAAUGUUACAAGCCUUAAAAUGCUUCCAUUAUUUCGAUUAUCCUCGCAGAAUUGUAGAGAGUGUCGGGGGAGGCGUAACAGACCUCGAGGCUGGGGAUCAUGUUCUUCCAGUAUUUACUGGGGAAUGUGGAGAAUGUGAGCACUGUAAGUCUGAGGAGAGUAACAUGUGUGACUUGCUGAGAAUAAACACUGAUAGGGGUUUCAUGCUUAAUGAUGGAAAGUCUCGGUUCUCGAUUGAUGGGGUGCCAAUAAACCAUUUUGUUGGCACUUCUACAUUUAGUGAAUACACAGUUGUUCAUAGAGGAUCUCUUGCAAAGAUCAAUCCCUUAGCUCCUUUGGAUAAAGUCUGCAUUCUUAGUUGUGGUAUCUCAACAGGUUGUGCUUUCACUUCUUCGCUAAUAGCUAAAUCCUCAACUUUUCUCCCCUUUUAAUCUCAAAUAGGAUUCUGAAAAGAAAAAAUCUUUCCUAAUUUCACAUCAGGACUUGGUGCGACAUUGAAUGUGGCUAAACCAAAGAAAGGUUCCUCAGUUGCUGUUUUCGGAUUAGGAGCUGUAGGCCUAGCAGUAAGUUCUAUGCAGAGCUUCAUAGCAAUUUGUUCAUUUUGUAACAGGUUAGAGGUUACAUUAAUCAACAAAUUAGAAAUUUUCUCCUUAUGUUCCUUUAAAUCUGCUUAGGCUGCAGAAGGUGCAAGAAUUGCUGGAGCAUCUAGGAUCAUUGGGGUGGAUUUGAACCCAAAGAGGUUUGAAGAAGGUAGAAUGUUCUUGUAUUAACAAAUCCCAUCUGCUACUUAGUUUAAUACAAAUAUGAUCAAUAUAGGUGUAACUGAUAUUUUUCGUAACUCAGCCAAGAAGUUUGGAGUAACUGAAUUUGUGAACCCGAAGGAUCAUGACCGUCCAGUUCAACAGAUAAUUGCAGAGAUGACAAAUGGUGGAGUAGACAGGAGUGUGGAGUGCACAGGGCACAUUGACGCCAUGGUUGCAGCUUUUGAAUGUGUUCAUGAUGUAAGCUUUUCAAUUUUUAAGCAAUGACCUAAACUAAAAGUCUUCUUAUUCAUAGUUCUACUUGGCAUUGUAGUUUGAGUUUAAUUGAUAAAAGUACCAUGCCUAAAAUGUUGUUAGAGGUAAUUAAAGUUUACUUUUAAAGUGAAAUUCACAUAUUGUAGUCAUAAAAGCCUAUUCACCGUUAGUAAGAAUCAGCAGUCUUAAUAUUUUGUAUGUCAUUUAACAGAUUUAUAGCAGAAUAAUAUGGAAUUUGCAUGACCAUGUAGGGAUGGGGGGUGGCUGUGCUCGUCGGGGUACCGAACAAAGAAGCAGUUUUUAUGACCAAGCCAAUCAAUUUGCUUAAUGAAAGAACUCUAAAAGGAACUUUCUUUGGGAACUAUAAACCGCGAACCGAUCUCCCAUCUGUUGUUGACAUGUAUAUGAACAAGGUGAUCUUAUAUGUUAUAGCUUCUUGUAAUUGUAGGUUUUUUAUAUAUGUUCUUAUAUUUCACUAACCAUUAACCCAUGAAUUACACUGGAUUAAAUUUGCUGCAGAAACUGGAAUUGGACAAGUUUAUAACUCAUAGGGUUCCUUUUUCUGACAUCAAUAAGGCUUUUGACUUGAUGCUGAAAGGGGAAGGCUUGAGGUGCAUUAUUAACAUGGAAGAGUAGUUUCUAUUGUUGUGAACCUUAUGAUAAAUAAUAAAAAAAGUAUGGCACUUGAGAAAUAAUUUGACAUAAAUAUGAAACUAUUGUAUAAUUUCUCCUUCUCUAAUAAGAAAUUUCCAUCUACUGAUUAUAUCUUCUAUCCGAUAAUAUUUUAAAAAAUAACUAUAAGGCAUGCAUAAAACAUGGAAAUUGAUCAUUCCUGCUGCUAUUACUUGUAUUUCUCCAUUAUUCUUCUUGCUUCUUCUAAUGGGUCAUCGGACGAAUUUCCACCUCCACCAUCUCUUGGCCCUUGAUCUUUGUUCAAGGCGAUGAAGAUGAAAUAUACGAACCCCAUUGUGGCCUGAGCAUCAAACAGAAAGCAACUACUUACCAUAAAAUAAAUAAAUAAGAUUCAUUAAUUAAAACUAACGUCUACUCUCAAGUUUAACAAGAAUGCAGAUCUAUGUACAAAGUUCAUUAAAUCCUUCCUGAGCAGGUGCAUGAAAGAUGAAGAUGCGCAUUACAUGGGCAGAGGAGGCAAUUGAUUUUCCAUUCUUACAUCCAUGAAUUAUGGUUGAUAAUUUUUGAACUAUUACAGAUUGAUUCUUGCAAAUAGAAUAAAACAGCAAAACAUACCAGUGCAAAUAAAGCUGUAGACAGAAAUGACUUGAGCACAAAGAGUGAAAUGGUCAGUGCAGCAAUUGUCACAGAGAUCCUUGCAAUUGGUCUUGGUACAGAGUCCUAGCAACAAACGGUAAAAGAAAUGCAUAUAUAUCGUUUAAAUCAUCCCAAGAAAGAAAUCAAUUAAAGAAAGGAGCCAAAUUGAACUUACAGGCACCAGAUUUGUUCCUGCCUCAAUGCCAUCUUUUCCAACCUUCAAUACUGUUUGAACAACUAUAUUGCAGAAUCCAAAUACCCAUUAGUAAUGCAAAACACACCGCUCUUUUUUGUAUGUUGCUUAACUUAGCAGCAAUCCUAACCAGUAAACCAUCAAAAACCACCAAAAAUUAACAAUUAAAUCUGAAAAUUACAAAUUUUGAAACACCAAUCAGCUGAAAUUUUAAAGUAAUAACAAAUAAACAUCUAAAUACAAUUAUUAACCAAACCAAUCAUGGAAUUUCGUAAUGUCACAAACACUGGGAAUCAAAAAACCAAAACAAUUCAAGUAGACAAAAACGAGCUCAAAACCAAAAAGAAGUAAAAUUAAAGCCCCAAAAUGUCAUACCUUUAACGAAAUUAAACUGUGCGGCAAAGACAACCGGAAGAGACCUGGGAUUGCGCGGUUUGGACCUCAGAAUUUGCAAUUUUGGAAGUAGAGGCUGAUUCUUCAGUCGUAGAAAGGAAUUAGAGAAAAGAAACUGUGAAUUGAGAGUUAGGGUUUGGAAUUUGCAACGUUUUGGAGAGUAGGAGAGUGGAAUGGAGCAUAAGCUAUCAACAAUGGCCGACGAAGCCAUACACGCUUCCUGUUCUUUCAAAUUAUACGGUCGUUUAUGAUUAUAGGAUCGUCAUCAAUGAACAAAAACAGAGAAGAAAUUAAGCAGGCCAGACAGCGAUGGUGAGCGAAGAAGAGAGAGCAGUAGAGAACCAGCUGGAUCUAAAACAAAGGGCCCAUAUAAGAUCAGCUCAGCCCAACUUAACAAUGUCCUGGACUCUUGUAAUUUGUAAGUUUAUAUUCUAGUAGUUUGAAGUCAUUGACUACUAAUAAACAAUGGCAAUAAACAUUAAAGGCAAUGUUAUAUUAAUUAAUUUGAAUCCAGAAGAAAGGAAUCCCUCAUGUUUUGUCCAUAGAAAAAGCUAAUAUUGUUGGAAAUUUUUAUUUAGGCUUUGACAAAACAAAAUGUGUAAAGAUUCCAAAGUGGGGAAUUCCCAAGGGUCAUGUCCUAGAGCUCUGGGCCAUUUCUAAAAAUUGUUUGAUUUUAUAUAAAUAAUCUUAUAUCCAUGUUGGUUCAAUUAUAUGCUAUGAGGGCAUACUCACAUACUCACAUUUAACAAAUACUACAAGUUAAUGUAAGUUUGAGUAAGAAGUUAGGUAGGGAAUAGGUUCUUAGCUUCCACAAUCACCAUAGCUAUACUUUACAUUUCCAAAGAUCCUUCAAUGCUUUAAAAUUAAAGUUUCAUGCUUUAUUUUAAUCUUGUUAGUGGCAGAAGAAUAAUUAUAUAUGAAUACUUCUUUUUAAUUUUGGUAAUAUAUCAAAGAUCGUGAAAAUUCAAUUUAUUUUUUUAGAAGAAAUCAAACUAGAAAUUUUAUUAAGGAAAAAUUGUAUAUAAAUAUUGGAUACAGAUCAAUAUGUUUUUAUAUUUUUACAUAGAAAGUCUAAUAAUAAACCACUUAUACAACGAAUAAAAAAAAAAAAACAAUUUUGAUUUGAAGUAUACGAUCAAAUUGACAAAAUAUAAUAUUUAUGUCAUAGGCAAUCGUUUGCUUCAUCACUUGGUAACUAUUUGUCGCUAUGGUUUUUCUACAAGUUCGAUUUGAUUACCUUUAAAUUUUUUCUUUCUAUUGAGGACGAAAUCUGUACUUCUUUCUGUAUGACUAUCCAAAUAAUAAAAGAUACCGGACAAAAUCACUAGAUGGGUAAGAAAAAAAAAAAAAAAAAAGCUUGUAUUACCAUGUAAAACGUCUAAUCUAAACCAUGUCCAAAAUUAUUUAUGCCUUGAAAAGAUUAAAAAGUAUUGAUUUUAGAAGUAUUUUUGUUAUAAUUUAAGUCAUUUAAUUAUUUUUUUAAUUACUACGAUAAAAAUUUUAAAUGGACAAAAAGGGGUAUUUUUUAUGUUAUAUAUGGUAGUAAUAUUAUUACUAAUCCGUCCAUAAAUAUAAGUCAUUUAAGGUUAUUGCACGGUGAUUAAUGAAAUAAUUAACUCUCUUAAAAUUAUAACAAAAUGUUUAUUAAUUUGAUCAAAAUUUGUAAAGAUCAUUAUUGCAAAUAAAAUUGAAAAAACAUCGUUAAUUACUUUUUUAUAUUUGUGGACAAAAAAUUUCCCUAAAAUGACUUAAGUUUGUGGACAAAUAGAGUAUAUAAGAACUAGUGUAACAACCCUUUAAAAUUAUAUUAGUACAAGUCAAAUAUGUUACCAAUAACUAGACUUAUUCCAAAUUUAAUGGUCUAUAAAUUUCGAUUAAAAUUUAAAUUCACAAUCUUUUAAUUUUAUAAACUAUUUUAAUAAUUAAUUAAUAACUAAGCAAAGCCCAAAAAAAAAAGAUUACCCGGGAAAAAAUGAAUUUCCUCAAGGUAAUAAUAAAUUUUUCAUUUUUUAUAUAUGUGUUAAUGGGUAUGGGUCUCAUAAUGUGAUGAACAAGUACAAUCUGCUUGGCAAUCAGAGAUGCAAAGUUCCCCCAUAAGAGAAUAUGAUAGCUUGUCUUGCUCACCUUGUUACUUGAAAUAUUGAAUUGCUUUUAGACAUAUAACUAUAAUUCUUGCCAUAUCUACCUGUUUGGUACCUCAAAAAGAAAAUGCAAAGGAAGUGAAGACCGCACAGAUUUUCUUGAACAUAUAUAAGCUAUAGAUAAAACAUUUAUAAUGAUUUAAACCAGAAGGAAGGAAAAAUUUUCAAGAUUCUUGAGAAAUGUAACCGAAGGUAAUGCCUUGUUGGUUUUUUUUUUUCUUUUUUCAAGGAAGAGUGGUGGCUCUGUUAUCAAAGCUAAAACAAUCAAUAAUACUGAAAACUUAUUGAGGAAAACAAUGCAAGAACACAUGGAGUAUCUAUUCAAAUAAAGAAAAAAGAUCAAGAAACAGAACCCCGAGGUGAAAUAGGUGGUGGAGUAGUUGAAAAUCUUUAAUCUUUUGUUUCUUUUCUUUAUUGCUCUGUAUGUAUGUGUUUGUUGCUUGUCUUCAAAGACAAUCUUAUUAGUGAGUUUUGAGUUUAACAUAAGAGAGAGAAGAAAGAGGAUUUAGAUUAGGUUAGACAAACCCAAUGCAGAAUCAAGAAGAGAGAUUUGGGAUUUGAUGCAAAUUGCCAAUGCCGAUGUCGAGGCAACCCUACAACCACCACCACCACCACCGCCACCACAACCACCUCGUCUUCUUUCUUUUUCUUGCACUUGGAGUAUUUGCUGCUAGUUCUGCAGCAAAUAAUGAAGUCGAUACUUUACUUUCUUGGCUUCACAGCUCCUCUUCUUUACUCUCUCCAGUUUUCUCUAAUUGGAACCAUUUGGAUUCUAACCCUUGUAAGUGGUCUUAUAUCACUUGCUCUUCUAAUAACUUUGUUAUUGAAAUCAACAUUCAGUCUACUGAUAUUGCUCUUCCUUUCCCUUCCAAUCUUUCCUCUCUUCUUUACCUUGAAAAGAUCAUUCUUUCUGCUGUUAAUCUCACCGGUACUAUCCCACCUGAUGUUGGAGACUGUAAAAACCUGAUAGUCCUUGAUGUUAGUUCUAACAGUCUUGUGGGUAGUAUUCCUAAAAGCAUUGGCAAGCUCCAAAAUCUUCAGGACUUGAUUUUGAACUCCAAUGAGUUUACUGGGGAAAUCCCAGUUGAGCUUGGUAAUUGCUCUAAUCUCAAGAAUCUUGACAUAUAUGAUAAUUUCUUUAGCGGGAAUAUUCCAGUUGAACUAGGCAGACUAACAAAUUUAGAGGUCAUUCGCGCUGGAGGGAACAAGAACAUUGCAGGAAAGAUUCCAGAAGAGCUUGGAGAUUGCGAGAAUUUGCAAGUUCUUGGUUUAGCUGAUACUAAAAUUUCAGGUUCUAUACCUGCUUCAUUAGGCAAGCUAAGCAAGCUUCAAACACUAUCAGUAUACACUACAAUGCUGUCUGGUGAGAUUCCACCUGAUUUAGGCAACUGCUCAGAGCUUGUCAACUUAUUUUUAUAUGAGAAUGAUCUCUCAGGUUCAUUGCCACCACAGUUGGGUAAACUACUGAAGCUGGAAAAGAUGUUACUAUGGCAAAACAAUUUUGAUGGGAUUAUUCCUAAUGAGAUUGGAAACUGUAAAAGCUUGAAGAUUUUUGAUCUUUCCUUAAAUUUUUUCUCUGGAGACAUACCUAAGUCUUUUGGCAACCUAUCAAAUCUCGAAGAGCUUAUGCUUAGCAAUAAUAAUAUUUCUGGUUUGAUCCCUCCAGUUCUUUCAAAUGCUACAAAUUUACUACAGUUGCAGCUUGAUGCUAAUCAGAUAUCAGGUUCAAUUCCUAAAGAGCUUGGUAUGCUGACACAGUUAACAGUCUUCUUUGCUUGGCAGAACAAACUUGAAGGAAGCAUUCCUGUAGAGUUAGGUAGCUGCAGAAGCCUUGAAGCAUUAGAUUUAUCGCAUAAUGCACUUACUGGUAGCUUACCUCCUGGCCUAUUUCAGCUUCAGAACCUAACAAAGCUUCUUUUAAUUGCUAAUGACAUUUCUGGUUCAAUUCCUCAAGAGAUUGGUAAUUGCAGCGCUCUUAUUCGUCUUCGCCUCGUAAAUAACAAAAUCAGUGGAAAUAUUCCAAAAGAAAUUGGAUUGCUCAAUGACCUCAAUUUUCUUGACUUGUCUGAAAACCAUCUUGGUGGGACUUUACCAGACGAAAUUGGAAAUUGCUCUGAUUUGCAGAUGUUGAACUUAAGUAACAACACCCUUCAAGGUAAUUUGCCUAAUUCUUUAUCUUCUCUUACUAGACUUCAAGUAUUGGAUGUUUCUAUGAAUCAAUUUGUGGGUGAAAUUCCAACUAGUUUUAAUAAACUUAUUUCACUUAAUAGACUGAUUCUAAGUAAGAACUUUUUCUCUGGGGGAAUUCCUUCCUCACUUAGUCAAUGUUCAAGUCUUCAGCUUCUUGAUCUCAGUAGCAAUGAACUAUCUGGCAAGAUCCCAGUUGAACUGUUUGAUAUUGAUGGUCUUGAUAUUGCUUUGAAUUUGAGUUGGAAUGCGCUUACUGGGGUAAUCCCACCACAGAUUUCUGCUCUAAACAAAUUAUCUAUUCUUGACCUAUCACACAAUAAGCUAGGAGGAGACUUGGUAUCACUGGCUGGUCUUGAAAAUCUUGUUUCUUUAAACAUUUCCUACAACAAUUUCUCUGGCUAUCUUCCGGACAAUAAGCUGUUUAGACAGUUAUCUGCGACAGACUUGGCAGGAAAUCAGGGAUUGUGUUCUAAAGGCCGUGAGUCAUGUUUCUUAAGCAAUGCAACAAUGAUGAGCAUGGCUAAUAAUGGUCACUUGAAAAGAUCACAGAGACUUAAACUAGCCAUUGCAUUGCUCGUCGCCUUGACUAUAGCAUUGGCAAUUUUUGGGGCGAUUAUUUUUUUUAGAGCUCGAAAAUUGAUAGGAGAUGAUUGUGAAUCUGAGUUGGGAGGAGAUUCAUGGCCUUGGCAUUUCAAUCCAUUUCAGAAGCUAAAUUUUUCAGUAGAACAAGUCCUAAAAUGCCUAGUGGAAGACAAUGUAAUAGGAAAAGGAUGUUCAGGAAUUGUGUAUCGUGCAGAACUUGAAAAUGGGGAAGUCAUUGCUGUUAAAAAGCUUUGGCCAGCAACAAUUGCUGCAGGACAUGAUUGUCAAAAUGAUAGGUUAGGAAUUGGAGGAGUUCGCGAUUCCUUUUCAGCUGAGGUAAAAACUCUUGGUUCCAUUCGCCAUAAGAACAUUGUUAGAUUCUUGGGAUGCUGUUGGAAUCGAAACACGAGAUUGCUUAUGUAUGACUAUAUGCCUAAUGGGAGCUUAGGCAGUCUUCUUCAUGAAAGAAGUGGUGGUUGCUUGGAAUGGGAAGUGAGGUACCGGAUAGUCUUGGAAGCAGCACAAGGUCUUGCUUACUUGCAUCAUGACUGUGUUCCUCCAAUUGUUCACAGAGACAUUAAGGCUAACAACAUUCUCAUUGGCCCAGAAUUUGAACCAUAUAUUGCUGAUUUCGGACUUGCCAAGCUUGUCGAUGAUGGUGAUUUUGCUCGCUCUUCAGCUACUGUUGCUGGCUCCUAUGGUUACAUUGCUCCAGGUGAGUUCAAAAUCCAUACCAGCAUUGUCCUGAUGAGGCUAAAAUUUUCAAAUUGCAUAUUGAUAGCAUUGUCCUGAUUUGACUUUAGAAAAUUUUCACAAUGAUGAGACUCAUUUAUUUGGUUUGCAGAGUACGGAUAUAUGAUGAAGAUAACCGAAAAAAGCGAUGUGUAUAGCUAUGGUGUGGUGGUGCUAGAAGUACUAACUGGGAAGCAACCAAUUGAUCCAACAAUACCAGAAGGGCUUCACAUUGUAGAUUGGGUGAGGCAGAAGAGAGGAGGGAUUGCAGUGCUCGAUCCUAGCUUACGAGCUCGGCCCGAAUCAGAGAUUGAAGAGAUGUUGCAGACCAUAGGAGUAGCUUUGCUAUGUGUAAAUCCAAGUCCUGAUGAUAGGCCUAACAUGAAGGAUGUAUCAGCAAUGCUCAAGGAAAUAAGGCAGGAGAUUAGAGAUCACGAGUGCUUGAAAGUGGACAUGCUUAUAAAUGGAUCUUCAGGAAAUACUCAACAGGAGAAUAGCAAUAACUCUCCAUCAUCAGCGCUGAUGCAAGAACAAUCAUAUCCUGAAAGCAACAGUACAAGCCUUUCUGCUUCUUCAUUUUUACAUUCUUCUUCAUCCAUGGCUAAAACUACAUUCAAAUAAAUUUCUUAAAUAUUUUUUUAUCCUUGCAGCAUCAUGUAUCACUAUUAUUUUAGAUAAACUGGAUGUUAGCUAGUCCAGUGUCAGAACUUUCUUGUGUAAAAUAGAAAAGCAGGCAAUUAAAAAUCUUUAUAUAUAAAGAUGGGCAAGUGCGGAGGUAGGACUUUCACCCAACGACAAAGCAAAACCAUACAGAUUGGCCUCAAAGCGGACACAGCUUCCCAAGGAAUUGAAAAAAAUUCUUAUUAAAAAUUACAUUUUAAUCCUUCAAAAUAUAAAGAAAAUUAUAUUUGACUUCUUAAAGAAAUAAAAAAAAAAAAAAAAAACGUAGAAAACUAGGAUGAUGAUGAUCCACUACAAAGUUCUGGGCAAUUACAGACGGAUUUCUGCGAUGACGAUGAUGUAUUGAUGUAUAGAUAUGAAACCAAAAACAUUAAGUUUCUUAGCUGAAAAAAGAAAAGAAAUGGAGUGGUAAUCCUUAAUACAAGGUUGUCUUCAUUUCAUACACAAUGAUGCUUUGUUUGCGUUAGAGGUUGUACUUUUCCUAUGUCUAAUAUUUUGCAAGUUGUAACUGCACUUCACUAAACGACAACAAGUCUAAAUUCGCAUUAUUUCAACGUCGUACGCAAGUGCAAAUCAAAUUAAAUUCUAGCAAUUCUUUCGUCAUAAUUUUUUUUGGCUGCUAUUAUUUUUUGUUCUUCAUUGUUAACAACAAAAUUAGAAGAAAAUAUCAAAACCAAAAUUAAUUAAUUAAUUAAUUAAUUAUGGUGUCAUACAAUCAAGCAAAACACCCAUAAGGGGACCAUGAUUAAUCUAAAAAUUUUCUAAUUUCAUGGAGUACUACUUGUUUUUUCUUUUUCUUUUUAUUUUUUAUAGUGUGGAAAAUGAUUUUAAAAGAGGGUUUUGCGUUUUUUUUUUUUUUUUUUGGAAGGCAAAGAAUUAAUAGAAAGAAUAUUAGAAAUAAAAUUAAAAAGGAUGAGACUCUACUUCUAGAAAUUAUACGUGGAAUAAGCAUACGUUACAAGCAGAUGCACAACACUAUUCGCUUACCUUUUAACCAAAAAAAAAAAAGACAUUUAAUACAUAAGAUUUUGAUGUUUGGUUAAUACAUGAAUGUUACAUUCUUGAAAUAGCUAGGUUCUUAAAACUACAUUUUUCGGUCUAAAAAGAUGGAAAUUUACAUUAUAUAAAUAAAAAAUUAAGAACACUAUUAUUUGUUAAUUUUGAAUAAUAUGUGCAUCAAAUUAAUUUGUCAAUAAAAAAAAUUUAAUUGAAUCAAUUUUACAUCUGUAGAUAAUACUUCUAGAAUAUCAGUAAAAAAAUAUGUAUAAAUUAAAAAUACUAUUAUAAUUUACAUUUUUUAUAAAUUCAUCCAUCUCUUAAUUAUCUUACACUUCAAAAAGAAAAUAUUUAUAACUCAACAUAAUUUUUUUUUUUUUUUAAAAAAAAAACUUUCUCAAGACAUCUCCCAGGAGAGGGAAAGUUAAAUUUUUAUUUAUGGUUCUAACUUAUAAUUACAAAAAGAGAAAAUAUCAUAUAUGUAAAUUUGAUUAAAACCCAUUAUCUAAAUUGCUAAAACAUUUAAACAAUUCAAUUUAAAAUCAUAUUAUACAGAAAACAUUUCAAAUAUUCUUUCCAAUCAACAAAAUUCAAGAUUUCAAAAUAGUAAUAACUAUCAAUAAGGGUUUUGUAUCAUAAAAUUUAUCCACAUUACACAUAAAAUGAAAUAUAUAUAUAUAUAUAUAUAUAUAUAUAGAGUCAUAUACUCUUGCAAAGCAGUAACGUAGUAUCAACAGUUAACUGGCACAAGUACAAAACAUUGUAUAGUAAUACUAGUAUAAUGUAAGGGGCAACCCCAAAACUAAAACUCAAAUUAAUGAUACAAACAUCCAUUUAAUUAUAUAUUUAUUAUUAUUAUUAUUAUUAUUAUUAUUAUUAUUAUUAUUAACUAAUUAACCGUCUCCUUAAUACUCUCUCUUGGCUGUUGUCAUGAUUUUGACUCAGAAAUCAGAGACUGUUGAUUGGAUUGUGCAGAGAAUCUAGGGUUUUCCAUACCAACUUACUCUUAUCACAACAUCUUGACCAUCCACUUGUCCAUCCAUUUUCAUGCAUGAAGGAGAGAGAAAGUGUCUUCUUUUUCUACUACCAUUCACUUUACCGUUUGGGUUUGAUUUGUAUUAGAAGAGGAUCCAUUAACAGUUGCAGGAGUGCUUGCAUGUGAGUUUUUUGGUGAUUUUCUUGCUUUCUUAUUCUCUGGUUUCGCUCCCGGUUGUCUCACCUUCACUCCUCUUAUCAACUGUUAAUAAUCAUAAUUAAUUAAUUAAUUAACUAUUAAUCUAUUUAUAUAUUAAAAUUAUAAAUAAAAAAAUACAUAAAAAAAAAAAUAUAUACAUAUUUGCCACACUUGACAUCCGAGUAUAUGACAAUGAAAUCUCCUUCUUGAAGUCCAUUUGUUCUCACAAAAUCUCCUGAAAUUAAUUAACAAAAUCAAAAGAAGGUUAUUACUAUAGACUCAGAAUUUAAAAGAAAAUAUCUAAAAAUUAAAUAUCCACCGAACCUGUGUUUUCUAGGAGGUACAUCCUGCUUUUGUUGUUGGGCCAGAAUCUGAAACUCCAUGUAGAAAAAUAAAAAUAAAAAUAAGAAAGUGCAGAGAAUUAAUUUUGUAAGAAUGGAAAUGGAAAAAUCAAGAAAAUCAAGAAUCAUUUAGAAUACAAAAAUACCUAUAACGCAUGUUCCAAACCCUAGAAGUCCCUAUGUCUUCCAUUGCAAUAGAAAUCCCAUCUCUUGCCUCCAAUUCUGGUAAAUGAGUUUCUGCUUCUUUCUACAAUAUUUUUUUAGAAAAAUAAAUAAAAAUUCAAAGAAAUAAUCAGCACACACACAAAAAACAAGUACCUUCGGCAACACUAUCCUCCCAAGAUUACCCACAUCACUCUGCUUCAGCACCUUUUGAAGGAGAAACCUCAGGUUCUUCUCUGGUUUCCAACCCUGAAGAAACCAAAAUGAGCAUACAUAUACAAAGACAAAAUUAUCUUUAAUUGUAAUUAUUCACCAUCUUAAUCAUAAAUGCAUAAUUACUGAGAUAAUCUCAGCAAUAAAGGCAAUCUAACAAAUCCAAAGUAGUGAACCCACCUGUCGCCUAUCUGAUGCCACUUGCCGUUGAUGAUUCUGAUGUGAUUGCAUGGCCGGUCGAUCCACUGUAUGAACCGGCGGUGCAUCCAUAGGUAGAACAGGCGUGGUUGAAACAGCAACACCGCCGACAGCUGCAGGCCAGUAAACCCAAUUACCGGGAUUAGGCGGCUGAGCUGCUGGUGUUAUAUUAUCACUUCCAAGCCUUCCAUGGUGAUCUAUUACUGUAUUCUGAUUUUGAUUCUGGUUUUGUUGGUUAUUGUUUUGGUGAUUGUGAUUUCUAUGAUGUGACAUAAACCUUCUUUGUCUAGCCAUUCUCUUCUUUCUUGCUUCUUUGGUAGCUGAGGAACCCAAUCUCACCAACGUAUCACCGACUUGGGUAGGGAGAUACUGACAUGGGUAUUGAUUUCCAUAUCCGCUAAAUACAUUCGGGUGCGUUGGUACCGGCUGGAGAUUAUUAUCUGGAAAUGGUGAGUAAUGAGAAGCUAAAGCAAAUUGUGAUGCGGACCAAGAUUGAGCAGAAUCAAGCAUUUGAUAAUCUGAGGAUGAUGGCGGUUGCGGUGGUUGUGGUGGAGGAUAAGAUUGGCCAGCCAUGUUAGAAGCUCCAUUAACAAACGGGUCAGCCAUGUACCCAACCAUAGGUUGAAAACCCUGCAUGCCUGUGGCUGCCGGGUCGGAAAUAUAAGGUGGAGGUGCAAUCCAAGGUGAUUGAGAGAAACAAGGAUUUGAUUGAUCUGGCUGAAUAGAAUUACUACAAUUCAGAUUAGGGUUAGGGUUUUGCAGAGGGUCUUGAGAUGAUUCUUUCAUCCUCCUUUUUUGAAGAUGAUUAGUUUGAACCCAUUCAAGAAUCAACUUCAACAAUUGUUUCAUAGCUGCUUUACCACCACCCAAACGCUUAGCAGCACACUCUAUAGUAGCUUUCUUGAUUUUGACUUUUCUUAAGUCUUCUGCAGAAACAGUCUCUUUAUUGCUCUUUAACCACUCUAAAAACACCAUUGCUAGAUCAUCUGAAGCUCCUUCCCCUGAUUCUUGUUUUUGAGUCACUUCACUUUUUGUUUCCAUUGCUAACUCUUCAUUUCUCUGUUGCACCUGCAGUUCCUGUUGCAGAUUCUGCUCUGUAUUGAACUCUUCCAAGAAAUUUUCAUCAGCUUGAAAUAUCGAAGAAGGAUCCAAAAAAUCAUUGUUUUCGAUCAGAUCCAUGUAACCGAAAUUAUCCAUCAUGCUCAUGCAACCAACACCAACAUCUUGAUCAGGUGGCUGUAAGAUCUCCAUUGAAGCAGUAGAAGAUAAGGCAGCUGCGGUUGGUUCCAAGGGAUCAUAUUGACCCUGAUGAUUAUGAUAAUGAUGAUGCUGGUUAUGAUCAUGAAUUUUUUUCUCCACAUCUUCUUCUGCGUCUGACUUCAAAACUGCCCAGGAAGCGGCGGAUGACGAAGAAGAAGCUGAAGAAGAAGAUGAUGAUGAAGCCAUGGCCUUGACCGGUGCAGGAGUUGACGAAGAUGAAGAAGAUGAUGACAUGCAAGGGAAAUCUGGUAAAGCAGGGUAAUCAUCAUAAAAGAUCGAAGAAUUAUUCACAUCUAACAGAUCUUCUUGUUCUCUUUCUAACCAGAUUUCUCUUUCUUCCUCCAUAGCAUCAACAGUCGUACCAAAACCAGUUGUAGGGUUUGUUACAUUUUCAUGAUCUUCAACAUGCAAAUGUAAACCCUUCAUUUUUUUGCUUAAUUUUUUUUUUUUUUUUAAGAAAAAGCCCAAAAAUAGUAAUAAAUAAAAAAAAAUUGCAACUUGGAGAAACCUUUUGAGUUCUGUUGUUCGCAGAUAGUUUCAGAAAGAGAGAGAGAGAGAGAGAGAGAGAGAGAAGAUAAUAAAGAGAGAGAAGAAGGGAAGGAUAGGGGAUUCCUGUGUACGGAUAAGUGCAAAGAGAAAGAUUGUAUCCGAUUAAGGAAGCAGAAGAGAGAAAGGGCCCAUUUGUAAAUGUCAAUUACUCAACAAAAACGCAACAUAAACCAUCUGGGCAUCUUCCUUUCUAUCUAAACUCACUUACUGUAUCAUCUAUCAAUAUCACCGCCUCCACCAACAAUGGAUAACAUAAACAAAUACCCUCCUUAUAAUUAUAAUAAUAUAAAUAACAAUUAAGAAAGCGACGCCUCUACUCUUAAUGCUGUUUUUAACAAACACAGACUACGCAUAAUAUUAAAACCCUAAAAUUGUACAGAAAACCAUACUCAGCUAGCCAGCAACAAUGGCGAUCGAGUUCAACCAAUCAAAGAUAGAUCAACUUAAAGAGUGAAAAGGGUAAGCAAGAUGAGCAAAUAUGGAGAAGCCCACAUGCUCAAAUAAACCCCCCAUGUGUGUUCUGGUUUGUUCCAUGGAUGUCUAAUUGCCAUUUUCUAACCUUCCUUUUAACUUUUCUUCAAUAAAGUUCAAAUCAGUAUUUUGGGCGUUUAUGCAGAAUUCAAUUAACUAAGAGAGAUGGGUAGUUUUAGAGAUAGAAAGAGAAGAAAAAACAACAAAAACAAAAGAAAAACUUCCCCGUGCCGCUGGUUUUUCAGUCCUAUUCCGGAUUUUGUGCCAUCCGCCAAACGUUCUCUCCUUAAUGGAGCAACCGAGCGGUGCCUCAGCCUUUUCUUUCUUUUAACUUUAAUGUCUAUGUCAAUGUGAACUUAAAAUACUGCAAUGAUAUUUACAGUUACUUCCAAUUUCAAUUUUGUCCAUUUGCUGCUAUCUAAGCAAAGCAUACAUCCAACCAAAACUUGAUUAAUUAAUUCAAGAAAAUUGAGAUAUAUAUUAGAAUUGAGUCAACUUUGUGGGGAAUUCAGCAAUUUCGCUUUUUUAAGCUAUGGAUAUGUAUCAUCUAUCUAAAGAUUGUAUUAUUAUUGAAACAUUAUCGAUUCUCUGGAUGUUUAUGUUCUUCUGAUAUGUACUGAAACUUGUUAGAGUCACUUUAUAUCAUCCAUAUCAAGUUGAUGAAAAUCUAAACUAAAGCAUUAUAUUUCAUAGUUUGUGAAUCAAUCAAUCAAAAACAUAUAUAUAUCUCGUGUUGUUUAUCCGUUUAUUACAAAAACAAACAAUCUAUUUACUGAUAGUUUGAAAUUGAAAUCAAAUUACAUCCUUUAAUUUAUGAUAAAGCGAUUGAAGGAACUAGUUAAAAAUUUGAAAGGUAUUAACCUAUGUCUUGUUAUGAUCAAAUGAUUAAAGGAAUUGUCUAAAACAUUAGAUGAAAACUAAUAUUGUUUAUGUAUUUUAUUUGCACUUGAGAAUCAGAAUAGAUAUAGAGAUAUACAUGACAUGCAAAAGCGAUACUUGAUUAUCCUUUUCUUUAUUGUUUUUUGUGAUUCUUGAAUGCAAAAAUUUUAAUUUUUAUGUCAGGGUUAAUUAAAGUUUUUAUUUUUAUUUUACAGCAUAAUGCUAAUAUUAUUAAUUUACUAUGAUAACAAGAACAAUGUAUACAAAUAGUUAAAAGUUCAACUAUCCUACAAACUUUUAACUAUUUUUAUAAAUAUGGCAAAUUCUUUUAAUCGAAUUGAUAUCAUAAAAUUUUGAUUUCUUAACAAUUGAGGUUUGUUACUCUGCCGUUUAAUUCAAAUGACGUGAUUAUUAAAUUCAGUAUGUGGGCCUAUUUCAGACACGUCAGUCAGAGAGAGUAGAUGCUUAUAGAGCAUAGCUUUUCAAUUCUCGAAUAUUGUGGCUGACUGUGGUCUAGUUGAUCUAGGAAUGUCUGGGUACCCUUUUACUUGGGCUCAUGGUAGAGGUCAACACCGGGUAGAGAAAAGAUUAGACAGAGCUUUGGGAAACAUCACUUGGCAGAAUCAUUUUCCUAAUUAUCAAGUCCAGAACUUAGUCUCAAGUAAGUCUGAUCACUCUCCUCUUUUUAUUCUCACUUCUCCCAGAAUUGAAAACCAGCGACAUCAACGUUUUCAGUUUGAGAAUAUUUGGCUAGAGGAAUCUGAUGUAGACGCUGUGGUAAGAGAGAGUUGGACUAGUCAUGAGGGUGUUGAUGUAACGGGGAAGAUAAAAGUUUGUGGAGAACGCUUACAGAGCUGUGGUAGGAGCUUAAAGCUUCGGUUUAGGCAUAAUGCAAAGAAGUUGACAGUGCAGCUUGAAAAUCUUCGAAUCAGGGGUAAUAUUGAACAGUUUGAAGAUGUACAGCGUAUGCUUGAUGAUGUUCUGCACCGUGAAGAGGUUUUCUGGUCUCAAAGAGCGAAAUCUCAUUGGUUAAAAUCGGGGGAUAUGAACUCUAGGUAUUUCCAUGCAACUGCUAAGAAACGGAAAAAGUUGAAGCAGAUUUUUCGGUUAAAGGAUGCUAAUGGCGAGUGGAUCAGUGACAACAAUUUGCUGAAAGGUAUGGUGAGUGCUUAUUUUGUUAAUCUAUUUGAGGCCGGGGAUGUUGACUUAAGUCCUGUUGUGGGUUUAUUCUCUCCUUUCGUUUCGGAUAAUGACAACUCUCGUUUACUUGGAGAUAUUUCGGUGGAUGAGGUACAAUUGGCUGCGAAAUAAAUGCAUGCAGAUAAAAAGCCCAGGGAUGGAUGGUCUAAAUCCUAGAUUCUACCACAGGUUUUGGGAUGUUAUGGGUCACGAUGUUGUCAAAAGUUGCCGAGACUGGUUCAAUAUAGGCAUUUUUCCUAAUAAUGUGAAUGAUACCUUAAUUGUGUUGAUUCCGAAAGUAGAGGACCCAGAGGCAGUGACGGAUUUUCGACCUAUUUCACUUUGUAAUGUAGUUUACAAAGUGUUUGCUAAGGUUCUGGCGAACAGACUGAAGACCAUUCUGCCUAAUCUUAUUUCAAUAUCUCAGUCGGCUUUUGUCCCGGGUCGGUUGAUCUCAGAUAAUGUGUUAGUUGCUUUUGAGUUAAUCCACUCUAUGCAAACAAGAAUGAAAGGUCGACAAGGAGUCUCUGCAUUGAAAGUUGAUAUCUCAAAAGCCUAUGACAGAGUUAAUUGGUGUUACCUACGGGCUGUUAUGCAGGGGUUGGGUUUUAGCCAGCGUUGGGUUGACUUGAUCAUGCUGUGUGUUUCCUCUGUUAAAUACUGGGUGGGAGUGAAUGGGGAUGAGGUUGGCCCCAUUAUUCCAGAACGGGGGUUGAGACAAGGUUGUCCAUUAUCACCCUAUUUAUUUAUUCUCUGUGCUGAAGGACUGUCAAAGCUAUUUAGUCAGUCUGAACGUGACGGUCGCCUCAAAGGCUGUAGAGUCUCGAGAGCUGCUCCUCAGUUAUCUCACUUGCUAUUUGCGGAUGAUAGUCUGUUCUUUUUUGAGGCAUCAUGGACUCAAGCUCUAGAGAUUAAAAAUAUUCUAGUUACUUAUGAAGCAGCUUCAGGUCAAACGGUUAAUUGGCAAAAAUCUGGUAUUUUUUUCAGCUCUAACACUUCUAAGCUGGAUAAGACUGCUGUUCAAGGGGUAUUUGGUGUGAUUGCUCCUUUAAACCACGGAAGGUAUCUCGGUUUGCCAUCAUUAAUUGGUAGGGUAAGGAGACGGAUUUUUUCUUUCUUGAAGGAUCGAGUGAGGAAGUUGGUCAGGGGUUGGAAUCAGAAACUCCUCUCCAAAGGGGGUAAAGAGGUUCUAUUAAAGGCUGUAUCACAAGCUAUUCCCUCAUUCUGUAUGAGUUCUUUUCUUAUACCGGUAUCUAUUUUAACGGAGCUUCAGCGGCUCAUGAAUUCCUAUUGGUGGGGAGGAAAGAUGAGAUGGUUGAGUUGGGAAAGGAUGUGUGUAGCGAAGGAAGACGGAGGUUUGGGUUUUAGACAUUUGCGAAGUUUCAAUCUGGCCUUGUUAGGAAAGCACUGCUGGAGGCUUUUACAUAAUACAAACUCUCUCUUUUAUAGCUCUUUCAAAUCUAAAUAUUUCCCUAGUGGGAAUUUUCUUGGUGCAGGCGUUGGACGUAAUCCAAGCUUUGUAUGGAGAGGGAUUUGUGUAGCCAAGGAUGCUAUAUGUUCAGGUUUUCGGUGGAGAAUCGGAGAUGGUCAGUCAGUAAAUGUCUGGACCGAACCGUGGCUAUUACAGGAUAAUCAGUUUCGGGUUCACUUGCCUAUUAUUUCUGGUUUUGAGCAUAUACGGGUUUCUGAUCUUAUUUUGGCACACGAGGCACGUGCUUGGAAUUUGCCACUGAUACAUGGUCUUUUCGAUCCUUCAAUUGCUGAAAUUAUUACUUCUAUUCCUUUAGUUACAAAUGUUCAUGACGACAUCCUUAUAUGGCAUUGGACAGACUCUGGGAUAUACUCUGUGAAAUCUGGAUACAGAUUAGUAGCGUCACAAUAUGUGGAUCCUGAAGAUGUUUGGCGGUCGAGUUUUUGGAAAAUUCUUUGGUCACUGAAAAUUCCGCCAAAAGGGAGGCAUUUUCUCUGGAGGUGCUGUCGAGACAUUCUGCCAGUUAAAGCAAAUUUGGCAAGAAGGGGACUGGAGCUUGAUACAGGAUGCGAUUACUGUGGUAAUACUGAAACGCUAGUUCAUGCUCUUGUUGAAUGUCCACGAGUGAGCUUUUGUUGGCAAUUUUUUGUUAUUCAGCUUACUACUUGGAAUUUUCCAACUUUCUUACAACUGGUGGAACAUUUACACAAGGUGUGGGAAAACAAAUUUUUUGAAAGUUUUGUUAUGGGACUUUGGAGUGUUUGGUCAAGCCGUAAUGAGCUGAAAUGGAAUCAAGUGGAAGAAGGACCUUAUCAUGUGGUUACUCGAGCCAGAAGUAUGCUCGCAUCUUGGAAGAAAGCCCAGCUGAAGUCGUCAGGUUCAAGUACAGGUACAGAUGCUCCUGUAGGUAGUCGAUGGUUUCCACCACCUGUUGGUACUAUUAAACUAAAUUUCGAUGCCACUCUUCUCCCUUCUAUUGGCCAUGGAGUCGUUGGUGCUGUAAUUUCAAAUUGCAACAGCGAGUUUGUAUCAGCAGCAAUGUCCUCACUGCAAGGUUGUUCUUCUCCAGCAGUAGCAGAAGCUCAGGCGCUAAGAACAGUGUUGUCUUGGUUGCUAUCGAGCUACCCCAGCCUGAAGAUUCAGAUUGAGACCGAUUGUCUGCAAGUUUACUGUGCUAUGAGGAAUUCUGUCCAAGAUUGGACUGAGUUUGGAGUAAUUAUUUCUGAAUGUAAGCUAUUAUUAGUCCAAUUGUCAAAUAUCACAUUGGCUUGGAUUAGAAGACAAGCAAAUGAUAUAGCUCAUAUAUUGGCUAAAUCAGUUCCUCAUGGAGCUUGUUUUCGAACUUGGGAUAUUGUUCCCGCUUGUAUUGCUCAUUUUUUCUCUUAAUAAAUAAAUGACCAAUAUUAAAUGUCAAAAAAAAAAAAAAAAGCUUUUCCUUAAUCAUUUUAACAAGUAUGGCUGUGUUUUUUAUGCUGCUUUUAUAUGCUAAUUGCUAUUUUUUUACGGUGUCUUAUAAUAUAAUUUUGAAUUAGUUUUAAAAGUUUUUACGGUGUCCCAUAAUAUAACUUUUCAACUAGCUUUAGAGUUUAAGGUAGUCUUUUGUGAAAAGUUAAUUCAUAUAAUGUUUAGCUUGUAAUAUUUAAUUAAAAGCUACUAAAAUAGCUAACAGCUAAAUGCUAUUAAAACAGUUAACAACGCCCAAAAUAAUUAAUUUUGCCAAACAAAUCCAAGCACAUUCAUGAAUUCUAGAUAGUAGAUGAAUGGAGGCUACAAUUGUUAAUAUAUAAAUAUAUAUAUGAGAUAAAAUUAAAAGAAUUUAUUAAAAUUAUAAAAAUGGUCAAAAUUGAGAUUUUAACCCUUUAUUAUAAAAGUUUUAAUCAAUUUAAUUAUAAUUAGUAUCAACUGAAAAAAUUAUUUGGUUUAUUAAUUUCUAUUAUAUAUAAAAUAUAAAGCAAAGUAUAUAUAAAAGAGAGGAUUUGUAUUCUAAUUAAUCUAUAAUUAGAAAUUUCGUCUAUCUCAAUUCUUUUAAUCUGAUUGGAAUCAAUAAAAAUUUGAGAAAAUAAAUAGUUAUAUGGCCUAAUAAUGCAAUUUGUGACUUGUUACAAUCAUAAUAUAUUUAAUUUUUUGAUAAACAUAUAUUUUAAAAUAAAACUUAUACUAUACGAUUGAAAUUAGGAAAAAAAAAAUGAAUUACAACAUUCAAAAUUCAAGGUAUUUCACAUCUCAAAGUAUUAAUUCCAACCUAUAUUUAAAUAGGGUGUAAUUAUAAUAAUAUUAAGAGCUUUGCUAAAUGUCACAAGUUGUUAACACAAUUAUGCGCAUUUACAAGUACAUCUUUCGUGCAGCAUCAACAAUAUCUAAACUGCUGCUAAAAUAUUUUUAAGGGUAUUACAGUAUUUUCAUUUAUGUUAGAUAUGUCACAAGUUGUGCUAAAAAUACUUUCCGUAAUAUUAAUAGGAUGUAAUUAUAAAAUUUAAAUUUCAAAAUACUUUUACACCUUAAAACAAUUAACCAAUUUUUGAAUCUUUCUUCUAAUUUAUCCUAAAAAAUUUUAACUACUACAAUACUAUAGUUAUCAAAGAGAAACGACAUAUUGAUUUCUAUACACAAUUACCAACAUUACAAGUAUUUUUCCAUCUGUGUUGCUAUAGCGACAAAGUACUAAACUUAGGUAAGUUAGAAAUUUAGAAUAUGUAAUUAAAAGAAACUAUUUACCAUUCAAAACAAAAGGCAACUAUAAACUAAAUAGGGUAAUUCAGUGCCAAAGAGCAUUAAUAGGAUUGAUCAUUAUGGUUCAGGUCAUGGAUUUAAUUCUCUAUAAUACAAACUCCUCCUUAUAGUUUAGGUCAUGGAUUCAAUUCUCCGUAACGCAAACUCUUCCGAAUCAGCUAUUUUGCCUCCAAAAACGAACAAACACAGUUCUAAAUAUCUUGUGCAAAUAUAUAUAUAUAUAUAUAUAUAUAUAUAUAUAUAUAUAUAUAUAUAUAUAAAGGUACUAUGAAUUAUUAUUGCGGCAAUUUUUCGCUUAAUGAGGCUAGACUGAUAAAGUUUAAAUUCUUUUACAAAUUUCAAUAACUUUAUAGUUGUCAAAAGGCGAAAAAUAUAAAUUAAUUAAUUAUUUUAGGGUGUCAACUGUCAAGUAUUAAUCAAAUUUUUACAUUUUAUAGAUGCAAUCUAUUUCAAUUAUAUAGUGCAAUUAGUCUAAAGUUAUUAUUUAUUGAAAAAAUUUUGUGAUAAAUUACAAAUUUUAGGGUAUUGUUAUGUUCUUUUUAGUUAUCCGAUAAAGUGUAAAAUGUAGUAAAAGAUUAAUUUGAAUUGAUAUCAAGUAAUAAGUCUAUAACAAGAGGGAGGGAUACAUAAAAUUUAAAUUCAAUAAAUCUAGUUAGGUAAGAAAAUAUGUUAAAUUAAUAUAUUUGAAUUUAUCUAUAUUCAUGAUAUAUGAAUUUACUUAUAUAUUAAAUUAAUUAAAAAUACAAUUUUAAUUGUAAUUAGAAUAUUUCUGACUUUUAUUGGGAGAAAAAGAAUAUAAUAGAAACACUAUUUUGGAAAAUCCUUUAUAAGGACCGACUCCAUAUAAGUGGAGCACAACGAGACGCGCAUAUAAUUUAAUUUUUAAUUAAAUAAAGCAAAAUUGCGGAAGGGAAGGAUCAGAUACAGGCGGUAGUUCUCUACCACUAACCACAUUCUCACUCUACAUUUAGACAAAAUUGUGGGACCCAAGAGACUGACAACGUUACAAUUUAGGUUUCACAAAUAAGCUUUGUCCGGAUUCGUGGGUUAAGCGGCGGAUGCUCCAUUCUACUCUCUGACGUAACCCUUCUUAAUCUGCCAAUAACCGCGCUCUUCUAUUUCAACUCCCGUCUUUAUCCGCUGCCUUCUUUUAACAUUCACACUGCUCAACAAGCAACGCAUCUGACAGACUGCUUGUCUCCUCCCACGUGUACUCGUCCCUCAUCCUGGCGAGAUUCUAUUGGUAGUUACGGUUUUCUGGAUUCCGUACAUUAUACAACAGGUUUUUGUAGGAUUUUCUUAGAUAGUGCGUCUUCACAUGGCUCUGGCCCUUCACUGACUUUUAUCUGCAAUCAGAUUUUGCCACGUCUGCUAUCCUUAUCUCAAUUCGCGUUCUGAUCGUCAUUAAUUUUCUUUUAAAAGGAAAAAAACCAUAAUAAUUCCUUUUCUAUUUUCUUUUUUUUGACCGUUUGGUGAGGUCGUGGCCACACCAGGCUGGAUACAGCCUAUAGAAAAUAAGCCUGCAAGAUUAAAUGGCAUUUUAUUUUCCUAAAGAUAAGCAAAGAAUUCGAAAUUUUUAAUUAUGUAAUUCAUUUACGAUUUUGAAUUUUCUUUCUAUUUGCACAAUUUGGUGCAUUAUAGAAGGACGUGGCAUUAAUUCCACACACUUGUAUAAAAAAAAUAUUUGAAAAGUAAAUGAUAUAUUAUUAAAAAGUUGUAAUAAAUAUAUUUAUAUUUUUAGAGAUUCAUUGAGCAGAGAGUAUGGCGGAAUGGUUAAAUAGUUGGUAGAAUAGAAAGAGAGAGAGAGAGAGAGGUAAUCGUCAGCUUUGCUGACUCGAAACUAAAGCCCACAUGACGAGUGUGAUUGUGUGCUUUCCUGAUGUCAGGCUCAGUUCUCCACUCCGCCUUAUUAUUGGUCAAAAAGAAAUACUCUCCUUCCACCAUUUAUUUUCAUUUGAUAACUUCAAUACUUUAAUUAAUUAAAUUUUAAAAAAUUGUCCUGCCACCACCAAUAAUGGUGUCUUGACUUUGGACUGGUGACUAAACUAGGGAGGAGACCACACAAUUCCAUGUCUCCUAUAAUAUUGGGCCUGAAAUGGGACGGACCAUACCAUUUGGGCUUGACAGAAUAGCCCAGCUUGAUAUAUACAAAUCUAGCAAGUACACUACUUUCCAUAGCUUCUUUAAGCACAUUUCCUUCUUCUGGAAUCCCCAAAAAAACCACACCAAGCAACCAUCGAAACAAAUCGCAAGAGUAUUUUAACAAUGGAUCAACUGAUCUUCCUCGUUUAUCUCUAACAUCAACAGACCUUAAUUACCGUGAAACUAGCUAUUCACAACUACAUUACUUUCUCCGAAUUUCACGUUUAAAUACGCUGCGUUUUGAGAGAAGAAAGAAGGAAUUUGGAUGGUUGAUAACUUGACAUGAAGAGGAGAGUAAAAAACGGGUGAGCAAACUCUCUGACAAAGCAUUUAAACUCAGCUGCACACUACCCCUUAGACAGCCAAUUGUACAUACAGUACAGCAACCUCUCAUGUGCCAGUAAUAAUAUAAGUUAAUAAGCAAGGAAGCAAGCUGUCAUUCUUAUGUAGCACAUGCCAAACAGUCAAACAUAUUAAGUUGGUUGGACAGCUUAAGGUCGAUGUGAGAGAUCUACCAUUUUUCUUUUUACCUUGCUUUAAAUUAUAUACUACUAUUAUUCAAUUAACAUUGAUUUUGAUAAUCACAAAUUUAUGCCAGUUGCCCUAAUGUUUAGCGAUCUCCCAUUUUUCUAAUUUUACCCUUUUAACAUUUUCAACUUUUAUUUUUGCAGAUUAGACACUCAACUUGAUUAUAUAAUUACAUCUAUUAAAUAAUUUAAUUAGUAAAAUUAGACUAAUUGAACACCUACUUGAGUAAAACAACUCGCUGAACUGAGUUGAAAACUGAACCAAUAUUGUUCAAUUUAUUAAUUAUUGGUCCCCUGCUCGUUAGACACUUGAAAAUUUUAAAUGAUUAUUUCGAAAUUUAUAUUAAUCAUACAUAAAAUUAAUAUUUGCAUGUCAAAACUUAAAACCCAAAAAAAUUAUUAUUAGCGGUGCACAAAAGUGUACAAUAUUACCGAAAUUCAUAAUUUAGAAACACAAUAUGCCUCUUAAAGUUGAAAUUGAUGCAAAGUUAAAAUAAUGAAGUUUAGAAGUAAAUUAUGUGUUAUGCCACAAACUGACACAUAUGUUUAUAAACUUACGGGUAUUUUCAACUUUUUAUAUUAACCUAUUUAUAUCCUUCAACUGAGAAAAUUGCAGCUAUUGAUACCUCCAUUUAUAAAAUUACAUGCAUUUUACAUGUUUUUCAAUUAUCAAAUAUAAGUUCAUAAGUGCAAAACUUCGUGCAUUUUUUAACAGAAAUUAUUGAAUAGUAUUUUCUGCACUUUUUUAAUCUCCAAGAAGUAUAAUUUGAUAAGUGAAAAUAUUCUGUAAGUGUAAUUUUAAAACUUAAUUCAUAUAAUUUUAUAAGCUGAUAGAUUUGCAAGGUAACAUAUAAAUUAGAGUCCACAGUAGAAUUUUUUUUCCAAAGUUGACGUUUCGAUUUAAGCAUUUGGCCUUUUUAUCUUGUUAUAAUUACUUUCGAUAGAGGUCAUGUGUUUAUCAUAAAUUCUCGAGACAAUAUAGAGCUACCUCCAUUCUUGCAGAAGCGAACUACCUUAUGGUUUCAUUCAUUGCAUUUAAUACAAAAACUAUUCCUGCAUCUUUUAUCAUGCCUAUAAAAGGACCCCCUGAUCAAAUUUUCAGACAACUACCACUGGUCUUGCAACAAACAGAGAUGGCAGCAACGGCAAGGCAGUUUUCUUGCGUGCUUUUUCUUGUUCUUGCAAUUGCUCAUGCAAGUGCAAGAAAUACGCCUAAAGAAACUGCAGGUCUCGAUGAUCAAAAGAAUGUGGUUGUAUUUGGCGGUUUAGGUGGCUUCGCUGGUGUUGGUGGUGGUAUUGGAGGUGGUAUUGGUGGUGGUCUCGGUGGUGGUAUUGGAGGUGGGCUGCCUGAUCUCGGUGGCACAGGCGGUGGGAUUGGUGGAUUAGGUGGUUUGGGAGGAGAUACAGGGAGCGGUGGAGGUCUUGGUGGUGCUAUUGGUGGUGGUGGGAUUGGCGGUGGUCAAGGUGGUUGUGCUGAUGGUGGUGCUGGCUCUAUCCUUAACCCUUGAUUCCAUUUCAUGGGAUUUUUUAUGUUUAGUGUUUCUGUUGCAUGCAGAUGCAGUUAGUACAUGUGUUUAGUUACUUUUCUGUUUUAUUCACUGUUGAUUUUUUUUUCCCUUUUCCUUUUUUUAGUAUUGUUCGCUGUUUUAUUGUUUUGGAAUUUUAUUAGUAAUAUUUGCCAUUUCUUUACUAAAAUAAUUAUCAAAUUACUUUCACAGUUUGUUCUUAAUUAAUUGUGGAUCAUAAAUAAUUUCAAUUUUACAACAAUGUCUUAACUAACAUAAUAAACAAUCUUAAUCUCGUAAGAGUGAAAAUAUAAAUUUAAUAUAGAGCAGCAGAAUUCUAAUAAAGACAAAACUCUUAUGCGCUAUGCUCAAAAGAGAGUUUAUUCACGCAAAAAAUGGUGAAACAACGGCUCCUAUAUAGUUUUACAACUAAAAUGAUUUAAUUUGAUAGUCAAUUCUGAUUAAAGGAUACGGGAUCUUUGCCAUUCCAUAUCACUCUUCAGAGGUAAAUGAUAUGGUUCUUGAAUUGUCUAAUUUUAGCAAGUUCAUUGGAACUACUAGUUAAUUAACAGUCAAUUCUGAUUAGAGAAUUUUAGAGACGUAUUAAUAUUAAGAUAUGUUUUCAAACGGUUUAAUUAAUGGAAAUAUAUUGUAUAUGUUUUCAAGUAAUUUUUACUCCAAAGAUUAAAGGAUCCAAAAUUUUAAAAUCAUAACUUUUAGAAAUAUUUAUUUAAAUAUUACUCAUAACCGGAUGUGAAUUGUUCUAUAUAUAUUAUUAAUUUGUUGUUGAGCUAAAAUGCCCAAUAUUUUAUUAGUUGCAAGAAGGACCGGCAACCCUCUAAUACUUCAAGAAUAAAAAUUUCAAAUACAUCAAAAAUGAAAAUAGUGAAAUAAAAAACAUAAUGAUGUGAUUUUAAAAUAAUAUCUAUUGAUAUAAAAAUAAUUGUUUUAACAUUAGAAUGCAUAUAUUAUUAUUGAUAUAUUUCUGAUAAAUGUAAUUUGAAUUUAAUGGAUGAUACGAUCAUUUUUAUAUUAUAGUAAACCGAGGAGAAGAUCCAUCUCCUACCUUUCCUUUCCUUCCAAUAAUAUACAUAUCAGAAAUGAAUCAGAUUCGUACAUUAAUUAUUAAUACAUUGGCUUGGCUUCCAACUACUUGUCAUUGUUCAAUGCCUGUGAAAUUUAAAACUUCUCUGCUGCUUUCAGACUUUCAGUUGGCAUGUCUUCAUCAUUUUCUUUUUUUUUUUUUCAAAAAAAAAAAUUUUAUUAUUAAAUUUUUUUAUAUAUUAAUUAAAAGUUCUUUGAGCAAGAGCCUAAGAUCGAGGUGUCUCUCAAAAUUUGAAAAUUUUCUAAAAUAUAGUACUAAAAAUAACAAAUAACAGGCUUAGCUUAAUGAAAUGUGAUACCUAUAAUAUAUAAAAUAAAAAAAAAACCAAAUAACAUUUUUUUGGGAAAAAAAAAAGGAAAUUCGAAGGAUACAUAUUAAGGGUUAAAUAAAAAGAUUGGUAAUAAUAAAGUAAUUAGGUUAAUAGACUUUCUUGCUGUAGCUUAUUAUGAAAAAAAAUAAUUGAUAUAAUUGAAUUUUUAAUUUUUUUUUUAAUUCAUUGGAGGUUUUUAUAGGCCGAAAUAAUAUUGCAGGUUACAAAAAGGGGUAGCCCUUUCCUUGACUCACCAAAUUGGUGAAAACAACUAUAGUCGAGAGAAUUCGAACUCGAAAUCAAUCAAAUCACCACCUGAUCGGCACAAUUGAACUUUUAAUUGAAAUAUAUAAUUAACUUGAUUUGAUAUUAUAUGAAGUGUUAUUGCAUGAUAUUAUUAAUUUUUAGAAUCUUAAUUAUUGAAUAUUUAAAUUUGUAGUAUGAGAAAUUAUCAUAUUCACAUAUAUAUUUUAUCUUCCAUUUCUUUGUCUGUGUUACUUGUCGCAGCAGGAAGCACCAAUGCAUGGCUCACAAUCUGCCACUAAUUUUCCCUCUGCUAAAUUAUAAAUGCCAUUAAUUCUGGCUGUUGAUCUCCCCGUAACAUGUACUAAAGAAAAAAAAAAAAAAAAAACUCACUUUACAAGAAAAAAAGGAUUAAUCAUGGAUAUACCAUUUACUUGUAUUUAACUCCAUUUACUGCUUUCAACCAUUCCAUACUGCUUCAUUUGCCGCUCCUUUUGCCUUUAAAAAGGGCUUCACAAAAACACUUUGAGAUAUCCCUAGAGAAACAGAGGAGAGAGACAGAGAAAGAUGGCUAGGUGGUGUCUUAGUGUUAUGGUUGUGCUUGCUUUAGUAGCUGUGCAAACUAGUGCUAGAAACGUUCCUAAAGUUGAAAAUAUGGCUACUACCAAAACUAAUGUGCCUAGUAAUAAUGCUGGUCUAAAUGACCAAAAGAACUUCCUCACCUACGGUGGUGUUGGUGGCUACAGUGGUCUUGGUGGUAAUGGUCUUCCAUUCGGCGGGGUUGGAGGACUUGGUGGAGUCACUGGCCUAGGUGGCACUGCCGGCAUUGGUGGGUUUGGUGGAGUUGGUGGUGGAAGUGGUCUUGGUGGCCUUGGUGGCUUGGGUGGUGGUGUUGGUGGUUUGGGUGGCGUUGGCGGUGGCGGUGGCGUUGGCGGCGGUGUUGGCGGUGGCGUUGGCGGAGGCGUUGGCAGUGGAACUGGCGUUCUUCCUUAUCCAUGAAAAUAUUGAUCUCAUUUCUGGUUUAUAGCCAGGGUUUAUGAAGAACUCUAUUUUUAUGCAUGGUUAUUAAGUUGGUUGUGUUUGAGGGUUUAUGUAAUGGUUUAAUUUUAAUUACUUUAUGUUUUGCUUGUUUAUUAGGGUUAGUUGGGUGUGUCUCUUUACUUUGAGUUCGAGAUUUUCAUUGUCAUGUUUAUGUUUGAGUGGAUCAUAGUUACAGAAACUUGAGUUUAAUUAAUGAGUUCAUGUUUAUUAUAUUGUGUUCGUGUUUAAUUUUUUUUGGUUCAGCUAAUUUUCAUUUUAAGAUACAUUUUGAUAUGAUUAAAAACAAC